AAUUGAAACUCUGUCAGAGGUUCCCACAUGCCCUCAUUUCGUCACUUUAUUUCUUGACUUUAAUGGGGAGUUGAAGAUGAUCGCGGAUGGCUUCUUCCAACUUAUGCCUUCUCUCAAAGUUUUGAAGAUGUCAAACUGCUGGAAUUUGAAAUUUCUUGUUGGGAUGUCAAAGUUGGGUUCGCUACAGCUUCUUGAUAUUUCACAGAACGCCAUAGAAGAGUUACCAGAAGAGUUGAAGUUGUUGAUAAAUCUGACAUGUUUGAAUUUGAGGGGGACAGGCCAAUUAAAUAAAAUUCCACGGCAACUAAUAUCAAAUUUUUCAAGGUUACGUGGGUUAAGGAAGUUCAUAACGUGUGCAAGCAGUCAACUCAAGGUUAGCACGUGGGAGAAUUUGCUGAGCUAAAGUUAGUUAAAUAAGCAAUGCCAGCUCAACAAAUUCAGUCAAGGUUUACUGAGAUUUUAUUCCUAUUGUUUUCUUUUCUGUUAACAAUGUAUAAAGGUGUUCUUUGUACUCAUUUGAUCAUUAAGAAAAAAAGAAAUAAAAUCUAGAAUAUUCUCUGAAGUUUUCUCAGUAAAACAGAGUAAAUUUUCUCAGUAACUAAACAGUAUAUAUCAGUGGAAUUUACGUUUUAUAACAUGGUAUCAGAGCCAAACAGUAACCAGCAAACAAUGAUGAGAAAUCUAGCAAUCAAUAAUACACAUCAACACACUCAAAUCAAUUUCUCUUUCACGAAUCCAAUUAAACUAGAUCGAUCAAACUACCUGCUCUGGCGUUCACAAGUUCUGGCUUCGAUUAGAGGUAAUCGACUAGAAGACUUCAUAACUAGAAUCAAAUCAACAUCUGAAGAAAAUAUUUUGUUAGCUGGAGUUGAUGGAUCUACACAACAAAUUGAGAAUCCUGAGUAUCAGAUCUGGAGAUCACAAGAUCAAAUUCUUCUUGGUUGGCUACUGUCAACCUUAAGUGAAGGUAUCCUUAGUCUUGUUAUUAACUGUAAAAGCUCAUUUUCUUCAGCUCAGAUAUGAACUGAACACUCUUAAAAAGGAGUCUCUUAGUAUUGAAGAUUAUUGUGUUAAAAUGAAAGCAAUAGCUGAUAAGCUUGCUAGUGCUGGUAGCUCGAUAACAGAAAAGGAUCUAAUGCUAACCAUACUCAAUGGAUUAGGAUCAGGAUAUAGUGAUAUUGCUACUUUCAUAACUGGUUCACGAAUGGAAUUUGAUGAUACUUAUGCAUUAUUGCUCACUCAUGAAACUAGGUUGGAACAAGAUCAUGAUGAUAAGAGUAUGUUCAAUGCUAACUAUGCAUAUACUAAUGCAUUUCAUCCUAAGGUUUAUUAUGCACAGCCUAGAGGAAAUUUUAAGAGAGGAGGUUAUUAUGGUGGUAGGAAUGUUUUCUCUGGUAGAGGGAAUAUGAAUUUUUCUCCAAGAAUGUUUAAUGGAGGUUUUAGAAGUGGUUUUGGUAGAGGAUAUUAUGUUGGUAAUCCUUUUAAUGGUAAUAAUUCUUUAGCACCAAAGAAUUCAUCAUCUGUUAUCAAGAAUGGAUCACAGAGAACUUUUAAUAACAAUCCAGGGGACUCAGUAUGUCAGAUUUGUCUCAAACUUGGUCAUACUGCUGAUAUUUGUUGGCAUAGAUUUGUUGAAGAUUAUGUGCCAAUGCCAAGGGGUUUUUAGAAAAGGAAAAGCACCCAGAGCAGCAUCACUACUAGAAAAAUAGCUUUUACUGAUACUUGUCUUGUGAUACUUUUCUAAAAAGUAUCAGCAAUUACAUAUAUUUGGGCCAUUUUCCGUGUUUAACAAACAAGUGUCACAAAUUACUGAUUCUAUGAUGUUUGUAUAUUAAACAUCAGAGAUCGUCGACACUAAGGUAUCAGAAACAACAAAAAAAAAUAAAAAAUCUAUUUUUGUUUUAGUUGCGACUCGAACCUAGGACCUCAAAACUAAAGUGCUUUAUGUUCAACCAACAAACCACCAUGCCAAAUUCAUAAAUUAGUUUGUGUUGAACAUGUUGAAAUUAUCAAAUUAAAUUAAUAUAGAAAACAAAAAUAUAAAAGCAAAAGAAAAAAACCCUAAAUCAACAUAAACAUAAAAUUCCCUAACUCCUAAAUCCAUGGCCAGCCGCCUCAUCUCUCUGGCGAUAUCCUUCUUCUUCUUCAUACCUCUAAAACUUCGAGCCCUAAAAUUCAAGGGUCCAUGUCAUAAGAAAUCCUACCACCACUGCUCAAAUUCUAACACCCAUACCAUACGAAACCCUAAUGAUCUACAUUAUGCAAAACAUCCACCAUGCCGCUAUGCCACAAGCUCACAAGACCCGCUUUAGAUCUCCACAUUUUGCUCACCCUACUCGAGUGCACACCGCCCCUCUCGCUUCGACUUCUCGGGAUUUCUUGUUAGCUGAAGUUUUGUUUUCUUCCGCUAAUUCGAUCUUCGAAAGGUCUCGGAGCUCCAAGUAACUAAGUAAGCUCGGUUUUCUUCUAUUCUCUCAGAUACUUGCUUACACAUUCCUUUUUUUUUCGUGUUAAAUUUUGUUGUUUCGUUGUGUUAUAUGGAUCGAUGAGAGUCACAGACUUUGACGAGACAAUGACGAUAUUGUUUUGGAGUUUCGUUUCGUAGAUCUGUGAUAGAGUCUCCUUUUUCAGAUAUUUCCUUUCAUUUACCAUAUUUGCACAAUUUGUUUUGUCAUUAAAUUAUUUGCGUUUGAAUGUACAAUUUUUGUUUUCGUUUUAUAUUUUCAAAUACUGUUUCUUGGAGCGAAUUAGUGGAGGAAUUUUUGGUUGAAGCAGAGGAUGGAUAACUUUUGUAUUUUGAACUUUGUAUGUUAUUUAUUAUUUGAACUUGAAGCUAAAAGGUGACCAAAUUUUCCAAAGGUUAGGGUUUGGUUGGCUUAUGUGAAAAUGCCGAACGAAUGUGUAUUAUUCAUACUCCAAUAUUGUAGGUGCGUCAAUGCACCUCCUUGCGAUGGUUGCAGCAACGAAACUGUAGGUCAAGGUUUGGGUACCCCAUUUCCUUCAAAGAUCCAAUAUGGAGCAACUCGAGUCGAGCUUUUUCGGUCAAUUUAAACAAAACCUUUACUCCUAAUUUAUUGUCUUUUGCUUUCUGUUUGUACCUGUAGGAGUUCAUAUUUUGUAAUGUUCCGUAAGUGUCCAAUAACUGGUUAAAUUAUGACUUAUGCUAGGUGAAGAUUUUGUGUUACAAUCCCCUUCAAUAGGCAAUCACUCUUUUUGUAAAUGUUCAUGGGUAAUUGCUUUGCCUUUGCUUCUGUUGUACUUUUGUUUUUGUGGGGUUUUAGUUAAUGGAUGUUGAGUUAUAUUUCAAUCAGUUUGAUUUCUCUGCAUAUUUUUCAUAUUUUAGUAUUAGAAGAGGUAUUUAAUCAAAUGAAGACAAAAACAAUUGUCGGCCAACCAACAAACUCACUUUAGUUUGUUGUGAAAUGAUUUUCUCUCUCUCUCUCGAUUUUCACUGGUUCUGUGGUUUUUUCCCUUCCACAAUGUGAUUUAGUUCUGUUCUAUUUAUGGAUGUUACCAACAUUUUAGCUUUUAAGAAACAGACAAAAAGAUUCUGAAGUUUGUUUCUUGUUUCUUACUCUGAAUUUCCAAGGCAUCUUAUUUGGAGAAAUGCAUUCUGAAUGGAGAAAUUUCUCCAAAUUUAUGAGAUGUGGUUCUGUCUUGCUGAAUGAACAUUGUAUUUCCUUCAAUGGUUUGCGAGCCAUUAAGUUAUUUGAGCAAACAAAAUUAGCAAUAUGGAAUCCUGUUUCUACAGGAUUAUAGUUGUAGGACUCUAGAAUUUAGUCUAGGUAAUGUUUUUACCAUUGUAAAAAGUAUCUGACAUUGGUGAUGUUUAAGCAUAUGUGUCAUUUCUUUUGGGCUUCACUUUGGAUCCUUUUUUUCUUUUUUUACAAACAAUGGAUGGUUAAAACCUAAGAGACUGAUUGAUUUUUGUUUUAAAUCCAGUGGUUAUGCCUUGUAAACUUUUGAGUUGUAUCAAUUUCUUUUCCUGGCCUAACUUGGCUAAAUUUAUGCUAUAUAAUUGAAUUCUACAAAUUUUGGCUAUGUAUGAUGUAAAGGUCAUAAGUCUUGUAUCUUCAUUUGUUCACCACAGGCUUGAUACUUCACAACUACCAUAAGUUAUGUCAUGCCAUGUCUUCUUUAGCAAUAUUGUGUGGCUUUGAGUAGUAUUAAUGUUUUUGUUUGUUAAUUCACGACUUAAUGGAACCAUUUUCCUUAUAAUCGAGAACCUUCGUGCGAGUGUUGUGGAGAAAUCUUAUGAUUCAUGUGUAGGUGUGUUUGCUUAAUGUGAUGACUUUUAUUAUGUGUUGUAGUUCUUGUGUCUAUAAGAGGAACCUUUGCUCCUAUGUCUAUUUAUCUCCGACUUUCAGUUUAGGCGUAAAUAGGUUACUCUUCUUUCUUUCUCAUUUUUUAAUUUCUAUGUUCUCCUAUGUCUAUUUACAUGGACUGCUUUGCUGCUUCUCUGCAGUGAAAACAACCCUGGUAAUUUACAGGAGCUUUUUUCACUUCAGAACAAUAGCAAGACAUCCCCUGCAGAUUUUUUAUUGAUUUUGCAUAGAUUGGUUUGUUGCUUUGGGUUGGAAUGCUACUGGAUAUAUGUCAGAAUUAUAGCGCUAUUGGAAGAUGGUGGGUUGUUGCAUAUGAGUUGGAGUGUUCCUGGGUAUGUAGCUAGAAUUAGAGUGCUGUUGGAAGAUGGUAUUGCUACUGGAAGUUUUGCUCAAAAACUUGUCGUUGGAAUACUUGCAUUAAUUUUUGGAAAUUUUAUUGGGUAACUUGGCUAGGUGGCUGAAAUUUUAAUUGCUUUUGUGUAUUGAAGCAUUUGGAUUGUGUAAUAUAUAUUGAUAAUAUUUAAAUGUUAUGAAAGGUUUUGAUAAAUAAAUUGAUUUUUGUUCUUAUUUCUCACAGCCUUUUAAUUCUAUCAACAAAUCAAUGGGUAAUGUCAUUUUGUAUAAUUAUUUUUUUAAAUAAUACAUAAAGUAGUGAUACUAUAGUAACAGUAUCACAAAUACUAAUAUAGUAUUGUAAUAUUUUGAUACCAUGGUGUUAUGAUUUUAAUGAUACUAUAGUAAUAGUAAUUACUGACACCACUUACAAGUGUCACUAUUUUUCUGACUGCCAGAUUACUGACACAAUUAGCAAGUGUCACUAAAAGUAAUUACUGACACUAUUCUAAUGUCAGUAAAGACCAUUUUUCUAGUAGUGCAUAUCUGUCAAAUUUUGAUGGUUCUGUUUCAAAUCCAAACUUUGAAGAUUAUGAGAACUUCAACUAUAUGCCUUCAGCUUAUAAUCCUAUGUCUGGCAAUAGCUAUUAUUCUGGUUUUGAUGCUUGUACUCCUGGAGUAGCAUUUAUGGCUAACUUUGAAGGAGUUGCUAAUGAUGAAUGGUACUUGGAUAGUGGGGCAACUCACCAUCUGGACAACAACAUGGAGAGCUUGCAGAUCAGUGAGGAGUUUAAGGGUACUGAUUAGCUCAUAAUUGGUAAUGGUCAAGGUUUGUUUAUCACUAAUGUUGAUUUUGCAUUUCUGUCACAAAGAGCAUCAAAUUACUUAUCUGCACAUUCCAGAAUAGCACUUAAGGAUAUAUUACUUGUUCCAUCAAUUACCAAAAAUCUACUAAGCAUUUCCAAAUUGACAUCUGAUAACCCUAUAACUGUUGAAUUUUGUGGGAAUGUUUGUUUUGUGAAGGACAUGAAUAGACAAGUUCUGCUGCAGGGACUUGCCGAAAAAGGUCUAUACAAGCUGCUGCUGAGUUCUAAUUCCUCUUCUUCAUUUCCUUCAUCUCAUCUUUGUCAUACUCAACUAAAUAAUUAUGUCUCAAUGUUGUCUAGCUUUCAAAGCUUUGAUAAUCCUUCUAAAGUUUGUUAUCAUUCUGUUUUCAAUAAAUGCAAAACCAAAUAUGAUGUAAUGACAUUGUUACAUAGAAAAUUUGGUCAUCCAAGUUCAAUGAUUCUGAUGCAUUUAGCUAAGUCUUGCAAGCAAUUAAAAAUCUCUCAAAAAGAUAUUCUAUCUUGUACAAAUUCUUUGUGUGAGGCAUGUCAGUUAGGCAAAGUUCACAGGCAAAGUUUUCCAGCAACUGAAACAAAAACAAAAGGAGUAUUAGAACUGAUUCAUACUGAUAUCUAGGGACCUUCACCCACUGUAUCUAGAAAUGGAUACAAGUAUUACAUUAGUUUUGUGGAUGAUUACACUAGAUACACCUGGAUCUAUCCACUUAAGCUUAAAUCACAAGCAUUUGAAGUUUUCAAACUGUUCAAGGCACAAGUUGAAAAUUAGUUUAAUACCAAGAUUAAGGAAUUACAAUCUGAUCUGGGGGAGAGAGUUUAGAGUAUUCAGUAAUUUCCUAAGUCAAAAUGGAAUCAAGUUUAGACAUUCAUGCCCUUAUACUCAUCACCAGAAUGGUCUUGUUGAGAAGAAACAAAGACACAUAAUUGAAUUAGCAUUAACACUCUUAGCUCAAGCUAAUCUCCCUUUUCAGUUUUGGUGGAAAGCUGUUCACACAGCAACAUAUCAUAUUAAUAGGUUACCAACACCUGUUCUUAAGCUUUUAUCUCCUUAUGAAAAGCUCUUUAAACACAAACCAGAUUAUUCAUUUCAUAAGUGCUUUGGUUGCCUAUGUUAUCCAUAUAUGAGAGAUUUAAAUAAACACAAAUUUGAUUUUCACACCACCAAAUGCAUCUUCAUUGGCUAUAGUCAUUCUUACAAGGGUUAUAAGUGUUUAACAAGCUCAGGAAAAAUUCAUAUCCUAAGGCAUGUUAUCUUUGAUGAAAAUACAUUCCCUUACUUAACAAACAAAGUCUUUCAUUUAUCCGAGAACAGUUCAAAUUCUGAAAUAUCAGUGUCAAACUUUUCCCAGUAACAAAUUUAUCAUCUCUCCACAUUAUCCUUAACUGACAGCAGCUUGGAAGAUCUUCAAUCAGCAAGUUCAGAAAGCAAUGAACAAGUACCUUCUGUUUCUGCACACACAAAUAAUCUGCAUCAACAAGAGCAUUCUCAAGAGCAUUCCUCAUCAACUAUACCAUUAUCACCAACACAACAACAAACUGAAUCACAACCACAAAAUGAACCACAUCUAUCUACUUCCUAGCACAUAAAUCAAACUCAAACUAGAAACCUUCCUUCACAACCAUCACAUUCAAUGGUAACCAGAUCGAAAAUAUGGAAUCUUCAAGCCAAAAGUUUACAUAACCACCUUAACCAACAAAGAACCCAGUACUGUUCAAGAAGCUCUAAGUGAUCAGAAUUGGCAUCAAGCUCUGAAAGAUGAAUAUGAAGCUUUGCUUAGGAAUGAAACAUGGUCACUAGUACCAUUUUCAGAGGUAUACAAGGUUGUUGACAGUAAAGGGGUUUUCAGAAUUAAACAAAACACAGAUGAGAGUGUAGCUAAAUACAAAGCCAGGUUAGUUGCAAAGGGUUUCCAGCAAACUAAUGGUGUUGACUACUUUGAGACCUUUAGUCUUGUGGUAAAGGCCUGCACAGUAAGAAUUAUUUUUAGUUUGGCUGUGAUGAACAAGUGGAAAAUAAGGCAAGUGGAUGUCAAUAAUGCAUUCUUAAAUGGAGAAUUGACUGAAGAUGUUUACAUGUAUAAGCCAGAAGGUUUCAUUGAUGAGAAAAAGUCCAGUUAUGUAUGCAAGUUGAAGAAAGCCCUGUAUGGCUUAAAACAAGCUCCUAGAGCUUGGUAUGAUAAGUUGAAAAACCGUCUGAUAAGUUGAAAAACUGUUUGAUAAGUAAUUGGGGUUUUCAAAAUUCCAGAGCUGAUACUUCUCUCUUCUUCAAAGAGAUUCAAGGCUCAAUAAUACUUGUGCUUAUAUAUGUGAAUGAUAUACUUAUUACAGGGCCUGACAUUGGAGAAUUAGAGAAGUUUAUCUUAGAAUUCAGUAAGACAUUUGCUUUAAAGGAUCUAGGAAUACUAUCAUACUUUCUUGGGAUAGAAGUCUCUUAUGCUGAUGGUUGUAUGUACUUAUCUCAGAGAAAGUAUAUUAAUGAUCUCUUGUCUAAAGCUGAUAUGUUGAACUGUAAAGGGUGUGAUACUCCCAUAGCGAUUGGACUGAAACUUCAAAAGGAGGUUAAAGGUUGUUUAGGUCAGUAUGUUGAGGAUGCAACCAGUUACAGAAGUUUGGUUGGAGGCUUGCAAUAUCUGGUGUUAACCAGACCAGAGAUAGCCUUUGCUGUGCACAAACUCAGUCAAUAUGUGACAGCUCCAACAUUGCAGCACAUAAUGGCCUGUAAACGAGUUCUAAGAUACCUAAAGGAAACCAUGGAUUAUGGUCUAAAGUUUUCAGCUGGUGGAGAAAUGGAAAUCACAGGUUUUAUAAAUGCAGAUUGGGCAUGCGAUAUUGAUGACAGAAAAUCUAUAGGUGCAUACUGUAUCUAUUUUGGAAAUAAUCUGGUGUCAUGGUCAUCUAAGAAGUAGUCUGUGGUGAUAAGGUCUAGUGCAGAAAGCGAAUACAGAGCUUUGGCUUCUGCAAGUGUAGAAAUAGCAUGGAUUCAAUCUUUGUUCAGUGAGCUAAAUAUAAGAUGUGUCUCAGUACUUAUCAUCUGGUGUGACAACAUGAGUGCAACAAAGUUAAGAUAAAAAUCUAGUCUACCAUUCACGUACCAAACACAUUGAACUGGAUAUGCAUUUUGUUAGAGAUAAGGUUUUAGCAGAGGAGCUGAAAAUUAACUUCAUUCAAAGUGAAGAACAGAUAGCCGAUGUCCUAACAAAACCUCUCACAUUCAUUCAUUUUAAUUAUUUCAUAAACAAACUCAAUGUGCAGCCAUGCCCCUUGAGUUUGAGGAGGGCUGUUAAGGAAGCUCAUAACGUGUACAAGCAGUCAGCUCAAGGUUAGCACGUGGGAGAAUUUGCUGAGCUAAAGUUAGUUAAGUAAGCGAUGUCAGCUCAGCAAAUUCAGUCAAGGUUUACUGAGAUUUUAUUCAUAUUGUUUUCUUUUCUAUUAACAAUGUAUAAAGGCAUGCUUUGUACUCAUUUGAUCAAUAAGAAAAGAAGAAAUAAAAUCCAGAAUAUUCUCUGAAGUUUUCUCAGUAAAACAGAGUAAAUUUUCUUAGUAACCAAACAGUACAGAUCAGUGGAAUUUACGUUUUAUAACAACGUGUGUUGAGAAUGUUGGGUAUUGGCCAAUUCAAUUUUCAUGAAGCACCAGAAGACAACGCUUUAUUUGGUGGGGGUGAAGUUUUGAUACAGGUAUUGCUCGGUUUGAAAUAUUUAGAGGUAUUGGAGUUGACCUUGGGAAGUUAUCAUGCUCUCCAAAUUCUUUUGAGCUCAAAUCAGUCAAAAAGUUGUAUUCGAUCUCUUCUCCUCCACAAGUUUAGAGGUACAACGCCGAUUAUUGAUGCUACGGCUUUCGCAGAGCUAAACCACCUCAACGAAUUAUUUAUUAAUAAUAGUAUUGAGUUGAUAGAAUUGAAGAUUGAUUAUACAGAGAUAGUACAAAAAAGGCAGGAACCUUUUGUUUUCCGCAGCCUUCACCGUGUUACCAUAUUUAGGGCCCGUUUGGGAGUGAGGUGCUGUAGCUUUUAAGCUGCAGUUGCUGUGGAGUAAAAGCUAUAGAUGUGGAAUGGAAGUUGAUGGUGUUUGGUAAAAGUGUUGUAGCUUUUAAGCUGCAACUACUGAUGGUGUUUGGUAGAGUGGAUGAAUAUUUGUAAUAAUUAAUUUUAAAUAACAUUAUUUUUAAUUGUUAACAAAUCAAUUAUUUUUCAUUCUUCAAAUUAUUAUAUUGACAUACAAUUACGAUUUAUUCCGUUACAAAUUAAAUUAAUAUUUAAUAAAUCAAAUUUAUUUUUUUGCACAAGUUGUAAUAAAUAAUUUAUAAAACACAUCAUGGGGUCAAUUAUAAAUAAUUUUAAAUAACUAUUAUUGACAAUGCCAACCGGGCAGUGUACAUGAUAUGCUUCUCCAAAUUGCUUCGGUUUGUACCUGAUAUGAUUAAUCGAGUAUUAUUUACAAUACCAAAUAUAUCUAAUAAAAAUCAUACAACAAAACAAAAUAAAAUUAAAAUGUAAUUAAUUACAAAAUUUGUAUAAAUAUUUCUAUUGUUGUGCCUCCAUUAAACUUGCAGCAAUGCCAUCUUUCAAGAUUAUUAUAUCUUGAGUUGUGCUAUCAAUUGUUUCAUAACUUUCUUCAUGAGAUGCAAUAUGUUCGCUAAUACUAUGACUUGGUUCAUCCGUCAUUUCAUCAAAAUGAUCAUUAUUUUGUGAAUAUCUUCUGAUAUAAUUAUGCAAGGCCAUGGUAGCAAUAACUAUUUUCACCUGCUUCUUGAAUGGAUAGCUUGGCAUACUUCGUAAAAUCUUCCAUGUAUUCUUCCAAACCCCAAAAGUACGCUCAAUAACACUUCUCAAGGAAGAGUGCUUGUAGUUGAACAAUUCUUUAUAACCCAUUGGUUGGCUACCUCUACGAAAUUCAGGAAGGUGAUAUCUUUCACCCUUAUAUGGUCCUAAGUACCCACAUAACUCCGGAUAUCCUGCAUCUACUAAAUAAUAUUUUCCUAAAAAUAAAAAGAAAAAUACAAAAUAAAUAAAACAAUCUAAUCAAUUGAAUAUGUAUAUAUAAAAGAAAAAUUAGAAACACAAACCUGGAGGAGGGUUUGGAAAAUUGAAUGCAGGAUUCGUAAUAGUUGUUUGAAAUACCCUUGCAUCAUGGGCACUGCCUUCCCAACCAGCCACUGCAAAUAUGAAUUGCAUAUCAAAGCUACAUACAGCCAUUACAAAUUCUUUUCCCACCAUUCCUCACUUGCAUCAACUGUCCUCAACCUAUGAUUCCACCCUAAACCAGUUUCUUUGCCAAUCAAAUUCUUCCACAAUUUCCAAUCAGUUCUAAGAGAAUCCCAUUUAUUUUUCAUUUGAGUUCUGUUGUAAUCUAAUCCAGUUUCUUUAGUGAACUCCUUAAUCAAAUUUUCAUAUCCUUGGGAAGUCAAAUGAGUCCCUGGACGAUGUCCGGCAUCCACCUCUUUAACGCAUAAGUCACAAAAUACAUCUAAAGUCUGGGGGUUCCAAGUAGCCUUACUAGUUGAGCUAUUAGACACAAUUUCAUACACUUAAACCUAGGAAAAAAAAUAUUUCUUUAUCAAACAACAAUACAGAAAAAAUAAGAAUAUAGAAGUUAAGAAAAUUACUAGAAUCUUGUUAUGGAUGGUGGAAGGAAAAAUAAUUCGAUAUUAAAAAAUUAAAAAAAAAGACAAACCAGAACAAGUUACCUUAGUUGUUACUUUACUUGAAAUACUUUUCCAGCAAACAAUAAUGAUCAUAGCCCACGAAUAGAAACAAUUACAAGCAAGUCAAUAAAGCAACAAAAGACAAACCAGACUAGGAAACAAAGAAAUUCAACUAAACAAUCAUUAGGUACAAACUGCAAUUGCAUUUAGCCUCACAAUCUCAAAUUUGCUACGUGCUUUGAUAUUUCCUGUACUAUUCUUUUGGCCCAUCCUAAGACAUAUACAAUUGCAAUUGCAACACUUUCUCCCUUCUUUUUUCUGUAAUUCGUAUGGCGACUUACGUAUAUAUAACCUAAUUAAUUGAAUUAAAUUGAUGAUGGGUUAGAAAAUCAUUAGGCUUAUUAAUUAUACGCGUCAAAAGAAUGGUCGGCCAAUAAUUAGGUGUCCUGCUUAUACUCCUGUAAUUUAGUCAUUCUCUAGUAAAUAUUAUUAAAUAAAAAGAAACACAAACAAUUAAGCUUAUUGGUAACUGAACUGGUGCCCAAAAAUAACAAGAGCAGGAGAAAGCAAACACACCCAAGAAUUUGACAAACUUCAACUUGAAAUCCAGAAUUUGACAAACUUCCUUUUGUUUACUGAAGCAUAGUAUUUCAUAACGAAGGCAUGCAUUUUAUUAUUUAAUGUCUUGUAGAACUGGAAACUCAAAUCAAACAGGGGUUGUGCAUGUUUAUAAAAAGCAACUACAAAAAUAAAAACUACAAUAAAAACAAUGGUUACAAGCAAAUAAAUCACGCAUGACCCAUCACCCAUCAAUUUAUUCUAACAAAAGCCCCAACAUUUUAUGAAUGAAAAGGAAGAAAAUGAAAAAUUGCUUGAAAUAGAGUAAAGGAGUACUCAAAAAUGAACAACAGAUAGAGGAAAAGGCACCACUGACAGAGGCGUAUGAGAGUGGCCGGUGUCGGAAUCGCGCCGAUGAGAAUUUCGGUGUCAGAAUCGCAUCAAUUGGAACUCCCACAGUCGGAAUCGUGCUGAUGAGAAUGGGUGUUUAGGGUUUGUUUAAAAAAAUCGAUUUGAAAUAGAACUCCCACUGACAUGACUGUUUGAUAAAAUGAAAAUGGAAUAAUAUAUAAAGUUAAUUUAGUAAUUAAACUUGCAGCUGGGAAAAAAAAUCUGUCAAGUUGUCAAAACACAACUAUAAGUGGUACCAAACACUUUGGUGGCUGGGCUGCUCACCACACUCCCAAACGGGACCUUAGUUGCGGUAAAUUGAAAGAUGUGACAUUCCUCGUUUUUGCUCCAAACCUCAAGUCUCUUUGGCUAUUCGAUUGCGGUGCUAUGGAAGAAAUAAUCAGCGUCGGAAAAUUUGCUGAGACUCCUGAGAUGAUGGGACAUAUAAUCCCUUUUGAAAAUCUCCAAAUGCUUAAUUUAAUGGAAUUGCCGGAGUUGAAGAGAAUUUUCUGGAAGCCAUUGCCUUUCACUCAUCUGAAAGAAAUAUCUGUGGGUUAUUGCCGUAAUCUUAAAAAGCUUCCACUCGAUUCCAACAGUGCAAAAGAGCGUAAAUUUGUAAUUCGUGGAGAAGAAGACUGGUGGAACCGACUUCAAUGGGAGGAUGAAGCCACUCAAAUUGCUUUUCGUUCCUGUUUCCAACCUCGUUCCUGAGCGGUGGUCGCAAAAUUUGAUUUCUGGUGAGUGCGUUUUUGUUAACGCUUAUGUUUUUAUUCCAGUGUGUUUUUCUUCUGUCUUCUGCAAAUCACGAUUAAAUGUUGAAUAAUAUGGAAUCAAUGCUUUAUAAAUUUUCCGGCGUGGCCAUUUCCUUUUCCCUUUUUUUUUUUGGGGGGGGGGGGGGGGCGUGGUUCGAUUGAUGCUCUGGCUUUUUACUUUUUGUCUUCGAAUUUUGCUCUGUUUUUCAAAUUGAUGCUUGAAUAGUUGAAUUCAAUUAAUGCUCACAUAAAUUUGUUUAGUUGCCGUAAAACGGUAAAAGGAUAUAAUUAGAUUGAAAUUCGCACUUCUAGAAUGAAUAGAAUUACAAUAGAGAAAAUAUUAAGUAUACAAGCCCUCUUUACAGAAAAUCAAAUGAAAAUAAAAUUUUUUGGAUAUUUGAUUUUCUAUGGUCUACUGUAUACGCUUUAUAAAUUCCUCUGCUUUAACGAUAACCAAAUCCUUUUUUCAAGGAUUUUUAUUUGGGGUAUUGAUAAUAGUCCACCAACAUAGUGAACGCUUGGAUGCUGCUUAAGGAUCUCUAAUCAGUAGCUGGAAGCAAAUGAGAAGGCGGUCGCUACUUUGUACAAAGCCAUGCAGCAAUUGCUAUUCAUUUUCAAACAAAGUUGAGAUGUUAUUUUCAGAUUUGGUUCCAGAUUUUGUAUGAAUAUCGUUGUUCCAUUGAGUUGUAUAUGAAUUCAAAUGUAAAAUAUUCUUUGGUUUUCAAUUUUGAAUUCAAUUUCUUUUUCUUAAGCAUGUUGUGCAGAAAUGAUUUCUACUAAAUCAUUUUUGAUAAACUAUUUAAAUUAAACAACUGGAAUAAGAACUGUAAGGAUUUAUCGUAAGCAGACUAAUAUGAUAAUUCUGAAACUAUCAUUUUUUUUUUUUCAAUUUGUUGCAGGGAAAGCCAAAUUUUGCGUUUUUCAGUUUUAUCUGAUAUGGGCUUUAUUUCCUCUACACUAGCUACCUAAAGAUUUAUCAAAUUGCUUCUCUUCCCUGCUUCAAAUAUCUUCAUGGCAUCAUAGGAAAAGAGAGUUUGGGUUGUAUUUAUUAUAGUUUUUAUUUUUUUUUUUGUUAUAAGCAAAUUUAUUUUAAAUACUUUAGUAGUAACAGUUUUUAUUGAAUAAUAAUGAGGGAUGAUUAUUAUAGGUUCAAAUAGUUGUUAGAACAUUAUAAAAAGUCUAUUUACUAUCAAAUGUUUUAAAUUGAUGCAACGUGAUAAUUGUCUCAUAUAAUUUUUUUAUAAUAUAUAUGUCCCAUAAUCUUAACAUGAAUAAAUGAAUUUCAACGGUUAAAUUUGACACGAUUAUUAAAUAGAUCAUAUCUAUAUUAAUUCGAUUUAAAAUCUGGUCACAUUUGGAUUUAGAGUUUCUAACAUGAUAACUUGUUUUAUGACAUGAUUUACUAAUCAAUUAAUAGUAAAUCAAAUGUCAGUCAAUUAAAUAUGUGGUACAUUUGUCAUAUUUUAAAAAUUAUUUAUUUAUAUUUGAAAUGAAUUUGGUGCNNNNNNNNNNNNNNNNNNNNNNNNNNNNNNNNNNNNNNNNNNNNNNNNNNNNNNNNNNNNNNNNNNNNNNNNNNNNNNNNNNNNNNNNNNNNNNNNNNNNAUAAGACGACGCGACACAAAUACAACCAACAAGUCAACCCAAAUUGCCACCUUUUACUAUCUUCUUUGUGUUAUUUCUCUAAAAAUUUGUGCCUUCUCUUACACUUUUAAAUCUGAAGUGUUUGAACUGGAGUACACAAAUUAUCUCUCUACAAUUCCAAAACAACCAAUUUGUUACUUGGUAAAUCUUAAUCAAUGGCAGGAAGCAAUUGAGAAGGCGGUCGCUACUGUGUACAAAGCCAUGCAGUAUUUGCUAUUCAUCUUAAUAAUUGUUAAGCUUUGGUAAAAUUUUCAAACAUAGUUGACAUCAUGUUGUUUUGAGAUUUGGUUCAUGAUUUUGUAUGAAUAUCGUUGUUCCGUUUGAGUUGGAUGUGAAUUGAAACCUAAAUAUUCUUUAUUUUUCAAUUUUGAAUUCAAUUUCUUUUUCUCAAGCAUGUUAUGCAGAAAUGAUUUUUACGAAAUCAUUUUUGAUGAAUUAUUUAAAUUAAACAAUUGGAAUAAGAAUUGUAACGAUUUAUCAUAAGCAUGCUAAUAUGAUAAGUUGUUUUACGAACGAUUAAUUAAUCAAUUAAUAUUAGAUUAUAUAUUAGUCAAUUAGAUAUGUGUUACAUUUGUCAUAUUCUAAAAACUAUUUAUUUAUAUUUCAAAUAAAUUUGACCAGAGGUUACGUAGGUAAUACUACAUAAUUUCUAAAGGAAUGUAAAAAUUUAAAGUUUUAUUAAAUAGGUGACUCAAUAAUAAAUGGAUUUCUGCAAGAAUUGAGAUUCUUGAGAUAAUUAUUACAUAGGGAAUUUUGGUUAGUUCAAUUUUGACAUGGUAAGAAGACGACACGGCGCAGAAAACCCAAAUUGCCACUUCUACUAGUAAUAAAAGAUACCUGUUUGAAAAGUAAUUAUAAACUAUCUUCUUUGUGUUAUUUCUCAAAACUUUUGUGGCACAAUGUUAUUUCCCUGGAGAAAAGUACGAAAUACCCCCUUUCACGUCGGCAGAAGCAAAGCAAAGCUAUGAGCUAUCUCUGUAUACUUGAAACGCCAUUGCUAAACGAUUCUCGAUGAUGGGUGCCACUGGGUCAGUGUUGUCUCUGAUUUACAUGAUUUAUUAGUUGUCCAGAUGCCAGAGAAACCAUGGUGGCAUUGAAGUUGCCCAGAUGGUUAGUUUUCUGAUCAUUUUUUUAUUCAAUUAUUUAUUUUUUUAGAAAAAUGUGAGAAAUAUGUAGAAAUGUUGACAGCUAUGAUUUUGAAACUUUGCCUAAAAUUGUUAUCAUCACUUAUUUAAAGAGAAAUCCUAGAAACAUGAAAUGAUUAGUAGCCUAAUUCAAAAUUAGACGUGAUUACAACAAGAGAAAAGUGGAGAGAACUUGAUAAUCGAGUGCAUUUAGAAUUUAAUUUUUCUUUUAGCUGCCGAUCAUUAAAUUUUCGAUUUCAGAAAAUUAUACCUAGAAUAUUUCAAGGAUAUACUAUGAAGAUUAUGAAGGUUUGAUUACAUGUCACUAUCAAUUGCCCCAAUCAUUUGUAGUAAAUUAAUUGAUCAUUUUGAUGCAAAUGAUUCCCUACUAAAAAAUUUAAGUCAAGGCUGAAUUGCAUAGUAGUUAGUCGCGCUUGCACUUCAAAUUAAGUAUUGUAUUUUCUGCCUGGUUUGGUUGAUUAAAGUGUGUGCAUUUGCUUUUGAACGUUGUAGUAUAGAAAUCGAAACAUUUGUUUUUCGCUAAGCCCAGAAGCAAAGUUCUUUGUACUGUACUCAUCACUUCUCUUCAUUCUCUUUGUUGAAAUUUUUUCCAAACAGCGGUUUCUUCGAAUUUGUGCCUUCUCUUCCACUUUUAAAUCUAUCAAAGAACCGUUACCUGAGAAGAUUGCCAUCAGGAAUUUCUAAAUUGAUUUCACUAUAAUACCUUAAUCUUUCAGAUACUCCCGUCACUGGGUUGCCAAAAGUGCUAAAAGCCUUCGUAAAUCCUACGUGUUUGAACUGGAGUACAAAUGUUAUCUCUCCACAAUUCCAAAACAACUGAUUUGUUACUUUUCAAUGCUACACGUUCUGCGAAUGUUCAGUUGUGGUUAUCUUGCUGAAAUACCAGAAAAUAGGGUUCUAGUUGGCGGUAGUGGAUUCUUGGUUGGGGAAUUGCUUAGUUUAAAACAUUUAGAUGUAUUAAGCAUCACCUUAAAAGGUUUUUCUUCUGUCCAAAAACUUAUGAGCUCCCAACAGUUUCAAAGCUGUACAAAAUGUUUGGAGCUUAUAGACUGUGAUGAUUCAAAGUCGUUUGCCUUGGCAGAGUUGAAGCAUCUUGAAAAACUAGGUUUUUCAAAUUGUGGAAAUUUGGAAGAUAAAUUACAUUUAUAAACUGUGGAUCGCCCUUUAUAAGUAUUAGGCUUAUCCCAUACUCGAGCAAUGUGGAAUACCUUUAUAAGCAUUAAGCCUCUCCCAUACAAUUUCUGUACAUGACUUUAAAAGUGGUUGAUGACCCGUUUUGUAAUAUCAUAGAGGGAUCAUGAAUUCCUUUUCUUUUCUGUGGCUAGGCAACACUUUUGGGCCAAAGUAAGGAAAUCUAUUUUAGGUAAUGUAAAAACCAGUUGUGGGAUGUAAUAGUUUAUUAUGCACUGACAACAACUUUUUGUAUAAUUGUCAGUUUAAUGAAUACGAGAGGAACUCUGUUGGCAAAUUCAUCCAUGAUAGAUGCUAAAAUUAUACCAGUUGCCUUAACUAAUUUUUCUCAACACUGGUAUUGAACAGGAAAAUGAAUAUGCAAUUUGUAUUUGUGCCAUUGUGGAGAAUUUGGAUAUUCUUAGUUUUAGUAACAAGGAGAGUAUUUGCCUCAUCUUUAAACAAUGAAUCUUUGAGAAAUGAGGACUGGGUGAUUGGCAGUGUCAGAGUGUCUUCAUGUAAAUGUUCAUUUAUUUGUAUUUUGAACUAUUAUUAGAAUCUUUAUAUGCCAAAUUAGUAAUACAAAUGUUCAGAUGAUUUUUCCUGGUGAUCAUUUCAUUCUUGAGAGCCAUGUACAAUACUAGGAUACCAGAGAAACCAAGGUAGCAUUGAAGUUGCCCCAGUGGCUAGUUUUCCGAUCAUUUUUUAUUCAAAUUUUUAUGUUUCAGAAAAAUGUAAGAAAUUUAUAGAAAUGUUGAUAGCUAUGAUUUUGAAACUUUGCCUAAAAUUGUUAUCAUCACUUAUUGUUUCUUAUUUAAAGAGAAAUCCUAGAAACGUGACAUGAUUAUUCCAUACUUGUUUUAAUAUUAUUUAUUAGCAGCCUAAUUCAAAAUUAGACGUGAUUAUUUGUUACUUUUAAUGCUACAUGUUCUGGGAAUAUUCAGUUGUGGUUAUCUUGUUGAAAUACCAGAAAAUAGCGUUCUAUUUGGUGGUAGUGGAUUCUUGGUUGGUUUGAAUGUAUUAAGCAUCACCUUAAAAGGUUUUUCUGCUGUCCAAAAACUUACGAGCCCCCAAAAGUUUCAAAGCUGUGCACAACCUUUGGAGCUUAUAGACUGUAGUGAUUCAAAGUUGUUUGCCUUCGCAGAGUUGAAGCAUCUUGAAAAACUAGGUUUUUCAAAUUGUGGAAAUUGGAAGAGUUUAAGUUCUGCUGUGUUGAGGAUGGAAAGGCUCGAGAAUGUUUUCGUGUGAACAGCUUCAACGAGUUAAGAUAAAGGCUUGUCAUAAAUUGAGGGAAGUGACAUGGCUUGUAUUUGCUCCGUAUCUUGAGGUUAUUCAAAUAGCCAAAUGUAUGGGGAUAGAAGUAAUAAUCAGUGCAAGGAAAUUGGGUGAAGUUCCAGAGAUGAUGGCAGAUCUAAACCCUUUUGCAAAACUCCAAUAUCUUGGCCCACGAGUUCUACCAAAAUUAAAAAGCAUCUAUUGGAAUCAGUUGCCCUCUCUACAUGUCAGGCGAAUUUUGUGUCUGAAUGCCCAAUUCUCAAGAAGCUUCCACUUGGUUUUAACAAUGCAAAGGAAUCUAAAACUAUCAUUAGGGGAGAAGAACACUGGUUGAAUGAGCUGCAAUGGGAGGACAAAGUGACCCUUAAUGUUCUUCUUCCUUGUUUCGGAUCCAUUUGAAGGCAUCAACAUGGAUUGAUACUUUGCAGUGGAGAAAUUUGAAUAAAACCUAUGGUAAGCGCUUUUCCAUUUAUUGCAUAUUUAUAUCUAACUUUUGUUUUCCUUUGUGGUUAAAUUUUGCUCUAUAUACGUUGUUGUACGGUGACAUUCUCAUAUCAAUUAUUAGCUUUUUAAUUCUCUUCUCACAUUAACUGCCCUUUUGAUCAUGUAGGAUAUGCUGAUGUCAAAGAGUCGUAAUUUGGGAUGCAAAUGUAAGAAUUAGACAGAUGACCAGUUGUUUUGAAGCGCUCGAAGAAGGAUUAAUUACGUCAUUGAAAGGCUCCAAUUUUGUGACUUUUUUUUUUAAUUUGUUGUUUUUUCUAUUUUUAGAUAGCUUGAUUGUCAGUUGUCGUGAUGUAAUGCUUUAGUGUAGAAAAAUGAUAUUCGGCCAAGACAACAUUAGCAGGGCACCUUGUGCAUGCAUACUAGUGGAUAAUUUCGGCAUGCUAAAUCCAAUUAGGGUGGAUGACCCUUUAUAAGCAUUAGGCUUCUCUCAUACCCGAAAACAAUGUAGAAUACGCUUAUAAGCUGCGGAUCACCCAUUAUAAGUUUUAGGCUUCUCCUUUACUCGAGCGAUGUGGAAUACCUUUAUAAGCAUUAAGCUUCUCCCAGUAUCUUUAUGUUAAAAAUAAUAAUAAUAAAAGAAAUCCAUUUUAAAAUAGACUCUUUUUUCUUUUUCUAUAUAAACAAAUGCAUUCUUCAAAUCAAUUGUGGGCAGAAGAAGUUAGUAGAAAAGAACUAGUCCCCUUUCAUUCCCCCUUAAAGCUCACCAAAGCCUCUUUUGUAAGCUUUUCGGAUUUUCUUUCUAUAUUGCUUAUGAUCUCAUUUUUGAUUGAAUCACUUCUUUUGCAUGCUGCAUAUUUUGUUUGUUGUAUUUGGAUAUUAUCGUAUCUGGAAUGCUGUUAUGAUUGAUGGAACAAGUAAUCGAUAUUUGGUCUGAUGGAAGUUGACUUAUUUAUUUAUUGUUAUUUUAAUUUGAAACUAUGUACAAUUGCAUUUCAUUCAUUUCUCUCUCUCCCCCCCCCCCCCCCCCACACACACACACAUAUAUUUGUUAUGUAUAAUUGCGUUUCAUUUGAUAUUGAUCAUGCUGUAGAUAACCAUGUGAUUGUAGAUGGGGAUUUCAAGUUUGUUGAAUAUUCAAGUAAGUGAAGUAACUGUCAAAAUACUAGUGAAAUUGGGAGCUUUAUUCAUGAGCUUGUGGUUUUGAAAAGUACCACAGUUCAACCGAUGAAGGUUCCUUUUUGGGGUUCUUCUUUUUCUAGGCUGCAAUUAGGAUAUGUACAUGUUAGACAAUCUUUUGCGGGUUUAGCAUAUCUUCUCUGAUUUUGUCUUUUAUUCCCCAAUCUUAUAAUUGCACACCAUGAAUGUUGAGUGAUUGUAUAGAAAAUUUGUGUUAUAACCAAAGCGUUGUGAAGGAGUUAAGUUAGUGGCUUCUGUUUUAUUGGCAUUGAUUGGGUAGAUUAUGUGUUACAGUGAUUCAAUUUGUGCUCCAAAGUUUGCUUUAAUUUCUUUUUUCCCUAAUUAUUUAUGUCAAAUUUAAAUCCAGAAGCAUGUACUGAUUUUUUCUUUUUGUAUUAAUCUGUGAAGGUUAUUUGGAAUGGAAGUAUCUGGGUUGGGUCUAACGGAUUAAAUUAUGACAUUGGGGGGAAGGCAGUAAAGGGUUUGCUCGACACAUUUGGUUCUGUGUUUACUUUGCAAGAAAUAGCUUUUGGUUAUCACAAUGCCGGUGGAAUCCCGAUUUGGCUCGUGAAUUUCUUUGUGACAAAUAGGCAAACACAUCAACCUCUUCUAUCCAUCCUUCUACUGGUAAGGCAAGGGGUAAAGAGUCUUCAAAAUCAUCAAAUAGUAACAUCUCUGAGAAUUCAUUUUAUGCAAAUGGAAAAUCUAGACCUUCUAAGACAAAAUGGCGUCCUGUAUCAGGAGGUACCGUUUCAAGUUUUCUUGGUAAAAAUUAUGUUAAACCUGCACAGCCAGCUAAUGGCACAUUUCUAGCAUCAAAGCCAUUGAAGUUGGAUCCAAAGGGGUUUCCCAUGUCUCCACUUUUGCGGAGAAGAUACUAAACUGAAACAAUCAAAGGAUGACCAUUUGCAGAAGGAUAUGGAAGAUUUUCUGUUUAAAUUGCUAGGAGAAGUGUUCCUAUUGUCCUUUUCAAUGUUCUUUCUUUCUUUCUCUUCUUUUCUUCUUCUUCUUCUUUUUUCUUUUUGUGUGCGUGUGAUCACUAAUUUGGUAUUGUAGUUUAGUUGCAGAUAGUUGUGGAUAUGAUAUGCAAAAGGUAAGGACUAUAUCUUCCUGAUGGAGGCCUCUGCUUUUUCCUUUAUGUGUAAUUUAAUAAAUUGCAUCUUCCUUUGUGAUUGUUAUAUCAUAUCAAAGACAAGUCUUAAAUACUGCUGUCAUAUGUUAAGGUUCAACUUGCAGUUUGAUUAACAUUCAUGGCUCAAAGGCCUGAAAAAACUUGCCAGUAAUUGUAAAAUGACAUUCUUUGCUUUUAAUGCAAUAGAGGGAACAGGGAAGUAUAGCUUUGGAAGCCUGGAUUGGUAACUAUAGAGAGACUUAGUAUUUAAUUGAUAAAAAUUCCCAUAACCCAAGGUCAAGAAAAUUUUAGAUCGUUAAAGACUUCAUUUUGUUUCGGCCAGAAAUGUUUGUUUCGAUCGAAGACUUGAACCAUUUCGAUUGAACCUGAUUAUGAUGCUUUACGUUAUGCAUGUUCCUCUUAAUCAAGAAAAGUUGAGGUGAUGAUUUUAUAUUUCUAUAUUGUAAGUUGAAAUAAUAAUUGGUCUGCUUGUUUCUGUAGCUUGAUAACAUGAAUUUUCCUUCUCAAGUUAAUUUAAUCAAUAAAGUAAUUCUUCAAAGAAAAUAUGCCCAUUCUAUAAUCAUUUUCUUAAUUAACAUGUUUUUUUCUUCACACUUCAGAGCAUGUUGAAACUAAUUGAUCGCUCGGCAGAGACUUUGGGUGAGAAGACAAAAUUUCUCGGUAAAUCCUCUGAAAAGGUAUGCAUAAUUCCGCAGUAUUAAAUAACCAAUGGUCAUAAUUUUUGUACAGGACUCUUUUCUUGUGGAGAUAAUUAAAAGUGGCUGAUGAUCCAGUUUGUAUAUCAUAGAGGGAGCAUCAAUUCCUUUUGUUUUCAGUGGCUAGGCAACACUUUCAGGGCAAAGUAAGGAAAUCUAUUUUAGGCAAGUAAAGCCAUGUAGAUGUAAUAGUUAACAUGCACUGACAAUAACUUUGUAUAAUGUCAGUGAACGAUACAAGAGGAAUCUGUUGACAAUCAUCCAAGAUAGAUGCUAAAAUUAUUAUGCAUGCCAGUUGCUUAAUAAUUUUCUUACACUGGUAUUGAAGAGGAAAAUGAAUAUGCAAUUUGUAUAUGUGCCAUGUGAGAAUUUGGAUAUCUAUCUAAGUAACAAGGAGAGUAUUGCCUCAUCUUUAGACAAUGAAUCUUGAGAAUUUGGAUAUUCAUGUAAAUGUUCAUUUGUUUGUAUUUUGAACUAUUAUGAGAAUCUUUUAUAUGCCAAAUUAGUAAUGCAAAUGUUCAGAUUAUUUUUUCUGUUGAUCGUGCAUUUGUGUCUGCACACAACCAUUGUAUAUCACUUCAUUCUGAUGCGCAAGUGUCUGUAGUUUAGAAGAAAAGAAAUAAUAAUGAUAUAUUAUUGCUUGAUUCAUGAUUAUUAAAUGAUUAUGGCUUUAAAAAACCUACAAAUUCCUUUUGUUGAUAUAUGAAUGUACCAAGUUUGCUAUAUCUUAGAUUACCAUUUCCAAGAUAACAAGUUCAAAUUUUUUCUUUAUCCUUUUCCUUCACAGUUGCAUUUUAAGUGUAAGAUUUGUUAUUAAUACCUGGUUUCCCGUCAUUAUGAUUUCAUAAACAGUGUAUGGGUAUGUGCUCUACUUUUGGAGGGCCUCCACGUGAAAGAAAAUUGUAACAAUUGAAUUCUUCCGGAUGGUAUGGUAUUUAAUUUAUUUUCUCAACCUCUUGUAAGACUAAUAUAUUUUCCUUUAGUAGACACGGCAUGGUGGGAAGGGUUUUUUAUUGAAAGAAUUCUGAUAUUUCUUAGACUUUGUUUUGGAAGGGGGUGCAGGGGUUUCUCAUCCAUAUAUGGUUACUUGAUUAGCUUUUGACUGUAUUGCCUCAAUCGUGCAAAGGAAGAUCCAAAUACAAACGAAAGAGAAUUGUUUAGACACCCAGAAGAUGGAAAUGAACUACAGAAGGAAGUUUUUGCUGCUUUAUUUAGUGCUCCUGAGAAAUCUGAUGAAUUUCCUGAAAUUACGGUGAAGACCAAGUGUGAGGUCCAAAGCAUUAGGAAAGGUGGUGAGUGAACUGCCGGAGCAAUUGGUACAGAAUACAAGGCUAAUGUGGUGGACUUGCAGCAAGAUAACCGGAACAGUACGUGCUCUUAUAUUAACUAUAUUGACUGGAUUUGCUAGUGUGUGCAUUUUCGUGUGUAUACUUUUGUAUUUAUGCAUAUUAAUGUGUGUAGGAUUCUUGAUUUCUGCCACUUAUUGGAGAACUAAUGGAAAGCUUUAUACUGGUAUAUCUGCAAUAACUAAUGGAAACUAUGAUAUUAAUAUUUUCUCUCGCUUGGAGAAUGCGUAACAGAUAUACUUUGUGGCUCUGGAAUACUAAAGAUUCUGCAAUAACUAAUGGAAACUAUGAUAUGAAUAUUUUCUCUCACCUGGAGAACUUUGUAACAGUUACACUUUGGGGCUUGGAAUGUCUAAAGAAUUUUGUCUGCUUCAGUUAGAUCAAAUAUCUUUUAGUUACAUACAUUAUAGAAAAGAUAAAGUUCUCUGAAUCUGAAAGACUUAAAAUUUUGCAUAUUUCUUGAUAGGGAAAUAUCUGUAGAUACUAGUUCAUGCAUUGUGGUAGCAUCAGUGUUAAAGAAAAACAGCAGUAAGUUAUUAUAUAGAAUUAGGUUCACUUGCUUUAAAUCCUGGUCUGGUCAACCAUAUGAACCUGUAAGUGGUUCUGUAGAAAUAUAUAUAUACGGGGAGAAAGUAGCUAAAUUUUCCUUUCAUUUAUGGGUUUGGUCAUUUUUUCCCCUUAUUUAUGUUUUCUCACACAUUUUUUAAAUGCCCCAGACAUGCAAUUUUGUAUGUGUCAAUUGCCUUUUAAGUUUUAAAAACCAUAAAGUAAGAAUACAGUUUCUUGUCAGGCUAUUGAUGCAUUUGCUCGGGGGGAUCAUGCUCGAGCAGGAAAACUUCUAGAACAGGUAAGGUUUCCAUCUACAGCCAUUUAUUGACAACAUAUAUAUUUUCAUUCAGCAAGCACUGUUAGCAUUCAAGAUGCUGGCAGAUUCACUUGAUUCUUAUUAGUUUGUUUAGUAGCAAAGCAUAUAACCUGUAUUUUAAAGCUAAGUUGUGCUAUUGAUUAUGUUAACUUUAUUGUUCACAUAAAGUGAUAUUGAGGAAAUAAUCAAUGUAGGAAAAUUAGGUGAAGAGAUGAUGUCAAAUCUUGAACCUCUUACAAAACUCCAAGUUCUUUACUUGAAGAAGCUACCAAAUUCGAACAGCAUCUACUGGAAGGCCUUGCCAUUCCCUGAUGUAUGCAGAAUUUUUGUAUUUAAAUGCCCAGAGCUUAAGAAGCUGCCACUGGAUCUUGAGAGGGCAGGCCAAGGUAAAAUUCUUAUCAAGGGAAAGAAAGAUGGGUGGAAACAACUUCAAUGGGAGGAUCAAGUAACUCAGAAUGCAUUGCUUUCAUUUUAAAAAUCAACCAACAAGUGAUUGAAGGGGGCAUCAUCAACGUAAUCAACAUGGAUGGAGAGAUUCUGGAGCAGAUCAGCGGGGUUUAGUACGACCUGUGGUGGUUUCUUUUUUGUGACUUUUUUGCCUUUCAUUUUUUCACUUCCUGUCAUAUUAUCAUUUCUUUGUCUGUGUUUCUAUUGCUAGUGUUGCUGCAUGCUUGCUGUCCUUGACAAAGUUAGCUAGUUUUUUUUGUUUAUUAAAUUUUGUAUGUUCGGUCGGGACAGUCACAAAGUACUACUUGUUCUAUAUGGGGGUGAUGUGAAUCAACUUUUCAAUUAUAUAUUCUGUGGUAAUUGUGAAUUCAAUUUCAUUUAUCUCCUGCAAAUUAUGAAGAAAGUGCAGAGUUACAAUAUGGAAAAGUUCACUGGCAAAUACUUUGUAAAAGCUUCGGAGUGAAACAGGAAAUGCACUUGCAACUAAGGACAAAUUGGUGGCCGGCUAAUGCAUUCAUUUUAGGGAAAAGGACACAGACCCUCAACGUUUUAAUAAGGGACAUAAAACUCCCUAAUAUUUUAAAAAAAAUACUCAAACCCCCAUUUGUUAAUAGUAAAUUCUAAGUUUAAAGUGUAAUUACCAUUAUACCUUUAUAGCAUAUUAAAAAAUAAUUAUUCAUUAUUCAAUUUAUUCUUAUAUUAUUAAUAAAAUUACGAAUAUAAUUUCAUUAUCUAAUUUUUUCAUUUAAUUUUUGUUAAAUUUUCUCUUCAAACUAAAUAAAUUUAAUCCAUUGCUUAAGAAUAAAAAUAAAUUAAAUUGAUUACUAAUAUAAUAAAAAUAACAUAUAUUUAAUAUAAAAAUAACAUAUAUUAAAUUAAAAUAAAUUUAAUUUAUAUAUAGAGAAUUGUUAUUUUUAAGAAAUUAUCAAUUUAAUUUAUAUAUAAGAAAUUAUAAGAAAUAACAUAUGGAGAAUUGUUAUUUUUAUUAUAUUAAUAAUCAAUUUAAUUUAUUUUUAUUUUUGAGCAAUGGAUUAAAUUUAUUUAGUUUGAAGAGAAAAUUUGAUAAAAAUUAAAUGGAAAAAUUGGGUAAUGAAGUUAUAUUCAUAAUUUUAUUAAUAAUAUAGGAAUAAAUUAGAUAAUGAACAAUUAUUUUUUAAUAUGCUAUAAGGGUAUAAUGGUAAUUGUACUUUAAAAUUAGAAUUUACUGUUAACAAAUAGGGGUCUGAGUGUCUUUUUUGAAACAUUAGGAAAUUUUGUGUCUCUUAUUCAAACGUUGGGGGUUUCUGUGUUAUUUUCCCUUCAUUUUAUGUACAUUCAUCUUUUUAAUUAUUGAAGAUAAGUGGUUCGUUGCUUUUGUUGUAGAUAAAAUUCAGACGACCUCAAUUGUGACAUGACAAUAUUUAAAACAUCUCUUAAAUUAUUAUAAAUUUAAUUUAUCUUAACUUUAUUGAAAAGAUAAAAGAAAAAUGUGGUGUAUGGAUAAAUUUUUUUUUAUCUUCUUAAUCAAAUGGAAUAAAUUAAAAUUUACAAUAAUUUAAAAUAUUUUAAAAAUUAUUAUUUCAUAAGAGAUUAAUAUGAAAUUAAUCGUUUUUACUUUUUUAAUGUGAAAGGACAAGAAAAGAGAAAGCAUGUGUCCCUGCUUUUUAGUUUUUAUUUUAUUUGAAAUCGGAGUUAUCCCAUAUACUUUACUAAUUUAGCUCUAACAUUACAAUGUUUUUAGGCUACACUUUUAUUUUUCUUUUUCCCCCUUUUUUUAUACAUGCAUGUGGAUUACUUUUCUCUAAGCUCCUUAAUAUUUAAGACAAAUCAUAAAAGCAAUUGAAGUAUAACAAGAUGAUCAAAACAUUUAACCAAAAAAAAAGAAAGAAAAAAGAAAGAAAACAUUGAAAAUGGAGAUGUUGAUUAAUUUAGAAGAGAUGCAAGCAAAAGAUAUUCCCAAAAAAAAGAAAAAAAGAAAAAAACAACGUUAGUUCAUCCAUGUCUGUCAAUGCGUUUUUUAUGGUUUUUUUUUUCCAGUUGUUUGUUGUAAUAGAUUGAUUGUAAAUUGAUAUGAAUUUGAUGUUGUAAUAUGUUCGCUUUUGUGGAAUUAAAUUUGAAUAUUCAAGAUUAUUCAAGUCUUAUCUAGUAUGUGUUCAAUUGUGUUGUCGAUAAUUUUGCAUUCGAAUAAUUUUUCACCUAAAAUAUUAGCAUGAGUAGUAGUCCUUGAAAUUUUGGUCAAAAUUAUUGUUAUUGUUUGUUUUAGAGGAAAUUUUUUUAUUAAAGCCUCGUUAACACUAUACCUUAUUAAGAUUAUAAGUUAGUGUCAGUGCAGGAUUUACAGCAACAAAUCUUGUCUAGCCACGUGUCAAAAGUACAAAUAAAUCAAGAGUAAGCACAUGACAUGGAUUAGGAUCCAAUAAGAUUUAAAUCCCAAGGAAAAGGACAAUUGUAUCCUAAAGUUUCAAUAAGAGAUACUGAGAUAUCUUUUGACUAAUGUUAUUUUUUUAGCUUUAUUAAUAAAAAGAUCAAAUAGUUUAUAACAAAUAAAAAUAUAGUAUGAAGCUAAAUGUGAUAAUAUAUACAUUUUACAUAAUUUCAAUAAAAAAAAUUUCAAUAAAAAACAUUUUAAUGUUUUACGAUCUAUUAGACAUAUUUUAUUAAAUUAAUAGGAAUUUUCUGAUAAAUAGCAACAUAAUAUUAAAAUAAAUUUAUAAAGAUUUAAAUGUAAAAUAAUUUUAGUAUAAUUAAUACGUGGGAUAUAUUUUGUAAAUUAUAAAAUUACUUAACCCAAUGAUUUUUAAAAAUCUUUAAAAUAAAUAAAAAUAAAUUAUUCACAUUUUGAUGUAAAUAUUUAAAACAUUUUUAUACAUUAGUCCACAAUUAUUUAUGUUAUAUUUGUAUUUAUUAGAAAUUUUGAAAGUCAAAUGUUUUUCACCUCUAUCUUAUUAGAAUUAUUGCACACAGAGAAAGAGCCAUAUAUGCUUUAUAGCUUUAAAAUCGAUUUGUUUUAUAGCUGGGAACAGAGAUGAUCAUUAUUAUAAGGAUUAAAAAAAAGAUAAAGAAUAUUAAUGAUUAGCGAAAUCUCUAUGGAAAUUGAAUUUAGUAAGAAAAAAUUGAGCUGAUUUUAGCGGUAUAGUAAUAUUUUAUAUAGAGAAAAGUAAAAGCUGCACCCAAGGUUAAGGGAAAUGGUCAAAACUCUUUUUUAAUCAUAAUACUCUUUUUCCUACAUAAUUUAAAAAUUUGACAUUAAUAUUUUAUAAUAAAUAAAAACAUAUAAUCCUAAAAUAAAUAAAAUAAUAUAUAUUUUAAAAUAAUCUCAAUAUUUAAAAUAUAUUUUAACAUUUUAUAGUCUAUCAGAUAUAUUUUAUUUUUUUUAAAGUAAAUUUUAUAAUAAAUACAAAACAUACUAUUAAAAUAGAUAUAAAAAUUUUAAAGUAUUUUGAAUAUUAUAUAAAAUAACUUUAAUAUUGUUAAUGCGUGAGAUGCAUUUUAUUAAUUAAAAAUUCUAUUUAACCCAAAGAUUUAUUUAUAAUAAAUUAAUAAUCAUAUUUUUGAAAUUAUUUUAAAUAUUAAAAAAUAUUUUAAUAUUACUAACUAUUAGAUAGACUAAACUAUUUAUAUUAUUUUCUAUUUAUUAUAAAAUUUCAAAGUUAAUCUUUUUAACUACUAUUCAAAAGAUAUUAUGAUAAAAACAGAAUUUUUCUGUUUUAUUAAAAAUUUAGAGUUUACACCUAUUUUUUCAAAUAUUCGGGGUGUAACUGUUUUAUUUAAAUAAAAUCUCAGUUAAAAAUGUACAGAGAAGAAAUUUCUGUUGGUAUUUUAGUCUUUUACCAAUUAUCACGAUUAGGCCUUGGCCUUGAAACAUUAAUUGUUUCACUUUUAGCGCUAGUGGCGUUGAAAGUUGUCAAGAAAAAGCAAGACCAUAUUCCACAAAAGCAGCUCUUUUAUUAAAGGCAAAGUAUAAAGUAGUCAAGAAUCGAAUAUCCUGUCGUCUACUCUUUUUUAAAUUCUUCUUUUAUUAUCUUUUAGAAUAGUUUUUGGUAAUUACAAUCAUUAUUCAGAGUUAUUGUUAUCUUCUGGGGCAGUCUCUGUUCAUCGAAGUCGUUACCUUUUUUUCAUGGAUCAGUUCCAGUGCCAAGCAGUAAUUUUCUUAGAACUCGGAUCUUUAAUUCGAGUUUCUUUGUGAAUUAAUAAUAAAAAAUUUUCAUUACACGCAAUUUAAGCUACGAAUUACUUUUUGCAAAGUUGAAUAUGAAAUUGGAGAAAUUAAAUAAUUUAGAAUGUUGGUAAAAAUUGACUAACAUAUCCCCAAUUACAGUAAAACCUCUCUACAGUCAUAACAUUAUAACAAAAUUAAUUUUAUUACUAUGUUGAGGUAAUAUAGGUUUAGUUACAAAAUUAUUGUUUUAAUAUGGUUAGUGUCAAGUGAUAUAAAGGUUAAGUAUGCAGUACAUUGAUAAUUAAAUAAUGAAGCGUGUCAAAUCUAACGUAUAUAUAUUAAUGAUAUAGAUAGACAUAGUUUUAAAAAACUAAUUAAUGUAUAUUUAUGUACUGUUAUGAAUAUGGAAAGUCAAGCCUACACUUUACAUUAUCCUUAAUUUUUUCUCUCAGUUAAAUUCUACAAAUAUUGUACAAUGAUUGGGUAAGAACUCUAAAUUAAGAAUAAAUUAUUGUCACAAAUAAUUUUAAAAAAUAUUUUAUUUCAUCUUAAACCUUUAAUGUAAGUAAAUAUAUAUAUAUGUGUGUGUGUGUGUGCAUAUUUUGCAAGGUAUAGAUAAUUGUUAGUAUAUGGAGACAAGUCUUUUAAGGUAGGACCUAGGAAAAUUUAUAACUUACUACAUUGGGGAGUUUUUAUUCCUUUUUAUAAUUGGCUCAUAUUGAUACAUUCUUACACAAAAUAUUACCAUUGACAUAUUUUACUACAAUUGGUUUAGAACAUUUGUUAGGAAAAAAAAAAGAAAAGAAAACAUUCAUUGGAUGUAGCUCUCCCUCGUAUGCUUUUUUCUCCAAAUAUUCCUGCGUCCACAGAAACAAGUCAGAGCACGCCGGUUGUUUUCCCGGCGUAAACCCUCUGACGCUCAAGUCAGAUAUGAAGGCUCUGGGAAUGCUUGCCACAGAUCUUAUGGUUUUUCUGUAGUUUCUAUUCUUUAGAGUUUCAUUUAUCUCUGAAUAUAAUCUCAAAAAUGCUAACCCUUUUACCUUCCUUGGCUACCUUUUUAUAGGCUUCCUCUGAAUCCCGGUCUUCCGUAGUCCACGCCCGUUAUUCUCCCCACCCUCGGAUGUGGAUGCCCCAUUAUCGCCAUUGUGGGCGAAUGGAGAUGGACUUCGUGCCUUGAUUCUCGGAUAGGAAUGCACGUCUUGCCAACUGUCGUUGACUGGGUCUCCUCGCCUCUCGACCUCUAGCCGGAAUGGCCUUAUGCCUCUAACAAGAGUUCGACCUCGUGAAUGGCAUACUCGCGGACGAGCCGAAUAUUUCUGCUCAUGUUCCCCUGCUACCUGGCUCUUACAGGACAUACCUGUUCGCAGAACUCCGCCAUCAAAUAUCUGCUCAUCACGUCUGGUCUCGUUGAAGUAUUUCCCUCAAACAACAUAUUUUACUACAAUUAGUUUAGAACAUUUGUUAGGAAAAAAAAAGAAAAGAAAACAUUCCUUGGAUGUAGCUCUCCUGACUAUUUAAAUCUUUUAAGGAAAAAAAGAAAAAAGAAAAACUGACACAUUCAAAUCUUGAAGCAAUUACAUUAAAACCUCUCCAUAAUGAUAGGAAUAAUCUCCAUUUAGUAAUAAAAAAUUUUGUUCGCAAUCUAGGCAGAGUUAUAAAUAAGAAUAAAAUCCUCAUUGUAAUAAGUUGUAUUUAUUAUGGAUCCCAUCCUAAGGAACUUGUCUCUAUAUAGUAAUAAUUAUUUGCAUAUUAUAAAUAUAUAUGUUGCAUUAGAUUAAAUGAACUUGUCUCCACAUACUACUUAGACAAUGAGAGAAAGUUAUUAAAGAGAACACAAAUAUUUAGAGAUUUUUAAGAUUACUUUGCAUGUUUAUAACAAUAAUACAUUGAUAUAUGUAUUAGUUUUUUGAUAUAUUAGAUUUGACAUGCUCUAUUAAUAAAUUAUUAAUACGAUGCAAACUUCAUCUCUCUAUCCUUGCAAUAAAAGUAACUAAGUUAUAACAAUAAUUAUUAAUAAAUUAUUAAUACGAUGCGUACUUCAUCUCUAUAUCCUUGCAAUAAAAGUAACUAAGUUAUAACGAUAAUUUUUGUAACUACAUGCUUAUUAGGUUUUAACUACUUCAUAAUAAUAAAUUAAUUUCGUCCUAAUAUUAUAAUUAUGUAGAGUUGUAGUGUAUAGACACACCCAAUUUAAAUAGUAAAUCAAAUAAAAUUGUCCCCACAAAAAAGAAAAAAGGGGUAAAGGAUUGUUAUUUCUUCAAACAUUAGGAGCACGUUUGUUCAAGUGCGAUGCCUUUCUUUUGAAGGCAACGUCAGUGGGUACCCAAUAGGACGUGUGUAAAUCUUUCCAAAAUUUCUCCGGUAUAACGGACAGAGAUCAUUACUUUUCUCUUCCAUAGACCACAGCAGCUUCAGUUAAUCAGACUCAAUCAAUUUUCUUGGUUUCUUCGCUUAUCAAAAUUCCAAAAUAUGGGUAGCAUAUUUCAAAUCACAUGCGAUGGUGCUUUUUUCAAUCGUUGCUUGGAUUGCUUUCUUGGAAAAGUAGCAAACACAAGUAAGCUCCAAGAUAACCUUGUUGCCUUGGAGACUGAAUUGGGAAAACUAAUCGUAGCAAAGAACGAUGUGAUGAUGAGGAUUGUCAAUGCUGAACGGCAACAACUGAGAACGCUGGACCAAGUGCAAGUGUGGCUUUCGAGGGUGGAAGCUGUUAAAACUGAAGCUGAUGAAUUGAUAAGACACGGCUCUCAAGAAAUUGACAAAUUAUGUGUUGGAGGCUACUGUUCCAAGCACUGCGCGUCAAGCUACAAGUUCGGGAAACAAGUGGCUAAAAAGCUACGGGAUGUGCAGACUUUAAUCGGCGAAGGAGUUUUUGCGGCGGUGGCUACUGAGGUGGUGCCUGAGAGAGCUCCAGAACCUGUAGCAGAUGAAAGACCCACUGUGCCAACAAUAGUAGGCUUGCAAUCACAACUUGAACAAGUUUGGAGAUGUCUUGUAGAAGAAUCAGUGGGAAUCAUUGGCCUAUAUGGUAUGGGCGGUGUUGGUAAAACUACACUAUUGACCCAUAUCAACAAUAAAUUUCUUGAGAGUCGAACCAGUUUUGAUUGUGUGAUUUGGGCCGUAGUUUCAAAGGACUUGCAACUCGAAAAAAUUCAAGAAGAUAUUGGGAAAAAGAUCGGUUUGGUUGAUGAUUCAUGGAAGAGUAAAAGUGUAGAGGAGAAAGCUCUCGACAUCUUCCGGAGUUUAAGAGAGAAGAGAAUUGUAUUGUUGUUAGAUGAUAUAUGGGAGCGGGUUGAUUUAACAAAAGUGGGCAUUCCACUUUCGGGACCAAAGAAUACUACCUCAAAAGUCGUAUUCACAACCCGUUUCAUCGAUGUUUGUGGUAGCAUGGAAGCUGACAAGAAGUUCCAAGUGGCAUGCUUAUCAGAAGAGCAUGCUUGGGAACUGUUUCGAAAAAAAGUUGGGGAAGAAACUCUUGAGAGUGAUCAUGAUAUCGUUGAGCUAGCCCAAACUGUGGCCAAAGAGUGUGGUGGUUUGCCACUCGCACUUAUUACUAUUGGUCGAGCUAUGGCCUGCAAAAGGACAGCCGAGGAGUGGAGACACGCAGUUGAAGUGCUAAGAAGAUCAGCUUCUGAGUUUGCAGGUUUGGGAAAAGAGGUGUAUCCUCUUUUAAAGUUUAGCUAUGAUAGUUUGCAGAAUGAGACGAUUAAAUCUUGUUUCUUAUAUUGUUGUUUAUAUCCCGAGGAUUAUGGCAUUCUUAAAUGGGACUUGAUUGAUUGUUGGAUUGGUGAGGGAUUCUUAGAGGAAUCUGACAGGUUUGGUGCAGAAAACCAAGGAUACUACAUUGUGGGCACUCUUGUUCAUGCGUGUUUACUAGAAGAGAUAGAAGAUGAUAAAGUAAAAAUGCAUGACGUUGUUCGUGAUAUGGCUUUAUGGAUAGCUUGUGAAAUUGAGAAGGAGAAGAGAAACUUUUUGGUUUGUGCAGGUGCUGGAGUAGGAGCGGUACCAGAUGUUGAAGGAUGGGAAAAUGUGAGAAGAUUGUCAUUGAUGCAAAACCAAAUUGAAAUUCUGUCAGAGGUUCCCACAUGCCCUCAUCUCCUCACUUUAUUUCUUGACUUUAAUUAUAAAUUGGAGAUGAUCACUGAUGGCUUCUUCCAAUGUAUGCCUUCUCUCAAAGUUUUGAAGAUGUCAAACUGUGGGCAUGUCAAAGUUUUGAAAUUACCUUUUGGGAUGUCAAAGUUGGGUUCACUACAACUUCUUGAUAUUUCACAUACCGGCAUAAGAGAGUUACCAGAAGAGUUAAAGUUGUUGGUAAAUCUGAAAUGUUUGAAUUUGAGGUGGACACAUAUGUUAAAUAAAAUUCCACGGCAGCUAAUAUCAAAUUCUUCAUGGUUACGUGUGUUGAGAAUGUUCGCUAUUGGCUUUGAAAAUUCUAAAGAACCAUCAGAAGACAGCGUUUUAAUUGGUGGGGGUGAAGUUUUAGUACAGGAAUUGCUCGGUUUGAAAUAUUUAGAGGUAUUGGAGUUGACCUUGCGAAGUUAUCAUGCUCUCCAUUCUUUUUUGAGCUCAAAUAAGUUAAAAAGUUGUAUUCGAUCUCUUUUCCUCAAUAAGCUGGGAGAUACAAAGUCGAUUGAUGCUACGGCUUUGGCAGAUCUAAAGCAUCUCAAUGAAUUAUAUAUUCUUUUUUUUNNNNNNNNNNNNNNNNNNNNNNNNNNNNNNNNNNNNNNNNNNNNNNNNNNNNNNNNNNNNNNNNNNNNNNNNNNNNNNNNNNNNNNNNNNNNNNNNNNNNNNNNNNNNNNNNNNNNNNNNNNNNNNNNNNNNNNNNNNNNNNNNNNNUCUUUCGCUAUACGGUUGUAAUGCUGUGGAAGAAAUAAUCAGCGUUGGGAAAUUUGCUGAGGUUCCUGAGAUGAUGGGACAUAUAAGCCCUUUUCAGAAUCUCCAAAAGCUUGAUUUAUCACAUUUGCCAGCUUUGAAGAGCAUCUACUGGAAGCCAUUGCCUUUCGCUCAUCUGAAAGAAAUGGUGGUGCAUUGGUGUGAUCGGCUUAAAAAGCUUCCGCUCGAUUCCAACAGUGCAAAAGAGCGUAAAUUUGUUAUUCGUGGAAGAGCAGACUGGUGGAACCGUCUUCAAUGGGAGGAUGAAGCCACUCAAAUUGCUUUCCAUUCCUGUUUCCACCUAAUGAAAUAUAAAUUCCUUAGCGGUGGUUGCAAAAUUUGAUUUCUAGUGAGUGCUUUUUUCUUAAACUCUUACAUUUAUUUCAGAUUCGUUUUUUGUCUCCUGCAAAUCACAAUUAAAUGCUGAAUUAUAUGGAGUCAAUGCUUUAGAAAAUUUUCAAGGCACUGCCAUUUCCUUUUUUCCAUUUUUUUUUGGGUCGAAUUGAUGCUCUGGCUUUUUACUUUUUGUUGUCAAAUUUUGCUCUGUUUUUUCAAGUUGAUGCUUGAAUAGUUGAAUUCAAUUAAUGCUCACAUAAAUUUGUUUAGUUGCCGUAAAAGGAUAUAAUUAGACUGAAGUACACACUUCUAGAAUGAAUACAAAAUGUUAAGUAUACUAGCCCUCUUUACAGAAAAUCAAAUGAAAAUCAAUUUUUUGGGGCUUUGAUUUUCUAUGGUCUAUUAUAUACUCUUUUUAAUAUCUUCUGUUCUAACUAUAACCAAAUCCUUUGUUCAAGGAUUUUUAUUUGGGGUAUUGAUAACUAUCCACCAAAAGAGUGAACACUUGGAUGCUGCUCAAGGAUCUCUAAUCAAUAGCUGGAAGCAACUGAGAAGGCGGUCGCUGCUGUUUACAAAGUGAUGCAGUAUUUGCCAUUCAUCUUAAUAAUUAUGAAGCUUUGGUAAAAUUUUCAAACAAAAUUGAACAUGUUGUUUGAGAUUUGGUUCAUGAUUUUGGAUGAAUAUCGUUGUUCCGUUUGAGUUGGAUGUGAAUUCAAAAUCUAUAUAUUCUUUGGUUUUCAAGUCUGAACUCAAUUUCUUUUUCUCAAGCAUGUUAUGCAGAAAUGAUUUUUACUAAAUCAUUUUUGAUGAAUUGUUUAAAUUAAACACUUGGAAUAAGAAUUGUAAACGUUUAUCAUAAGCAUGCUAAUAUGAUAAAUUGUUUUAUGAACGACUAAUUAAUUAAUCAAUUAAUAUUAAAUUAUAUAUUAAUCAAUUAGAUAUGCGUUACAUGUCAUGUUUAAAAACUAUUUAUUUAUAUUUCAAACAAAUUUGACUGGAUGUUGUGUAGGUAAUACUACAUAAUUUCAAAACAAAAAAAAGUAAUAAAAACACGUUAAAUUUUGUUUUUAUGAAGAAAAAUUUAAAAUUUUAUUAAAUAGGUGAAAAUAAUAAAUGGAUUCGUGUAUGGUUUGAGAUUCUUGACAUAAUUAUGAAAUAAGCCGGAUUCGACUUAGUUCAAUUUUGACGCGAUAAGAAGACGACACCACACAAACACACGACAAGAACCGUUACCUGAGAAGAUUGCCAUCAGGAAUUUUGAAAUUGAUUUCACUACAAUAUCUUAAUCUUUCAGAUACUCCCAUCACUGAGCUGCCAUAAGAGCUAAAAGCCUUGGUAAAUCUUAAGUGUUUGAACUGUACACAAAUUAUCUCUCUACAAUUCAAAAACAACUGAUUUGUUACUUUUCAAUGCUACAUGUUCUGCGAAUAUUGAGUUGUGGUUAUCUUGUUGAAAUAUCAGAAAAUAGAGUUCUAUUUGGUGGUAGUGAAUUGUUGGUUGGGGAGUUACCUAGUUUAAAACGUUUAAAUGUAUUAAGCAUCACCUUACAAGGUUUUUCUGCUGUCCAAAAACUUAUGAGCUCUCAAAAGUUUCAAAGCUGUACAAAAUGUUUGGAGCUUAUAGACUGUGAUGAUUCAAAGUCUUUUGCCUUGGCAGAGUUGAAGCAUCUCGAGAAACUAGUUUUUCGAAUUGUGGAAGAGUUUAAGUUCUGCUGUGUUGAAGUUGGAAAAGCUCAAGAAUGUUUUCGUUUGAACAGCUUUCCCCGAGGUAAUAUAAAGGCUUGUCAUAAAUUGAGGGACGUGACAUGGCUUGUAUUUGCUCCAAAUCUUACGGUUAUUCAAUAGAAAAAUAUAUGCAGAUGGAAGUAAUAAUCAGUGCAAGGAAAUUGGGUGAAGUUCCAGGGAUGAUGGCAGAUCUAAACCCUUUUGCAAAACUCCAGUAUCUUCGUCUGCGAGUUCUACCAAAAUUAAAAAGCGUCUAUUGGAAUGAGUCACCCUUUCCACAUGUCAGGGAAAUUAUUGUAUCUGAAUGCCCAAUUCUCAAGAAGCUUUCACUCGGUUUUAACAAUGCAAAGGAAUCUAAAAUUGUCAUUUAUUACAUGUUUAUAUCUAACUUUUGUUUUCCUUUAUGGUUAAAUUUUACUUUAUAUAUGUUGUUAUACGGUGACAUUCUCGCAUCAAUUGUUAGCUUUUUAAUUCUCUUCUCCCAUUAAUUGCCCUUCUGAUCAUGUAAGAUAUGCCGAUGUCAAAGAGUAGUAAGUUGGGAUACAAAUGUAAGAAUUAACCAGAUGACAUGUUGUUUUGAAGCUCUCGGAGAAGGACUAAUUAUGUCAUUCAAAGCAUCCAAUUUCGCUACUUUUUUUUUCAUUUGUUGCUUUUUCUAUUUUUAGAGAGCUUGAUUGUCAGUUGUCGUAAUGUAAUGUUUUAGUGUAGAAAAAUGAUAUUCGGCCAAGACAUCAAUAGGAGGGCACAUUGUGCAUGCACACUAGUGGAUGAUUUCGGCAUGCCGAAUCCAAUUAGUGUGGAUAACCCUUUAUAAGCAAUUGGCUUCUCUCAUACCAGAGCAAUGUAGAAUAUAUUUAUAAACUGUGGAUUACUCUUUAUUAGGCUUCUUCUAUACUCGAGCAAUGUGGAAUACCUUUAUAAGCAAUAAGCUUCUCCCCUACACUUUAUGUUAAUAAUAAUAAUAAUAAAAUAAAUCCAUUUUAAAAUAGACUUUUUUUUUCUUUUUCUAUAUAAACAAAAUGCAUUCUUCAAAUCAAUAGUGGGUGGAAGAAGUGAGUAGAGAAGAACUAGUCCCCUUUCAUUCCCCUAAAACCUCACCGAAACCUCUCUUGUGAACUUCUCAGAUUCUCUCUCAAUAUUUCUUAUGAUCUCGUUUUUGAUAGAAUCACUUCUUUUGCAUGUUGCAUUUGGUGUGUCUUUUUUGGGUAAUAUCUUAUCUGGAAUGCUGUCAUGAUCAAUAGAACAAGUAAUCAAUUUUUGGCUUGACGGAAGUCGAUUUAUUUAUUUACUAUUAUUUUUAUUUGAAAUUUUGUACAAUUGUGUUUCAUUCAUUUCUUUCCUUUUUUUUUAAUAUUUAUUAUGUAUAAUUGUGUUUCAUUUGAUAUUGAUCAUACUCUAGAUAACUAUGUGAUUGUAGCUGGGGAUUUUAAGUUUUGUGAAUUCAAGAAACUGUCAAAAUGCUAGUGAAAUUGGGACCUUUAUUCAUAAGCUUGUGGUUUUGAAAAGUAGCCCGGUUCAACUGAUGAAGUUCCUUUUUGGGAUUCUUUUUUUUCCUAGGCUGCAAUUCGGAUAUGUACCUGAUAGACAAUCUUUUGUGGGUUUAGCAUAUCUUCUCGGAUUUUGUCUUUUAUUCCUCGAUUUUAUAAUUACACACCAUGAAUGUUGAGUGAUUGUAUAGAAAAUUUGUGUUAUAACCAAAGCAUUGUGAAGGAGUUAAGUUAGUGGCUUCUGUUUUAUUGGCAUUGAUUGGGUAGAUUACGUGUUACAGUGAUUCAAUUUGUGAUCCAAACUUUGUUUAAAUUUCUGUUUUCCCAAAUUAUUUAUGUCAAAUUCAAAACCAGAAGCAUGUGCUGAUUUUUUCUUUUUGUAUUAAUCUGUGAAGUUUAUUUGGAAAGGAAGUAUCUGGGUCUAAUGGAUUAAAUUAUGUAAGUGGCAGAAAUUCCUACACACAUAAAUAUGCAUAAAUACAAAAGUAUACACAAAAAAAUGCACACACUCAUACAUCCAGUCAAUAUAGUUAAUGUAAGAGCACAUACCGGUUUGGUUAUCUUGCUGCAAGUGCACCGCAUUAGCCUUGCAUUCUGGUGCCAACUCCUCCGGCGGUUCACUCACUACCUUUCCCAAUGCUUUGGACCUCCAUUCGGUCUCCAUCAGAUUUCUCAGGAGCACUAAAUAAAGCAGCUAAAACUUGCUUCUGUAGUUCAUUUCUGUCUUUCGGGUGUCUAGGCAAUUUUCCUUCGUCGGUAUUUCGAUCUUCCUUUACAUGACUGAGGAAAUACAGUCAAAAGCUAAUCAAGUAACCAUAUAUGGAUGAGAAAUCCCUCCACCCCCCUUCCAAAACAAAUUCUAAGAAAUAUCAGAAUUCUUUCAAUAAAAACCCUUCCCCCCAUGCUGUGCCUGCUGAAUGAAAUAUAUUAAUCUUACGAGAAGUUGAGAAAAUAAAUUAAAGAACAUACCCUCCGGAAGAAUUCAAUUGUUGCAAUUUUCUUUCACGUGGAGGUCCUCCAAAGUUAGAGCACAUAUCCGUACACUGUUUAUGAAAUCAUAAUAACAGGGGACCAGAUAUUAAUAACAAAUCUUGACACCUAAAAGUCAACUGUGAUGAAAAACAUUAAAAAGAAUAUGAACUUGUUAUCUUGGAAGAAGAUAAUUUAAGAUAUAGCAAACUUGGCACAUUCAUAUAUGAACAGAAGGAAUUUGUAGACGUUUUAAAGCCAUAAUCGUUUAAUAAUCAUGAACCAAGCAAUAAUAGAUGAUUAUUAUGUUGGGUGCAAGCGGAAGUGCAGAAAAAUUUUUAUUUAAGAUCAGAGUAUUUUGCUGGAAAUUUCUGAAACUUUAUUGCUUAAUUCAUUUUUUCGUUUCUCUCUUACUUUUCAUACAACCAGAGUUCUAUAUUUAUAUGCAUUAUAGACAACUCUAGAGAUUACAUUAAUCAUGCUUUACAUUUCCAAAGCCACAUUGCAAACAUCAAUUCUACCCUUUACUUCACGUUGAAAAACAAACCAAAUAAUCCUUCAAACUUCUUGCUCAAUUUACUAGAUUACUAAUUAUAUCUCAACACCCCCUCUUAAUUAGUAAUCUUCAAUUGCUUCUUGAAUUUUUCAAACUUCUCAAUAAUGAUUGCUUUGGUCAGAAAAUCUGCUGGCUGCUCAUUAGUGCUGAUAAACUCCAUAUUAACUUCUCCUUUGCUUACUAAGUCACGGAUGUAGUGAUAACGCAGCUCAAUGUGCUUAGAUUUAGCAUGAAAUACGAGGUUCUUUGUUAGAGCAAUGGCUGACAUGUUGUCACAAUAAAUUGUUGUUGCAGCAUCUUGAUUGAACUGCAAAUCCUUGAGAAUUCUUCUAAGCCAAACGGCUUCACAAGCUGAUUCAGUUGCUGCAAUGUACUCUGCCUCGGCUGAGGAUAAAGCUACUGACUUCUGCUUCCUUGAGCUCCAUGAAAUCACAUUUGUACCAAGACAAAAUAAAUAACCUGAUGUGCUUUUUCUGUCAUCAAGGGAACCAGCCCAGUCACUGUCAGUAAAACCAACAAGCUUGCAAUUGUCUUCUUUUUCAUACAUGAUCCCCUGCUUUUUUGUUCCUUGAAGAUACCUUAAGAUUCUCUUUGCUGCAAUAUAAUGGGACUUCCUUGGAUCAUUCAUAAAUCUAGAAAGAACACUAACUGAGUGCAAAAUGUCAGGUCUUGAGUUGGUUAGAUAAAUCAACGAACCAACCAAGCUUCUAUAGAUUCUUGCGUCAGCCUUUUCUUCUUUUUCAUCAUGUUUCAAUUUUUCAUUCAAACCCAUAGGAGUAGGUGCUGGUUUGCAUUUGAACAUGUGGAAUUUCUUCAACAAAUCUUCUACGUAUUUUUCUUGACAAAAGAAGAUUUUUCCUCUGGCUUGCUUCACUUGAAUGCCAAGAAAAUACUUCAUUAAGCCCAAGUCAGUCAUCUCAAAUUCAUCUAGCAUGCUUUUUUUAAACUCUUCCACCAUUUUCAGAUUAGUGCCACAAUAAAUUAGAUCAUCAACAUAAAGGCAAACAAUAAGGAAAUCAGUACCUUCCUUUUUGACAUAAAGAGAAGGUUCACUUGAGCUUCUGUCAAAUCCAUUUUUAACGAAAUAUCUAUCAAUUCUGCUAUUCCACGCUCGAGGGGCUUGCUUCAAGCCAUACAAGGCUUUUCGGAGUUGAUAAACUUUGUUUUCUUCACCUUUCACUUCAUAUCCUUUAGGUUGCUCAACAUAAACCUCUUCUUCAAUUUCACCAUUUAGAAAUGCCGAUUUUACAUCUAGUUGAAACACAUGUAAUUCCAUUUGGGCUGCCAAGGCAAGAACAGUUCGAAUAGUCUCCAUUCGAGCUACGGGAGCAAACGUUUCUGUAAAAUCAACUCCAGGCAGCUGAGAGUAUCCUUUGGCAACGAGCCGCGCCUUAUAUUUUUUAACUGAACCAUCUUCAUUGUACUUGAUUUUGAAGAUCCAUUUCAGCCCAAUUGUUUCUUUUCCAUUUGGCAAAUUAACCAUCUCCCAAGUUUUAUUUUUCACAAUGGUGGCCAUUUCCUCGUUCAUUGCUUGGAUCCAAUUUUCAUUUCUUGAGGCCUCCUCAAAGUCUUGAGGCUCACAAGAAAAUAAAGCAAGUUCACAUGACUCAUAAAUUUCUCUCAUUGACUUUAUCUUCCUUGGAGGGCUUUCAUCAUCCGAAGAACUUUCUGCUGCUGAAUUUGGAGAAUUUGGUUCCAAAUUAUUUUGCUGUGAAGAAUUUGGUGGAGAUACAGGAGCUUCGAAAAAGCUAGAUGCUUGAGAUUGAUCUUUUUCCCACUGCCAAGCUGAUGCCUCAUCAAAUACAACAUCUCUUGAGAUAACAAGCUUAUUUGUUGUAGGAUUCAACAACCGAUACCCUUUAGACUCAUCACUAUAGCCAAUAAACAAAUAUUUUUCACCUUUUUCAUCAAACUUCUCUCUGUUUUGAGCUAGAAUAAGAGCAUAAGCAAUACUCCCAAAAAUCUUCAAGUGAUCAACAGUUGGCUUUCGGUUGUGCCAAGCUUCAAAUGGAGUUUUGUCUCUAACAGCUUUUGUAGGAGACCUGUUGAGGAUGUACACAGCUGUAUGACAUGCUUCUGCCCAUAAGUUGUUAGGAAUGCCUUUGCCUUUUAACAUGCUUCUUGCCAUCUCUACAAUGGUACGGUUCUUCCGUUCUGCAACUCCGUUUUGUUGUGGACUUCGGCUGACAGUAAGUUGUCUUUGAAUUCCAUUAUCCCUGCAAUAAUUCAUGAAUGGAGUGUAGAUAAAUUCACCACCACGAUCAGUUCUCAAGGUCUUCAUUUUGCAUCCACUUUGCCUUUCUGCAAGAGCUUUAAACUGAAGAAAAGUUGAGAAAGCUUCUGAUUUUUCAUUCAAAAAAUAAAUCCACAUCAUCCUUGUAUAGUCAUCAACAAAAAGAAUGAAAUAUCUCCUGUUAUUGAGAGAGAGAGUCCUUGUAGGACCACAAAUAUCAGCAUGCACCAACUCCAACGGAGCUUUGGCUCUCCAUGAAUUUUUAGGAAAUGGAAGUCUAUGCAUUUUUCCAUAUAUACAGCCCUCGCAAACUUUUUCAUAUCUUCCAACAUCAGGUAAGCCAAUCACCAUGUUCUUUUGCUUGAGCAAAUUCAGCCCUUUAUAGUUUAAAUGACCAUAUCUGAGAUGCCAUAAAUUUGACAAAUCUGAAUUUUCAGUUUUGAGAGCAACAUUCUCAUCAAGUGGCAUAACAAGAGGAAAAACUUUGUUCUUUGACAUUUCAACAACGGCCACUGUAUGAUUAUUAGUUUUAUCAAUGAUUUUGCAUUUUUCAUCAUCAAAAUAAAUUGAAAAACCCUUUUGAAUUAGCUGCCCCACACUCAAGAGGUUUUGAGUUAAAUUUGGAACAUAAAGAACGUCAUAAAUGAGCUUUUUGUUACCUCCCUUUGUAUGGACAGCAAUAGUGCCUUUUCCCACAGCUUUCUGCAUCUUUCCAUCUCCAAGCUUCACUUGCGAAUUAAAACUUUGGUCAAGGUUGAUGAAAAUGUCACGUUCUCCAGUCAUGUGGUUGCUACAACCGCUAUCCAAGUACCACAAAUUAUAUGAUUCACGUUCAGCACCUUUACUUGAAUAAAACAAGUAAUCUCCAUCACAUUCUUUUGUAAAAUUUGCCUCAUUUUUGCCUUUCUUAUUUUGAUACCAGCAAUCCCUUUGAGAAUGGUUAGGAAUGCGACACCUUGUGCAUUUAUAACGACAAUCUUUUGAUUCAUGAUUAGACCGAUUACAAAUGAUGCACUGAGAAUCUGAAUUUUGCUGUGAAUUCCCUCUGUCAUUUUUCCACUUGUUGCGGUUGUCGUUCUGUUCUCUUUGCCCUAUGCCACGCUGCUCGUUUCUUUGAGACGAGCCUCCGUUCUUCUGGUCUUUCUUGCUGCUUUUAUUCUGAUCUGAAUUAUUAAUCUUUGACUGAAAAGCUUGCUCUGUAGGCUGACUUGAAGGUCGAUUGAUUCUUUGCUCAUGAGACCGUAAUGAUCCUGACAAAUCUGAAAAAGUCAUCUUGGACAAAUCCUUUGAUUCUUCAAUGGCUGCUGCUACAUGAUCAAACUUUGGAGGAAGACAUCUCAGCACCUUUUCAUUCACCUUCUUGUCUUCAAUGGAGUCCCCACAACCUUUAAUCUGGUUCACAAUCUCAGUAACUCUACUGCAAAAAUCCUGAAUUCCUUCUCUGUCUUUCAUUGAUAAAUUAUCGAACUCUUUCCACAAAGUCUGUAACUUGAUGGUGACUGCCUUUUCAGAACCUUGAAAUUCUUGUUUUAGGAUUUUCCAAGCAUUUUUGGCCUUUUUGACACCAAAUAUUCUGGGGAAAAUUGACUUACUAACACCUUGCUGGAUAUAUCGAAGUGUCGUGGCAUUUCUCUGUAUGUUUUCUUUGUACUGCUGUUGAUGUGCUGGAGUCCAAUCUGAAGAACUUGCAGAUUCUGGUGGUUCAGCAUAUCCAUCUUCAACAACAUCCCAUAAAUUUUGAGAGAGGAAAAAGGUUUCCAUUUGAUUACUCCAAUAUUCAUAAUGUACCCCUUCAAAUAUUGGAACUUGACUGGGAGCAUAUGAGAAUAAUGUGGGUAGGGUAUUUGAUGUCAUUUUGAGGGUGUUUUGGAAAAGCUCUGAUACCAAAUUUGUUGGGUGCAAGCGGAAGUGCAGAAAAAUUUUUAUUUAAGAACAGAGUAUUUUGCUGGAAAUUUCUGAAACUUUAUUGCUUAAUUCAUUUUUUCGUUUCUCUCUUACUUUUCAUACAACCAGAGUUCUAUAUUUAUAUGCAUUAUAGACAACUCUAGAGAUUACAUUAAUCAUGCUUUACAUUUCCAAAGCCACAUUGCAAACAUCAAUUCUACCCUUUACUUUACGUUGAAAAACAAACCAAAUAACCCUUCAAACUUCUUGCUCAAUUUACUAGAUUACUAAUUAUAUCUCAACAUAUUAUUCCGUUUCUUCUAAGCUACGCAUACUUGCACAUCAGAAUAAAGUGAUAUACAAUGGUUGUGUGCAGACACAAACGCAUGAUCAACAGGAAAAAUCAUCUGAACAUUUGUAUUACUGAUUUGGCAUAUAAGAUUCUCAUAAUAGUUCAAAAUACAAAUAAAUGAAUAUAUAUAUAUUCCCCACCGGAAUCACCCCCUGGAUCCUCACUCAAGGUGUCUUCCGAGCCAGAAGAUCCCUCCUCACCACUAUUUCCGCUCGUGGAGGUUGUUUGGGGGGACAUCCUCCUAGCGCUAGUCCCAACACUAGACCUAAUGGGUUCUAAGGGGAUCCCGGGGUCAAAAGCAGGAUCGGUGAGCAGACUAGACAAGAAACCUAAUUCGUCGUCAUCAAUCUCAACGAUUUUCUCUUUACCCUUCGACAUUCCCUAAACUAUAAUCAGAACACCACCACCAACUACAACCCCAAGCAAAGCACAGAGAAAAGAAAUUAUCUACAACUAACCAAGACCGAGAAAAUAGAAGAAAUACCUGAAGCAGGGAUUCGAUCAGAGAGAGAUAGGGAUGAAAGCUUUAAUGCCGAGGUUCAUUCGCCGGAGAGACAAGAAGGGAGAAAAUGACGAGUUCGUGUUUGAGGAUUUUGGGUUUUCUUACUGAGAAGCAAACUCUUGGGCUGCCAGCAUUUAAUGACACAUAUUCCGAGAAUCUUGCAACCGUAGGUUUGAAAUUCAAAUGGAGGGGUGGAUUUCUGCCACAUCACUUCAUCUGCAAUUAAAUGCGACACGACUCUUGGCAGUCUUUUCCAGUCCCACGCGAGCAAGAACCGAUUGAGUUUCUACUGCUGGUCCAUUACAUUACCCAACACCAGAAACUGGGGGACUGGUGUUUGAGGGAAAUACUUCGACGAGACCAGACGUGAUGAGCAGAUAUUUGAUGGCAGAGUUCUGCAAACAGGUGUGUCUUGUAAGAGCCAGGUAGCAGGGGAACAGGAGUAGGAAUAUUCUGCUCGUCCACGAAUAUGCCAUUCACGAGGUCAAACUCCUGUUAGAGGCAUAAGGCCAUUCCUGCUAGAGGUCGAGAAGCGAGGAGACCCGGUCAACGACAGUUGGCAAGACGUGCAUUCCUAUCCGAGAAUCAAGGCACAAAGUCCAUCUCCAUUCGCCCACAAUGGCGAUAAUGGGGCAUCCAUAUCCCGGGGGGGGGAGAAUAAGGGGCGUGGACUACGGAAGAUCGGGAUUCAGAGGAAGCUUAUAAAAAGGUAGCCAACGAAGGUAAAAGGGUUAGAAUUUUUGAGAUUGCAACUAAGAAAAGAGAGCUCUAAGAACUGAAACUAAAGAGAAGCCAUAAGAUUCGUGGCAAACAUUCCCAGAACCUUCAUAUCUGACUUGAGCGUCGGAGGAUUUACGCCGGGAAAACGACCGGCGCACCCUGACCUGCUUUUGUGUUCGCAUGAAUUUUUGGGGAAGAAACCUUACGAGGAGAGAUCCUGGUCAUGGUAGAGUUGGUCGAGCAGAGGUCCUGGUCUUGGUAGAGAAGGCAACCAGAAUCUCGCAUCAACAAUUAUUUUACUUGAAAUUAUGUACAAUUGCAUUUCAUUCAUUUCUCUCUCUCUUUUUCUUUUUUCCCCCCAUAUAUUUUUUAUGUAUAAUUGCGUUUCAUUUAAUAUUGAUCAUACUGUAGGUAACCAUGUGAUUGUAGAUGGGGAUUUCAAGUUUGUUGAAUAUUCAUGUAAGUGAAGUAACCGUCACAAUACUAGUGAAAUUGGGAGCUUUAUUCAUGAGUUUGUGGUUUUGAAAAGUACCACAGUUCAGCUGAUGAAGGCUUCUUUUUGGGAUUCUUCUUUUCCUAGGCUGCAAUUAGGAUAUGUACAUGAUAGACAAUCUUUUGUUGGUUUGGCAUAUCUUCGCUGAUUUUGUCUUUUAUUCCCCAAUUUUAUAAUUACACACCAUGAAUGUUGGGUGAUUGCAUAGAAAAUUUGUGUUAUAACAAAAACAUUGUGAAGGAGUUUCUGUGCUAAUAGUUAGUGGCUUCUGUUUUAUUGGCAUUGAUUGGGUAGAUUACGUGUUACAGUGAUUCAAUUUGUGUUCCAAACUUUGCUUUAAUUUUCUGUUUUCCCCAACUAUUUAUGUCAAAUUUAAAUCCAGAAGCAUGUACUGAUUUUUUCUUUUUGUAUUAAUUUGUGAAGUUUAUUUGGAAUGGAAGUAACUGGGUCGGGUCUAAUGGAUUAAAUUAUGACAUUGAGGGGAAGGCACUAAAAGGGUUUGCUUGACACAUUUGGUUCUGUGUCUGCAAGAAAUAGCUUUUGCUUAUUGCAAUGCAGGGGGAAAUCCCGAUUUGGCUGGUGAAUUUCUCUGCAACAAACGGGCAAACACCUUGACUUCUUCUGUCCAUACUUCUGCUGGGGAGGCAAGGGGUAAAGAGUCUUCAAAAUCAUCAAAUAGUAACAUCUCUGAGAAUUCAUUUUAUGGAAAUGGAAAAUCUAGAGCUUCUAAUACAAAAUGGUAUCUGGUAUCAGGACGUACCGUUUCAAGUUUUCUUGGUAAAGAUUAUGUUAAACCUGCACAGCCAGCUAAUGGCACUUUUCUGGCAUCAAAGCCAUUGAAGUUGGAUCCAAGGGAGUUUCGCAUUUCUGCACUUUCAGAGAAGAAACUAAACCGAAACAAUCAAAGGAUGACCAUUUGCAGAAGGAUAUGGAAGAUUUUCUGUUUAAAUUGCUAGGAGAAGGGUUCCAGCUGUACAGGGAUGUGAUUCAGAUGGUUCAUGGUAACGUCUUAAAUAUAUUGAUGCCAAUUUAAUACAUAUUGUCCUUUUCAAUGUUCUUUCUUUCUUUCUCCUCUUUUUAUUCUUCUUCUUCUUCUUUUUUCUUUUCAUGUGCAUCUGAUCACUAAUUUGGUAUUAUUCUUAACUUGCAGAUAGUUGUGGAUAUGAUAUGCAAAAAGGUAAGGACUAUAUCUUCUUGAUGGAGGCCUCUGAUUUUUUAAAUCGCAUUUUCCUUUGUGAUUGAUAUAUCAUACCAAAGUCAAGUCUUAAAUACUGCUGUCAUAUGUUAAGGUUCAACUUCCAUUUUGAUUAACGUCGAUUUGCUACUGCUUCCAAAAGUGAGAAUGAGAUACUUUGGUUAAUUUCAGUAGUUGAACCCAAUAGAGUACUUUAUUUAGAUCUUCAUGGUUCAAAGGCCUGAAAAAACUUGCCGGUGUUUGCAAAAUGACAUUCUGUGCUUUUAUUUAGACUUAUUAUUAAAGACAACAUUUUGUUUCAGCCAAAAAUGUUUGUUUCGAUUAAAGACUGAUUUUAUAUUUCUAUUUUGUAACUUGAAAUAAUUGGUCUGCCUGUUUCUGUUGCUUGAUAACAUGAAUUUUUCCUUCUGAAGUUAAUUUGAUCAAUAAAGUAAUUCUUCGGAGAGGAUAUGCCCAUUCUAUAGUCAUUUUCUUAGCUAACAUGUUUUUUCUUCACUCUUCAGAGCAUGUCUAAACUAAUUGAUCGCUCAGCGGAGACUUUGGGUGAGAAGACAAAAUUUCUUGGUAAAUCCUCUGAAAAGGUAUGCAUAAUUCCCGAGUAUUAAAUAAUCAUUGGUCAUAAUUUUUGUACACGACUCUUUUUUUGGAGAUCGUUAAAAGUGGUUGAUGAUCUAUUUUGUAAUAUCAUAGAGGGAUCAUGAAUUCCUUUUCUUUUCUGUGGCUAGGCAACACUUUCGAGCCAAGCUAAGGAAAUCUAUUUUAGGUAAUGUGAAAACCAGUUGUAGGAUGUAAUAGUUUAUUAUGCCCUGCCAAUAACUUUUUGUAUAAUUGUCAGUUUAAUGAAUACAAGAGGAACUCUGUUGGCAAGUUCAUCCAUGAUAGAUGCUAAAAUUAUUUAUGCAUACCAGUUGCCUUAACUAAUUUUUCUCAACACUGGUAUUGAACAGGAAAAUGAAUAUGCAAUUUGUAUAUUGUGCCAUUGUGGAGAAUUUGGAUAUUCUUAUUUAAGUAACAAGGAGAGUAUUUGCCUCAUCUUUAAACAAUGAAUCUUUGAGAAAUGAGGAGUGGGUGAUUGGCAGUGUCUUCAUGUAAAUGUUCAUUUAUUUGUAUUUUGAACUAUUAUGAGAAUCUUUGUAUGCCAAAUUAGUAAUACAAAUGUUCAGAUGAUUUUUCCUGUUGAUCAUGCGUGUGUAUCUGCACACAACCAUUGUGUACCACUUUAUUCUGAUGCGCAAAUAUCUGUAGUUUAGAAGAAAAGAAAUAAUAAUCAUAUAUUAUUGCUUGGUUCAUGAUUAUUAAACGAUUAUGGCUUUAGAAAAUCCACAAAUCCUUUGUGUUCAUAUAUGAAUGUGCGAAGUUCGCUAUAUCUUAGAUUACCUUCUUCCAAGAUAACAAGUUCAUAUAUUUUUUAAUCCUUUUUCAUCACAGUUGAAUUUCAAGUGUAAGUUUUGUUAUUAAUAGCUGGUUUCCUGUUAUUAUGAUUUCAUAAACAGUAAGAGGAUAUGUGCUCUACUUUUGGAGGGCCUCCACAUGAAAGAAAAUUGCAACAAUUGAAUUCUUCCGGAGGGUAUGGUAUUUAAUUUAUUUUCUCAGCUUGUUGUAAGACUAAUAUAUUUCCUUCAGUACGCACGGCAUGGUGGGAAGGGUUUUUAUUGAAACAGUUAUGAUAUUUCUUAGACUUUGUUUUGGAAGGGGGUGGAGGGAUUUCUCAUCCAUAUAUGGUUACUUGAUUAGCUUUUGACUGUAUUGUCUCCGUCGUGCAAAGGAAAAUCCAAAUACUAACGAAGGGGAAUUGCUUAGGCACCCAAAGGACAGAAAUGAAUUACGGAAGGAAGUUUUUGCUGCUUUAUUUAGUGCUGCUGAGAAAUCUGAUGGAUUUCCUGAAAUUACGGUGAAGACGGAGUGGAGGUCCAACGCAUUAGGAAAGGUGGUGAGUGAACCGCCGGAGGAAUUAGUACCAGAACACAAGGCUAAUGUGGUGCACUGGCAGCAAGAUGACCAGACCUGUAUGUGCUCUUAUAUUAACUAUAUUGGCUGGAUUUGUGAGUGUGUACAUUUUUGUGUGUAUACUCACUUUUGGAUUUAUGCAUAUUAACGUGUGUAGGAUUCUCGAUUUCUGCCACUUACUGGAGAACUAGUGGAAAGCUUUAUACUGAUAUAUGUGCUAUAUAACUAAUGGAAACUACAAUAUGAAUAUUUUCUCUCACCUGGAGAACAGUGUAACUGAUAUAAUUUGUGGCUCUGGAAUACUGAAGAUUCUGCAAUAACUAAUGGAAAAUAUGAUAUGAAUAUUUUUUCUCACCUGGAGAACUUUGUAACAGAUACAUUUUGUGCUGGAAUGUCUAAAGAAUGCUUCAGUUUAGAUCAAAUAUCUUUUAGUUAGAAAAGAUAAAAUUCUCUGAAUCUGAAAGACUGAAACAUUUUGCAUAUUUCGUGAAAGGCAAGUAUCUGUAGAUACUAGCUCAUGCAUUGAGGUAAUAUCAAUGUUAAAGAAAAACAGCAAUAAUUUAUUAUACAGAAUUAGGUUCACUUGCUUUAAAUGCUGGUCUGAUCAACCAUAUCAACCUGUAAUGGUCCUGCAGAAAUAUAUAUACGGGGAGAAACUAGCUAAUUUUCCUUUCACUUAUGGGUUUGGUCUUUUUUUUCCCCUAUUUUUCAGCUUUCCUUCUCCUGAAGUAUGUUAACAAUUGCAGAUAAUGACGAAGAGGACCGCUUCCAGGCUCUUUGUAGAGCUGUGAUGGAAUAUAGGGGCACAAUGAAAGAAUAUUGUAAGGCUGUAUGUACUUUCUCUCAUGUCAUUUAUGUUUUCUCACACAUUUUGUAUAUGCCCUGAACAUGCAGCUUUGUAUGUGUCAAUUGCCUUUUACGUUUUAAAAGCCAUAAAGUAAGAAUACAGUUCCUUGUCAGGCUAUUGAUGCGUUCGCUCAGAAGGGUCAUGUUCAAGCAGGAAAACUUCUAGAACAGGUAAGGUUUCCAUCUACAGCCAUCCAUUGACAGCAGAUAUAUUUUCAUUAAGCAGACACUGUUAGCAUUCAAGAUGCUGGCAGAUUCACUUGAUUCUUAUUAGUUUGUUUAGUGGCAAACCAUAUAACCUGUAUUUCAAAGCCAAGUUGUGCUAUUGAUUAUGUUAACUUUAUUGUUAACAUAAAGUGAUAUGGAGGACAUAAUCAAUGUAGGAAAAUUAGGUGAAGAGAUGAUGUCAAAUCUUGAACCUCUUACAAAGCUCCAAGUUCUUUACUUGAAGAAGCUGCCAAAUUUGAAGAGCGUCUACUGGAAGGCAUUUCCAUUCCCAGAUGUAUGCAGAAUUUUUGUAUUAAUGCCCAGUUCUUAAGAAGCUGCCACUGGAUUUUCAAGGGGCGGGCCAAGGUAAAAUUCUUAUCAAGGGAAAGGAAGAUUGGUGGAAAGAACUUCAAUGGGAGGAUCAAGCAACUCAGAAUGCAUUGCUUCCAUUUUUCAAAUCAACUGACAAGUGAUUGAAGGGGGCAUCAUCAACAUCAUCAACUGGGAUGGAGAGAUUAUGGAGCAGAUCAGCAGGGUUUGUAUAUGAUCUUUGGUGGUUGCUUUCUUUUGUGAUUUUUUUUUUCUCAUUUUUUUCCCUUCCUGUCAUUUUAUCAUUUCUUUGUCUCGUUUUCUAUUGCUGAUGUUAGUGUAUGCUUACUGUUGCUUGACAAAGUUUGCUUGCUUCUUGUUUAUUAAUUUUUUUAUGGUCACAAAAUAUUACUUGUUCUAUUUGAGAGUGAUGUGAAUCAAUUUUCAAUUAUAUAUUUUAUGGUCAAUGUGAAUUCAAUUUCAUUUGUCUCCUGCAAUUAUUUAAAAAAUGCAGAGUCAUAAUAUGGAAAAGUCGACCGGCAAAAACUUUGUGAAAGCUUCGGAGUGAAACAGGGAAUUCACUUACUAACAGGGAAUUCACUUACUACUAAGGACAAUUGGUGGCGAGCUAUUCCAUUCAUUUUAUGUCCAUACAUCUAUUUAAUUAUUAAAGAUAAGUGGUCCAUUUGUAAAUUUCAGAUUGUGUCUCUCUGAAAAUAACAAUAUUUAAAAUGUCUCUUAAAUUAUUAUAAAUUUUAAUUCACUCUCGAUUUAAAAUGGAACAUGCUGAUGAAAUUUUUUUUCUUCUUAAUAAAAUUGAAAUAAAUUGUGUUUGCAGUAGUUUGAAAUAUUUUAAAGAUUAUUAUUUUAUAAGGGAGUAAUAUGAAAUGAAAUUUACUUUUCAUGCGUGAAAUGUUGAAAAAGGACACAGCAAGUGUCCCUGCUUUUAUUUUAUUUCAAAGUGGAGUCAUCUCACAUACUUUAACUCUAUCGUUACAAUUUUUCAGGUUACAUUUUUAUUUAUUUAUUUAUUUUCUUUUUUACACAUGCAUGUGGGUUACUUUUCCGUAAGCUCCUUAAUAUAUAUAUUUAACACAAAUCAUGGAAGAGAUGGGAGUAUAUCAAGAUGAUCAAAGCAUGAAACAAAAAUAUUUAAGAAGUAAAACACUGAAAAUAGAGAAGAGAUGCAAGCAAAAGAUAUUCCAAAGAAAAGCAAUCUAUCUCCUUUCGAAGAAUGUUAUGGAAGAGUUGAACCCAGCGAAGAAUGUUAUGGAAGAGCAAAUUAAUGAUAUUUUUGAUAGAGUCUAUUUGAUUAUGUAGCCUGAAUAGAUGUCUUGUUGAAAGAUAUCUCAGUGCAUUAGUUCAUCCUUGACUGUCAAUGUGUUUUUAAUGGUUUUUCCAAAUUUUUAUUAUUAUAGAUUGAUUGUAAAUUUGAUAUGAAUUUAAUGUUGAAAUGUUUUCUCUUUAGUGGAAUGAAUUUAAAAGUGCAAAAGCUUAUUGCACACAGAGAAAUAAACAUAUAUGCUUUAUAACUUUAGCAAUCGAUUCUUUUACAGCUGGAAACAGAGAUGAUGAUUAUCAUAGGGGUGAAGAAAAGGACAAAAAAUGUUAAUGGUUAACGAAAUUUCUAUGCAAAUUGAUUUUAGCAGGAAAAAAGUGAGCUAAAUGAUCUUAAUGUUCCACAAGAAAAAGCAAGAUCUUAAUGUUCCACAAAAGCGUUAUUUAUUUUUUUUUGGUGAGCCACGUGGAGCUCAAUUAUCAUUGUCUUUACUUUAAAAACGUUAUUUUAUUUUCUUUUAUUACAAAUUAAUGCUAACAAGAAAAAGCAAGAUAUAAUAUUCCACAAAAGCAAAUCGUAAUAUUCCACAGAGGAGUAAGAUCCACAAAAGCAAACAACUAGCUGGAUUCUUUUAUUGAACUACAAAUUAAAACAACAAAUUAAAGUUCAAAUAUUUAAAUAGUAGUGCGUUAGACGAUUAGGCUCUUUUAUUAAAGGGAAGUAUAAAGUAGUCCAGAAUCGAACAUCUCUAUUGUCUAGUCUUUUUUUUUUUUUUUAAUUCUUCUUUUAUUAUUUUUCAGAAUAGGUUUUGGUGAUUACUAUUGGGUUAUUAUUGAGAGUUAUUGUUAUCUUCCGGGGCAGUUUCUGUUAAUCGAAAUCGUUAAUUAAAAUUUUAGAACUCUUAUUGGAAGAAUGUUUUUCCGUUAUUUUUUUAUAUUCUAAUUUCAAUUGUAAGAAGUAGUCAUUUUAGAAUUUGGGUCUUGAAUCGAAUUUCAAUGCAUGAAUUAAUAUUUAAAAAAAAAAUUACUACACGCAGUUUAGGUUACAAACUAUUUUUUGCAAAGUUGAUUAUGAAAUUGGAAAAAUUAAGUAAUUUAUAAUGUUUGCAAAGGAAGAGACUAACAUACUUCCAAUUACACUAUAUCUCUAUUAUCAUAAUGUUAAGAUUAAACUAACUUAAAAUAAAUUUUAUUUGAAAAGUUAUAUCAAACGCAGUCUAAUUUUAUUAACUUGAAGAGAUAAUAGUUAUAGAAAUUAUUGUUCUAACUUAAUUAGUACAAGUGGUAUAAAGGUUAAGUGUGCACUAAAUUUGUUUAAAUUUUUUCCAGAAUAACUAACAGAGGUCAUUACUAGAAUUAUAAUUACUAGUCUAUUAGAUAGAAAAAAUUAUUUAUAUUGUUUUAUAUUUAUUAAAAAAUUUUAAAGUCAAUCUUUUUAAUUAUUAUUUAAAGGAUAUUAUAAUUAAAAAAAAUUUAAUGUCUUUAUUAAAAAUUUAAAAAUUUAAAAAUUUAAAAAUUUACAUGACCGCUCUAUAAAUAUUGAAAGUGUAACUGUCAUUUUCUCAUAUAUAUAUAUAUAUAUAUAUAUAUAUAUAUAUAUAAACCACGGUGGUGAAGCUUUAUUUAAUAUUAAUGAUUUAAAUAACAAUAUCUCAAUUAAAAAUGUAGAGAGAAGAAAUUUCGGUGGGUAUAUUAGUCUUUUACAAUUAUCAUGAUUAACCCUUCCUCUUGUAACGUUGGUCAGAAAAGUUUUAAAAUGCCUUGAUUUCUUUUACUUUUAACGUUAGCGGCCUUCCUUAUAUUUUAUUACAAAUUAGUCCUAACAAGAAAAAGCGAGAUCAUAUUCCAAAAAAGCAAAAGUGACAAAAAAACCAGCUGUAUUCUUUUAUUAAACUACAAUUUAAAAUGAUUUUAAAGUGGAUUCUUUUGAAUACAGGUGGGGUAGUCGAAUAGUCUUUUUCAAAUUCUUGUUUUAUUAUUUUUCAAAACUAGUUUUUGGUAAUUACAAUCGGGUCAUUCAUUAGUCAUUAUUCAGAGUUAUUGUUAUCUUCGGGGGCAGUGGGUAAAAGGCUAAAUGAUAAUUACUAAGUGUUUUUCCUUCAAAAGUUAGUGGCUCGUGUUUUGCAAGUGUGUACGUGCGAUGCUCUUUGUCUAAAGGCAAUUACAGUGGGUCCCGAAUCGGACGUGCCUAAUAAAUCUUUUAAAAAUUUUUCUAAUAAAUAUUCCUAAAAUUUCUCUUCCACAGGCAAUUACAGCAGCUUCAGUUAAUCAAACUCAAUCAAUUUUCUUUCUUAACAAAAUUCCAAAGAUGUGUGGCUGUUUUCAGAUCACAUGCGAUGGUACUUUUUUCAAUCGUUGCUUAGAUUGCUUUCUUGGAAAAGCAGCAUACAUACGUAACCUCCAAGAUAACCUCGUUGCCUUGGAGACUGAACUAAGGAAACUAAUCGCAGCAAAGAACGAUGUGAUGACGGCGGUUGUCAAUGCUGAACGGCAACAAAUGAGAAGGCUGGAACGAGUGCAAGUGUGGGUUUCGAGUGUGGAUUCUGUUAAAACUGGAGCCGAUGAACUUAUCACAGACGGCUCUGAAGAAAUUGGCAAAUUAUGUGUUGGAGGCUACUGUUCCAAGAACUGCAGGUCAAGCUACAAGUUCGGAAAACAAGUGGCUGAAAAGCUACAACAUGUGAAGAAUUUAAUCGCCGAGGGAGUUUUUGAGGCGGUGGCCACUGAGGUGGUGCCCGAGAGAGCUCCGGAACCUGUAGCAGAUAAAAGACCCAUUGAGCCAACAAUAGUAGGCUUGCAAUCACAGCUUGAAGAAGUUUGGAGAUGUCUUGCAGAAGAAUCAGUGGGAAUCAUUGGCCUAUAUGGUAUGGGCGGUGUUGGUAAAACCACACUAUUGACCCAUAUCAACAAUAAAUUUCUUGAGAGUCCCACAAACUUUGAUUGUGUGAUUUGGGUCGUAGUUUCAAAAGACCUGCGACUUGAAAAAAUUCAAGAAGAUAUUGGGAAGAAGAUAGGUCUAUCUGAUGAUUCAUGGAAGAAUAAAAGUUUUGAAGAGAAAGCUGUGGACAUCUUGCGGAGAUUAGGAGAGAAGAGAUUUGUAUUGUUGUUAGAUGAUAUAUGGGACCGGGUUGAUUUAACAAAGGUGGGCGUUCCACUUCCCGGACCACAAAAUACUACCUCAAAAGUCGUAUUCACAACCCGUUCCAUCGAUGUUUGUGGCAGCAUGAGAGCUAGGCCGGUUAAAGUGGCAUGCCUAUCAGAAAAGCAAGCUUGGGAACUGUUCCACGAAAAUGUUGGGGAAGAAACUCUUGAGAGUGAUCAUGAGAUCGUUGAGCUAGCCCAAACAGUGGCCAAAGAGUGUGGUGGUUUGCCACUCGCACUUAUUACUAUUGGUCGAGCUAUGGCCUACAGAAAGAAAGCGGAGCAGUGGAGACGUGCAAUUGAAGAGUUAAGAAGAUCAGUUUCAGAGUUUGCAGGUUUGGGAAAAGAGGUGUAUCCUUUUUUAAAGUUCAGCUAUGAUAGUUUGCAGUAUGAUACGGUUAGAUCUUGUUUCUUGUAUUGUUGUUUAUAUCCUGAAGAUUAUGGCAUUCUUAAAUGGGACUUGAUUGAUUGUUGGUUUGGCGAGGGAUUUUUUGGGGAAUCUGACAGGUCUGGUGCAGAAAACCGAGGAUAUGGCAUUUUGGACACUCUUGUUCGUGCAUGUUUAUUAGAAGAGGUGGAAGAUGAUAAAGUAAAAAUGCAUGACGUUAUUCGUGAUAUGGCUAUAUGGAUAGCUUGUGAAAUUGAGAAGGAGAAGAGAAACUUUUUGGUUUGUGCAGGUGCUGGAUUAAAAGAGGCACCGGAUGUUAAAGGAUGGGAAAAUGUGAGAAGAUUGUCAUUGAUGCAAAACCAAAUUAAAACUCUGUCAGAGGUUCCUACAUGCCCUCAUCUCCAUACUCUAUUUCUUGACUUUAAUAAGGAGUUGGAGACGAUCGCGGAUGGCUUCUUCCAAUUUAUGCCUUCUCUCAAAGUUUUGAAGAUGUCAAACUGUGGGCAUGUCAAAGUUUUGAAAUUACCUAUUGGGAUGUCAGAGUUGGGUUCAUCACUAGAACUUCUUGAUAUUUCAAAUACCAACAUAACAGAGUUACCAGAAGAGUUGAAGUUGUUGGUAAAUCUGAAAUGUUUGAAUUUGAGGUGGACAAUUUGUUUAAAUAAAAUUCCAUGGCAACUAAUAUCAAAAUUUCAAGGUUACGUGUGUUGAGAAUGUUCGCUACUGGCUUUGCACGUUUUGAUGCAGCAUCAGAAGACAGCGUUUUAUUUGGUGGGGGUGAAGUUUUAGUACAGGAAUUGGUCGGUCUGAAAUAUUUAGAGGUAUUGGAGUUGACCUUGGGAUGUCAUCAUGCUCUCCAAAUUUUUUUGAGCUCAAAUAAGUUAAAAAGUUGUAUUCGAUCUCUUCUCCUCCAAUUGGCCGGAGAUACAAAGUCGAUUAUUGAUGCUACGGCUUUCGCAGAUCUAAACCACCUCAAUGAAUUAUGGAUUGAUAGGGCUAAGGAGUUGGAAGAAUUGAAGAUUGAUUGUAAAGAAAUAGUACAAAAAAGGCGGGAACCUUUUGUUUUCCGCAGCCUUCACCGUGUUACUAUACAUAGCUGCCAGAAGUUGAAAGAUUUGACAUUCCUCGUUUUUGCUCCAGACCUCAAGUCUCUCGAUCUAGACCGUUGCGAUGCUAUGGAAGAAAUAAUCAGCGUCGGAAAAUUUGCUGAGACUCCUGAGAUGAUGGGACAUAUAAGCCCUUUCGAAAAUCUCCAAACUCUUCAUUUAAGAGCGUUUAACAUCUUUUCUCGACGACCUGCACGAUUGCCUUUCACUCAUCUGAAGGAAAUGGAGGUAAGUGGGUGCGAUCAGCUUAAAAAGCUUCCACUCGAUUCCAACAGUGCAAAAGAGCGUAAAUUUGUUAUUCGUGGAAAAGAAGACUGGUGGAACCGACUUCAAUGGGAGGAUGAAGCCACUCAAAUUGCUUUUCGUUCCUGUUUCCAACCUGAGCGGUUAGUCGCAAAAUUUGAUUUCUGGUGAUUGCGUUUGUCUUUUAACUCUUAUAUAUAUUCUUGUCGUUUGUUUUCUUCUCUGUUUUUAACUCUUAUAUUGCGUUUGUCUUUUGAAAAUCUCCAAUUAAAUGUUGAAUUAAUGGAAUUAAUGCUUCAUAAAUUUGCCGGCACUGCCAUCACUUUUUUUUUUUUUAAUACAAAUUGAUACUUUAUUUAUAUCUUCUUAGCGAUAUAAUUUCCUGUCAAUUGACGAACGAGAAGAACAUACGACUUAAACCAAUUCACGCAUAAACUUGCUGUAAAAAGAUAUAAUCUCACUGAAAUGCACACGUCUAGAAUGAAUAGAAUUAAAACAGGGAAAAUAUUUAAGUAUAUUAGCCCUCUUUACCGAAAAUGAAAUGACAAUAAAUUUUUUGAAAGUUUUGAUUUUCUAUGGUCAAUUCCACCUUUUGCAAUUUCUUCUGUUCUAACAAAAACCAAUUUCUUUGUUCAAGUAUUUUCGUUUGGGUAUUAAUAAUUCUCCACCGAAAGAGUGAACUCUUGCUCAAGGGAUCUCUAAUCAAUAGCCGGAAGGGCGCCGAGACCUGAUCGGACCUAGGCCCAAGUUUGGUCUUAAAGCCUGGGCUUGAGCCUGGCAAUUAAAUUAAAACAUUAAUUGAUUUCUUGAUUGAAUUGUCGUGUAAUUGAUUUAUGGGGGAUGACACAUCAACAUGCUUGAAAACACACUAAUCUCAGCAUCAUCGGUUAAUAACUUUUAGAAUUAUGGGUAAUCAAUAGUUAAGAUUAGUUGUCAUUAAUACUAAAUAUUUUUUUACUAUUUUCGUCUCUUCUAGAGGAUCUUCUAGAAAAAUGCAUCCACAACAAAAUUUAAUACUUUACAUAAUAAACAAAGCAUAAAUGUUAAAUUUAAGAAACUGCAUUGUAUUUCAGCUGAAGUUGACUUUAAUAUUUAGGGUAGAAAAAUAAUAAAUCCUUAAUGUGUUUAAUUUCUAUCACUUGUGUCAUUAAAAUUUUCUAGUCACCCUAACCAAUUACAUCUCAACCCACUUUUUUUUGGAUGAUUUUAUUUUUACACUAUUAUUUUCAUCAUUUUUUUUCCUUUUAACACCAACAUUAGUGUAUGUUACGUAACAUAAUUCAUAUUUGGAUAAUUUGAAAUUUGUUUGUGUUUUAUCUCAAAAUAGAGCUUCAAUCAAUUUGUACCUCAUAAAUUCACAAUAUCUAUGAGGGCUAAUAAGACCAAACUCUGGCAUAUUGUCAAAUGUGCUUAUCCUUUUGCUUGACAUGUCAUUUUAAAAUUGUCAUUCAAUGCCAAAAAAUCACAUCAACUGAUGGCCGACUACUUUAAUUUGAAAGCAUGCAUGCGAUCGCCAAUAAUUAUAACUUAAUUGUUAUUUUGAAAUUUUUUUCUUUAUAAUUUUUAAGUUUAAUACUACUACAUGUGCAGCACAUAAGUUGGAAAAUAUAACAUAAAAUUUGAAAAAUGUGUAGCUUUCGUUCCUUUUUUUUCUUAAAAAUGAGGAAAAAGAAUGUAAUUUUGUUUAAAUUACUGUUGUGAUAACAAUUAUUAUUUUAUUGAUUAAUUGGCAGAGAAUGGUUAUGGUUUCGCAUGGUUGUUAAAACAUUGGAAAAUCCACUACAUCAUCCGUUAAUAACUUUCAGAUUUAUGGUUAAUCAAUAGUUGAGAUUUGUUAUCAUUAAUGUUAAAUAUUUUUUUAAUAUUUUUUCUCUCUCCUAGAGGAUCAUCACAGCAAAAAUUUAAUAUUAUAAAUAGUAAACAAAAUAUAAACAGUUAAAUCUAAGAAACUGCAUUGCAUUUCAGCUGAAGCUAACUUUAAUAUUUAAUGGAGAAAAAUAAUUAAGUCCUUAAUGUACUUUAUUUACCCAUACUGAUACGCUCUUAAUUCGUGAAACUGAGCAACAUCAAAAUUAUCACUACUUCGAGCGAGUGUUUGCUCCAGAAGAAAGAACUGGAAGUUGAGAAAUGAGAAAGAAGAAAAGAAGAAGAGUCACAGCGAGGAAUAAAAGUGGUCCAUUCAUUUCAUGCCUUCCCAAAAUGACAAAAUCCCGCAAUAUAUAACAGACAAUCGAAAAUAACCAAUUUGACAACGCAACAGAAAAUGACAAAAAAGAAUCCAAAACAAACGUAGCCAAUCACAAUGCUUUUACAGAUCAUCCUAAACGACGUAGUCUCGUAGCCAAUCUAGAAGUUUCUUGUUUCGUUUGGGCCGUUGAUUCUCUUGCACUGGCUCAUGGUGAAUGUCCUCUUUGGGUUGACUGACUGUGGGUUCUCGGUUGAGCUCUUCCACUUGCGCCCCCUCUAAUGGCUCUAAUUUGAUAUAUAAAUUCGUAUCAUUCCCUCCUGCUUGAAAACACACAUUGUCCUCAAGGUGAAAUGCUGGAUAGAGCUUACAAAAGGCGUCAAAGUUUUCCCAAGACGAAUUCUUCGGUGAACUGACGGUCCAUUGAACUAACACUUGAAGCGUUGGCUUCCCCUGUUGCAAAACUAUUCGGGUUGCACAAAUGGCAGCCGGUAGCAAAAGAGGAUGGUUAUCCACACUCAACUCUGGUAAAGGAUGUGAAAUAGCAGGGUCGUUGCCAUGAUAAUGCUUAAGGACAGAGAUGUGAAAAACCGAGUGGAUUUUGGAAGUAUUGGGUAACUCCAAUUUGUAAGCUACAUACCCCACUCUAGCAAGUACCGUAAAUGGCCCGUAGUAUCACUUGGCCAACUUCUGACAGGCGCGAGAAGCUAUAGUGGUCUGUCGAUAUGGCUGUAAUUUAACCAGCACUUUAUCCCCUACUUCAAAGUGAGCUUCACGGCGAUGGGCAUUAGCUUUCUGAGCCAUUCGAUGUUGUGCUUGCCUCAAAUUAGCUUUUAAAGAUUGGAGAAGAGUAUUACGUUCAAGGAGAAUGUCCUCCAAAGUUUGGAUUGAAGUAGAGCCCUUAGCAUAAUGAGGAAUAGUUGGAGGCAAUCGGCCAAAUAAAGCUUGAUAGGGAGACAUCUUCAAGCCACUGUGGAAAUGAGAAUUAUAACUAAAUUCUGCCCAACUCAGUAAGGAAACCCACUUCCGUGGUUUGUCUUGAGUGAAAGCUCGUAAAUAUUGCUCCAAUCCUCAAUUUACCACUUCCGUUUGACCAUCCGUUUGAGGGUGGUAUGCCGUGCUAUGACGAAGAGUUGUGCCACUUAAGAGGAAUAAUUGUUUUCAAAAAUUGCUCAAGAACACUGGGUCUCGAUCGGAGAUAAUUGAACUUGGAAAACCAUGUAUUUUAAUGACCAUGUCCACAAAGAGUUCAGCUGUCUUGAGGGCAGUAAAUUGACAGGGUAACGGACCAAAAUGGGCAAAUUUUGUAAGACGAUUGACAACAACCAAUAUGACCGAGAAACCUUGUGCUAACGAAAGACCUAUAACGAAAUCCAUUGUGACCUCAUCCCAAACCAUAUUAGGUAUCGGCAAUGGUUGAAGAAGACCAGCAGGGGCUUGAGUGGAAUACUUAGUUUGCUGGCAUAUUAAACACUCUCGGAUAAACGUUUCCACAUCAUGACGCAUCUUGGGCCAAUAGAAUGUUGAAGAUAAUCUGAUUAAGGUUCUAGUGACACCCACAUGACCUGCCAGUGGUGUAGAGUGAAAUUCUUGCAAUAGUACGACUUUUAAAGAGGAGGUAGGACUGAUGUAAUAACGCUGACGGUGGAGAAGAAAUCCGUUUUGAACAGAGAAGUCAACUGACAGUUUGCCUUGUAAAAGUUGCUGGUGAAGUGAUAUUAAAUCAGGUAAUGUGGUAUUCUCAUUAAGUAAUGACUGCAGCAAUUCAAAUGAAGGAUGGCUGUUGAAAGAAAGGCAAGUGGGGGAGAUGUUGAUGUUAUCCUCAGGAGCUGUUUCAUGGACACGGGAUAGAGCAUCAGCGGCGCUAUUGGUACAACAUGGUCUGUACUCAAUUCUGAAUUGGAAACCCAAUAAUUUGCGGAGAUAAACUUGCUGAUCUAGUGUUUGUAUCACUUGUUGAAGGAGUUCUUUGAUACUCUUAUGAUCCGUGCGGAUAACAAAGAAUCGGCCCAACAAAUACUGCCGCCACUUAUACACAGCUUCUACAAUUGCAUGCAACUCCUUGAUGUAAGUGGAAGAAGCCCGCAAUUUGGGACCCAACUUCUUGCUGAAAUAAGCAAUUAAAUGCCCAUGUUGUGUAAGUACAGCUCCUAUGCCUACAUUAGAAGCAUCGGUCUCAAUGACGAAUUCGAAAGUAAAAUUCGGCAACUUAAGGACUGGAGCUUGCACCAUUGCUUGUUUAAGAGCUUCAAAGGCCUCCAUGGCUGUCAAAUUCCAUUGAAAGGCAUCAUUUCGCAGCAAAUCAGUGAGUGGGGCUGCCAAGGAAGCAUAACCACGGAUGAAGCGCCUAUAAUAUCCAGUGAGACCAAGAAAACCCCUCAACUGUUUGAUAGAACGUGGAAUUGGCCAAUUAAGCAUGGCAUCAAUCUUUUGGGGGUCGGCUUGUACUCCCGAGGCUGAAACAAUACGGCUUAGAUACUCAAUAGCGGCUUGGCAAAACAAACAUUUGGAUAAUUUAAUAAAAAAUUGAUGAAGAUGUAAACAAGCUAAUACUUUCUCAAGAUGAAGCAAAUGCUCGGCCAUGGAGGAGCUAUAAACCAAGAUAUCAUAAAAAAAAACGAUCACAAAUUUCCGGAGAUGAGCUGCAAAAAUCUGAUUCAUUGUGGCUUGAAAAGUGGAUGGGGCAUUUGUCAACCCAAACGGCAUGACAAGAAACUCAUAAUGGCCCUCAUGUGUUCAAAAUGUCGUUUUGUAUAUGUCGCGGUUGUGGACACGAAUUUGAUGGUAUCCCGCGCGCAAAUCCAAUUUGCUAAAAAUGGUGGCGCCCCCAAGUUCAUCAAACAACUCAUCGAUUGUCGGUAUAGGAAAUUUGUCUUUGAUGGUUACGGCAUUUAAUGCACGAUAGUCAACACAAAACCGAUAGGUGCCAUCUUUUUUCUUGACCAAGAGAACCGGGGAGGAAAAAGGGCUUUAGUUCGGUCGGAUUAUGCCCUACUCUGACAUUUCCCUGAUCAGUUUUUCCAUUUCAGAUUUCUGGAAGUGUGGGUAGCGGUAUGGACGAACAUUGACGGGGGCUGUGUUGGGUAAUAAAUGGAUUUUGUGGUCAAUAGUUCUGUGCGGUGGUAGGCUAGAAGGUUGGAGAAAUAGGUGUUUGUAUUGCUGUAAAAGGUUGAGAAAUUGAGCAGGAAGGGAAAAAGGAAAUUCAAGUGAGGAAGUGUCUGUGAUGGAAAAUGAAGGCAAAGCAUCGAUAGCGGGCACUGGUUGUAAGGCACAAAGGCUGGUCACGGUAUCACUUUGAACCAAUACCUGCAAUUGAUUAUAAGUGAUCAAAUUAUUAGAAGACAAAUCACCAUGAAGCAUCACUGGUUGCUCAUUUAAAGAAAACUCCAUAGGACACUUUGCCCAAUUUCUGUAGCCAUUGAAUGCCAAGGACCACAUAUGUGCCCUCAAUUGGCAAAAUGAAGAGGUCUACCAUAAAAGCCGUGCCUUGCAUUGUUAAGUUCACUUGAGGACAGAACUGUUUACACACCAGGAAGUCACCGUUGCCAAUAUACACUCGGAAAUUGGUAGUUGGAUGAAUGGCUAACCCCAAUCGUUCCGCUAACGCCGGUUUUAUGAAAUUGUGAGUGUUGCCACUAUCAAUCAGCACUUGAAAGGUGUGCGAAUCAAUUUCUCCAAUUAAACGAAGAGAGCGAGGAUUGGCCUGCCCUGCUAGAGCAUUUAAGCUAGAGAUGUCACCAGUAAUACCAGCAUCUACCAAUUCUGAUGGUUCCUCGUUAUUUUUGGGUUCCAAUUCUUCAUCAUCCGUGCCCAUGAGAAGUAGAAAUUUACUGCGACAGAGAUGAUUGUUGCUGUAUUUUUUGUCACAAUUGUAACAUAAACCCUUCUCGCGUUUGUCGCAAAGUUCAGCCGAAGACAAACGGCGAAUUGGUAAUGUUGGUGUCGAUAAUAAUGCAGGUAAAGUGUUUGAUUUAUUGGUAUUGUGGGUUUGUGAGGGAAGAGUUGAAGAUGAUACGGGGGUGAUGGCUGUGGUAACAGUUGCAAGUGAUGAGGAUGGAUAAAUGGGUUUGGGUUGUGUUUGGAAACCAUGUGAAAGGGGAUAUGGUUGCUGCCAUUUAGGCCAUGAGCGUGAGCUCUGUUUCACUUCGUCAUAUUUGGCCUCAAAAGCACGAGCUAAAGUUUCCAUUAGUGAAGACGGUCUAGAGAAAAGCAAUUCCCGUCGAAUGUUGGGUUUCAGACCAGUGAUGAAAAAACUAAUCAAAAGAAGUUCAGAAAUUCCAGUGACCUUGUUCAUUAAAUCUUCAAAAGCUGACUGGAAAUCUGCAACCGUGGUAGUUUGACUCAAUUUGGACAAAUCACCUUGGGGAUCUUCACACAAAGAAGCACCAAAACGAUAGCGCAAGUUAGCUAAAAAUUCUUGCCAAGUAGUGAGCAAGUGAUUGUUCUUUAUCCAUUGAUACCACGCUGCAGCGCGACCCUCCAUAUGAAAAGAGACAAUCCGUAGUCGGAGGAUCUCAGGUGUGUCAUGAAAGUCAAAAAAUUCUUCUAUUCGAAAAAUCCAUCCAUUUGGGUCAGACCCAUCGAAUUUGGGCACAUCCAUUUUCAUGGAACAAAGUACUGGAGAAACUUUAGAACCAGUAAGAACGCCAUCAUAUUUAGAAGAUGAAGGGUGUGAAGGGUUGGAGGAACCAACUGGUUUGUUGGAAGACCCAUGAAUUUAUGUACGUAACUCCUCAAAACGAGAGUCAACUGAUGUCAUGAAUUGUUGGAUUGUUUGAUGGAUGGACAGUUGCUACCCAUCAAGUUUGGCGUCAAAAGUUGCUUGAAGGGUCUGUAAAGCAUAAAGAAUUUCAGAAUUUGCCAUGAUCAAUGAAAGCACCAGUGAUACGCUCUUAAUUCGUGAAACUGAGCAAUAUCAAAAUUAUCACUACUUCGAGCGAGUGUUUGCUCCAGAGGAAAGAACUGGAAGUUGAGAAAUGAAAAAGAAGAAAAGAAGAAGAGUCACAGAGAGGAAGAAAAGUGGUCCAUUCAUUUCUUGCCUUCCCAAAAUGACAAAAUCCCGCAAUAUAUAACAGACAAUAAAAAAUAACCAAUUUGACAACGCAACAGAAAAUGACAAAAAAGAAUCCAAAACAAACGCAGCCAAUCACAAUGCUUUUACAGAUCAUCCUAAACGACGUAGUCUCGUAGCCAGUCUGGAAGUUUCUUGUUUCGUUUGGGCCGUUGAUUCUCUUGCACUGGCUCAUGGUGAAUGUCCUCCUUGGGUUGACUGACUGUGGGUUCUUGGUUGAGCUCUUCCACUUGCGCCCCCUCUGAUGGCUCUAAUUUGAUAUAUAAAUUCGUAUCACAUACAUGCGGUUAAUUUUUUAAGAUAAAGGGGAAGGAUGAUGCUCAAAAAUAUAAAUUAUAGAAUUAAUUGAACUCUCAAAUAAGUUUAAAGUUCAUUAUUUUUAAUUACAUGUUUAUAAUUUAUUUUUAUUUCGUAUUAAUCUAUAGAUCUAAAUCCACUUUGGAUUCAUAUACACAUAUAGACAUAAUGUGUAUGUUAAUCUAUAGGUCUAAAUUCACUUUAGGUCUAUAUAGGUAUUUUGACAAAUGUACUCCAAUCAUGCAUAUUGGCAAGUUCAAAUUCAAUUUGGAAUAUGGUCAUGGUACGUUCUUGUUCUUCCCUCUUUACGAGUGCAUUCCCCCCAACCUCAAGCUCCCUCUCUCGUCUUCAAUGUCACUGCUUAUAUCCUUAUGUUGUUCUAGUUUGAAACAGUGGCUUCCACUAUUUCAGGGCCCCCAAAAAUCCAGAAACAUACUAUUCAUCACGAUGACAAAAUUUUGGGCAGGCAGGUGCUUCCUGACUUUCACACGGUAAUUCUCAAAUUCUGAUUUCACCAUAUUUUAAUUACUGAUUAUGCUCUCCAUUAUAAUAGAAGUCGCCGCCACACUAGUGAUUCCAAACUUUAUCUUUUUUCCUUUUUUAAAUUAAUGCAAGUAGCCGCUGUCCUUUUUAUUAAUUAAUUAAUUCGGCCGCCCACAUUUCUUUUUCUAAUGUCUUCUACUGUCGAGUUUAUUUUAUUUUCCCUUUAUUCUUAAAAUAUACUUAUAAUAAUAAAAUAUAAAAAUAAAAAUAAAAAUUAACAUAUCAAAAUAUAAUUUAACAGAAAAUUAAGAUGAAAAAUAAAAAAAAAUAAAUUCUGAACAUAUCAAUCAAUAAAUGAAAAAUAAUAAUUUUUAUUUUUAUUAAAUAUAUUUUUUUCAGUAUUAAUCAAUUAUCUGAAUAACUAAAAUCAUUUAAAAAUAAAUAAACAAAUUAUUCUUUAUAAAAAAAAAAAACUUUUUAUAACACUCACUAUGCUGGUUGUAGGGUAGACGCUUUGGGGACUGAAGUUGGUAACUUCUACAAGUAGUCUUAAGUUGAUAACUUCUACAAGUAGUCUUAAGUUGACUGGCAAAUGUUCUCAGUAUUAUAUUGGUGUGUCGAUAUUAUCUCUAACUGCCUUAUAGAUAAAAAAAUAAUCUAAAUUUAAAAUUUAACAUAAAAUAAAAUAAUUGGUAGAAAAACAAUUAUGGUUCAUUUACUUAUCAGUAAUCAGAAUAGACUGAAAUCGAAAUGAGUUGUAUUACCGUUGAUGUGUUUAUGUUGUCCUCGAAUCGGAAUGAAUUAUUUUAAGUUACUAAAAUAUCCUUGGUUUGUUAUUCUAAUUAUUAUUAUUUAAUAUUUAUUAUAAUAUUUGUCAUAUCAUUAAAAAGAAAUAAUAAUGAUGAUAAUAUUAUCAUUAUUGUUUGUUACAUUAUUAUUAUUCAAAAAAAUUAUUGUUAAUAACAAUAAUUACUUUAUUUCAAUACUAAUAAUGAUAAAAUUAAUAAUAACAAACAACAAUAAUUAUUUAUUAUGCCAAAAAUAACAAUAAUAAUAAUCAUCAUCAUUUUUUUUCCCAAAGAAGCAUUAUCAUCAUUUCAAAAAAAAUAUCAUCAUUAUCAUCAUCAUUUUUGUAGUGGCUGCCUAUCGGCUGUUGCUUUCAUGUGAGAUUGACUUGCGACGCUUCAACGGCUAUUAUUUCUGGCAAUGUCAGGUGUUACUGUUUCAAUUUAGGAAGAAGCUGUUUCGUUGUGCUAACGAUGGGAGAUGUUGUGGCUGCGAUUCGGGGAGCUACUAGUUUAUUGCACUAAUGACGGCAGGUGCUGCUGCUUGAUGCGAGGUCCAUGGCCAGUUGUCAGCAGUUCGACUUUGGUAUGGGUGCUGCUGGUUCGAUUUUAGGUGUUGUCCAAUUUCAUUUUCAGGAUUUUAAUUUUAUUUUUCUUUUAUAUUUUCAUUAAUUAAUCAGGACAAAGUUGGAUUUUAGAAUUUGGAAUGAAGGUAAUUUUGUUAAUCAUGGAAAUGAGAUUCUGAUUGUCGAGAAUGAGCUUACACAAACAACUACAAAUUAAGUGAAAACAAAACGCUUUUUCUCUUUGUGUGAUUAAAACAUGAUAUGUACCAUAAAUAAAUAGGUAAAAAAUAAAUUAAUACAAUCCAAAACAGUAAACUAAUUACAAGAGGCACAAAUUUUUAUGUGAAAUACCAAAAAUAGAAAAAACCACAGCAUCUUAGUAUGAGAUAAUCUUCUACUAUAUUAAUGAGAUUAUAGCACAAAUUCUUCCUUAUAUAACACUAGAGGUUAACAACAUCAAGAAUUUCAAUAAUCUUGACUUACAAUACAGCCUAAUAUUUGUCUCUCUAAUAAGUAGAUAUCUAAAAUAACAGUCUCUAAUAAAUAAGUAUCUCAAAUAACAGUCUCUAAUAAGUAUCUCAAAUAAUAAUUUCUAAUAAGUAUGUAUCUCAAAUAAUAGUUAACAAGAGGAUAAAACAAAAAUUAAGAUUAGUAGGAUUGUAUAAGGCGAUGCUAUCAACUUAUCUUCUAAAUUUGAGAAAAAUAGUUAAAUUCACUUUUUCGAUUGUGACCAAAGAUGGAAACCUUUGCCCCAAAACCAAAGGAAUCACCAUUUCUCUCUCUCUCUCUCUCUCUCUCUCUCUCUCUCUCUCUCUCUCUAUCUCUCUCUCUCUCUCUCUCUUCUUCUACUUUUCUUAAUGUUAGCCGCCACUCGCUUUUAUUCUUUAUAGCAUUUAAAAAGCUACUUUUAAUGGUAAAUUUCAUUUAAGUCCAAAACUUAGUGAUAAUUGUACACCAAACAAUUCUUUUUGGACUAUGAGCUUUUGGGCCUCCAAAUGAGAUGAAUACAACAAAUCUCCCCCUUUAGAUCAUGUGGGGGGCACCACAAGCCUGCUCUCUGCAUAUAGUUUUUCAACUUCUCCUUGAAUAAUGACUUUGUCAUCAUACAUAACCCAUUCUCUGUUGUGUAAAUUUUCUCAAGCUGUAGCUGUUGCUUCUCAAGCACGUCUCGUAUCUAAUGAUAUCUCACAUCAAUAUGCUUAGAUUUCGAAUGGUUUAUCAAAUUCUUUGAACGGCACUCUGACUGUCGCAGUACAUAACAUAGCUGUCUCGUUUUACACCCAGCUCUUAUAGGAAAUUCAUUAUCCAUAAUAUUUUUUUGCAACCUUCAAUAAUUGUUAUAUCAUUUGCUUUAGUGGUAGAAAACGUAACUUAUUACUAAAGUUUAGAUUGCAAUGAGACUUCUCCCCCUGCAAAAGUGAGCAAACAUCCUAGAAGGAAUUUUUCGGAAUCAACAUCUUCUGCCAUAUCUACACACUUGUAACACAGGUUUGUCACCACUAAAAUAUAAACAUGCUCUGGAAAUGCCUCUAAGAUAUCUGAGAAUUUUUCAUUGUUGUCCAAUGCUCUUUUAUAAUAAAUACAAACAUAAUGAAUUUAUAAAACAUUUAGAGUAUUUUGAAUAUUAUAUAAAAUAAUUUUAAUAUAAUGCAUGAGAUAUAUUUUAUUAAUUUAAAAUGCUAUUUAAUCUAAAGAUUUAUUUAAGAUAAAUUAAUAAUUAAAUUUUUUUAAUUAUUUCAAAUAUUAAAAAUUUGUAAUAUUAUUAGUCUAUUAGAUAGAUUAAAUUAUUUAUUUUAUUUUGUAUUUAUUAAAAAAUUUUAAAGUCAAUAUUUUUAAUUACUAUUCGAAGGAUAUAAUGAUUAAAAAAAUCUUAAUAUUUUUUAUUAAAAAUUUAAAAAUUUACAUGACCAUUUCUAUAAAUAUUUAGGGUAUAUAUGAGCCACGGUGGAGAAGAUUUAUUUAAUAUUAUUGAUUUAAAUAAUAUCUAAUUAAAAAUAUACUGAGAAAAAAUUUCGGUGGGUAUUUUAGUCUUUUCAGCAAUCACAUGAUUAGCCUUUGGGCUUUGGCCUUGAAACGUCGGUCAGAAAAGUUUUAAACUGCUUAAUUGUUUUUCACUUUUAACGUUAGUGGCUGCUUAUAUUUUAGGAAAAUGAGAUUCUCACCACAGUGAGAACCACACUGAGCACAGAACGGUGCGUUUUGUGCUCAGUAUAAAUUCUAACUGUAGCGGAAAUAUCGCAACACAAACGCGCCAUUCCAAACCCACGCGCGUUCUCCCUCACGCCAGCAAAUCUCACCACGCUUCCUCCUCACUGUAAGCGCCCCCCCUCCCCGGGGGCGGUCGGCUGCGUCACGCUCCCUCACGGCGCCUCACUCUCUCGGCUCUCUUAGAAAAUUGAAUUGCGGCUUCCGCCGUGGGGUUCUCUCCUCAACUGCCGUUGUCUCGUCUCUGACAGCUGCCUUAAUCAAAUUCUGAAGGUAGUUUGCUUCAAUUCAUUACAUUAAUUUCAAAUUUGGUUUGUGUGGGAUUAUGAGUUUGUGAAGAUUUAGUUCUGUUUCAUGGUAAACUAUUUUUUGCUCAGUGUGUUGAGAAUAUCAGCACGGUUUAAAAUUCUUUUUAGAUUCUGUCGUAAAGUUUUCUUUGUAUUGGGCAAGUCAGUUACUUUAGUUUUGUGUCUGAAAACAAAAACACUUAGCUUAGUGAGUUUUAAGAGAUUUUGCUAUUUUGUUCAACGAAGCUUAAAAAGGGGAAGCUUUUAUGGCGUCUGUGAGCCGAGGCAAUUUGGAUCGGGUGCUUUUUCAGUUCAUUUGUUUGUUUCUUAUUUGGGUUCUUUAUUGUUAGAUGUUCUUUUGAGAUUCUGGCAUCUGGCAUCUGGCUACUUGCUUUUGUGGAGUUUUUUUAUUAUUUGAAUUCUGUGAAUUCUUUGUUUUCUUUCCCAAAUGAUUCCACUCUAUAAAAUAUAUAUUGUGCUUGGCUAGAAUUUUCUUUUAGAUAAUUGCAUCCUGUACAUUGGCUUAACCUGUCAAGAAUGAGAAUGAUGGAAGAUGCCUAUCUUGGAAAGAAUAUAUUGAGUUACAUAGUACCGGUUCCAAAUGAAUAAAUUGGAACUUGCCUAAAACAGGCACCAAUCCACCAUGACACCAAGCCUUUUUAAAAUUUUUUUUUUUUUAAGUUUAAAGAAACUUAUGUUGCUUCUUUAGAUCUGUUUUAGCUUAUGAUGAAUUUUGCUAAUGGUAAAAUCCCUCCCCUUCAAAGUUGGGGGAGGGGAAGCAUCUAUAUGCAUAUGUGUACAUUAUGGAGCUCGAACUACAUGUCGCAGUAAUACAUUAUUCUCUUUGCUUUGCAGGUUUUGAUCAACAUGAGUGAUUGGGAUGUAGGUCUGUGCUUGAGAGGCCGGAGUGAUGACCAGAAUUCUGUCAACCAGACCAAAGACAAUCAACUGAUGAAGUGUUGUUGUUCUCUAUAUUGAUUGUUGGAAAUUAUGUGUUAUUUCCAGAUUUUUAGAAAAUUAUGAUUGCUGGAAAUAAUUAUAUAUGUACAAUCAUUAUGUCCUCCAGCACAAGUGAAUUUCCAAACCCACAACUGAAAGCUUGCGAAAAAUUUGUAGAAAAUUUGUACAUCAAAUCCACAAGCUAAGUGUUGUAUCAGAAUAUGAAUGACAAUAAAACAAAAAUCUGUGUUCUUCAUUCUUAAAAUACUAAUACAAUACAAGUACAUUCUUAUUCUGAGAAAUAACUACCUAUUAACUCCAUAUUCAUUAUCUUGUUGAAAGAGUAGCUGCUGAAAAUGUCCAUGUCGCUGAGCUUGUAUGUGCUAUUAAAAAAAAAUUAAACAUCUUGUUGUCAUCCGAAAAAAUAAAGAAGGCAAGAUGAACAAAUAAAAAACUUAUCACUACUUACGGUGCAAGAAUUUUAUGUAGAUAUUGAAUAAACAUUAUCCUCAAUUAUUUGUCACAAUAAUUUAUAUUCAAUUCAUGGUGUGUUGCAGCAAGCUUCCAUUGUUUAACUAAAUGACAGCUGAAUCUUUACAACUAAUUAUCUUUACAAUCAAAUUUGGAAUUAAUUAAGCAAAUUACCGCUAGAAAUCGACGAGUGAAGCUAAGAGAGUGAGGCUGCAAGUCGAAUUUUUGAGACAGCCGAGAGAGUGAGGCGCUGUGAGAGAUGCAAUGGACGGGCGAGAGAGAGACGAAGCCGAUGGUGAUUGCUGCAUUGGUAGGAUUGAGGGAGAGAGCGAAAGAGCCAGAGCGUGCGUGCUUGUUCUGCCAGAGAGCGCGUAUGUUUUUUCUCAAUGCGCGUGUUGCGUAAUUAUCCAUCUACAGUGACCAUUUUAUAGUUAUCUUGAAACGCACCGUUCGGUGCUAUAUGUGGGGCUGAAUGUUGUGAGCAUAUCGGUGCUGUAUAUUUUAUUAAAAAUUAAUGCUAACAAGAAAAAACCCCUCAAUGAAUGAGGGUGAGAUUGCUAAAAAUUACGACAGGUGAUAUUUUAUUAUUAUUAUUAUUAUUGGGGGAGAAAUCCUCACCAAAGUGAGGAGAUUUUAUCAAAAUCAAAAUAAAAAUAUAACAAGAACUGAAAGUUGGGCAGCCUAAAAGCUAGAUAAACUAAAAUUCAGGCGCCUAAAAACAACCUUAUGCAAAAGAGAAGCAACAUGAGACCGAUCAAGUAAAAGAAUCCACCGCAACACCUAAAUUGGCCAAAUUAUCUGUUGGUAUUACAAGUUUCUUGUUAUAAAAGUGUAGAAUGAAGAAGGUGACGUAGUUUUAAGUUACAGCUGCAUGCCCGAUCGCAAUAUCAAAUAAUGAUUAAAUAUCAAAUAAUACUUAAAAUAGUUGCCUAGACCCGCCACAAUUUAUAUUAACUCUUAAAUUUAUAAAUAAUUAAAUUUUUAAAAGUUCGGAUUUAUAUUAAAAAAUCUUCAUAUAAAUAAAUAAUAUAUGCACUUUUACAACACAGUCUUUAAAUUUAAAUUUUUCUAGAAAAAUCUUCUGUAUAUCUUUUCUAUUAAAAAAUUUCCAUAUAAAUAAAUAAUAUACCUAAUUUAAUUGGACCCAGCGCAACGCAUAUGCAUAGAACACAUUCCGAAAAGCCAUGAUAUUCGGAAAUUGACGAAUGAAAAGUGAGGAGGCAGCAGUCAAUGCUAUUUCGGCUUGGCCCAAAAUUGAUUUAUCAGUUUGACGUGUGCCAGGAAUGAAGAACUGGAAUAUCACCAUCAAGCAAGCAACCUGCGGAGCAAUACCAUAGAAUGCACAAUCCGGCUUUGCAAGGUGACACUGGAGGCUUUUUGAAAAGUGCUUCACGCUCACUUGACAGAUUGAGCAUCCCCUCUGGAUAUUGCCCUCUCUGAUCGAAUCUGAGCACUCAAAUUUCGGUCCUCAGAUGGAGCUACAGCUUUCUCUCCAAUAACCAACAAUUUUCUAAACUCAGCACCUAGUGUGAUCAGAGUUGUUGAUAUUUGUAAAUGGAGAUCCCCGUAUUUGCAAAUGGAGACAUUUACCAAAUCACCAACAUGCUUCAUCCAGUCUACGAAAUUCUGCAGCUGAUUCAAAUCCGGAACCUGAACAAGAGUCGGAGGUAAAUCUUGAGCCAUAUCUAAAGCAGUCUGAAGUUCAAGUACUUGAGCCCUUGACAAUGGUUUUGAAAUUGGAACAUCUUGGAUUACUGCAGACUUGUGCCCCUUGGUUUCAAAGGUAAGGAAAGGCAUUGCUUGAGUACAAUUUGGAGGCAGCUUCUUCACCAAUUUUAUUUGGAGGCGAUUGGCAGCGGAUCCAGCUGCACCAAUUUCAGAGCAAAUACUGACACUACUUCGAACAGCACACUGAAGAAGUGAUAUGUCUACGGCAAAGGCAAUGCAGUCCUCAUUUUGGCUUGAGAUGCAGUAAUCAUCGAAGAGAGUUUCCUUGUGAAACUGGGCAACACAUUGAAUCCCUUCGCCACUGAGAAGGUUGCGGAGGAAGUAAGCUUUCUCUCUAGUGAGGAAGAGGUGGCAUACCUUCCCCAUGUCUAGGGCAGGUAGGAAUCUUUUUUCUAAGAGAUUUACUUCAUUCUCUGUGAGAAAUGCUUUGAACUUCAUCCCUCUGUCUCUAUCCUCACUUAUCAGUAAAAUAGUUGAAAGUGCUACAAGGAGAGAAAAGAAGAGUAUUAAGAUAUAUAUAGACAAGAAAAACAUUAGAUGUCGAUCUUACAAGCUAAUACUUCAAACAGUAUCCUAGAAAGCUAAAAACUGCAAAAUGGCUUGACAUUUGAAAAGAACACAUGCUUUUCCUCCUUAACUUGAGAAAAUGUUUAAUAUAGUGCACCUUACAGAAACAUUUAAGCAAUUAGAACUUUGCACAAAAAUAUUCAAGAAGACUAAACAAAUCAGAUGCAGUGUAUUUCUCCAAGCACAAAUGGCAUUGCAUUUUUUCCUCAACUGUAAUAUUUAUUGAUGAAAAUCAGUACAGGUCCCUCAUUUGUUAUGGAAAGCUUUCUUGUAGUCUGACUGGUUAAUUCACGGAUCUAUAAUUAUCUUGCAAAGUUACAGGCAUUUCUUUCGAUUUAAAGUCUUUGCAUCACCACCUCAUCACACACCUAGCCAAUAUUCCGUCUACUUCUACAACAAAAAGUUUUAAGUAAACGAUCCUAAUGCAUGCAGCCAAAUAAAAUGCAGUAAGAAUAUUCAACUUAAAACUCUGAAAGCCAUCUUGGUGAAUUGCCUCCUUAGGGGAAGUUCCAUGAUUUACUAUACUUGACAGGACUGAGCAAAAGCUUACAUACAACAGAUUUUGAAAAUGAUGAUGCCAAUAGAUACUCAUACAAUCCAUUGAAACUCCUAAGGUCCAUUGUUCACAGAGGUUUACAGAGUUUUGGUUAUCAAAUAGCUCAGACCUUAAUCCCAAACAAAAAACGAGUGAAAAUUAGAUCACCAGCAGCAAAUUGUAAAUUCUAACUUAACUCUUCAUCUCCUUUGUAAACAGGAGACAAAAUGGAGACACGCAAAAUGAAUAAGGAGAACAUUUGAACUCAAAUGAAAUGAGGGCACGAAAGCAAACAAAUGGCAUGCGCAAACAAACCAAGCCUCAAUCAAAAACUAAUUAACCAUUAAAAAACAAAACUGGUCAGCUUCUGGUGUUCUCAAAUUGUAUAACAAGAGAUCGACACAUCGAAUCAGAAGAACUCAAUUCAAAUUUGUCUCAAAAAUCAAAAUUAGAAGAUUUCACAUUUCGAGAGGAACAAGCGACAGGUCAGAUGCAAAAUUUUCAGCCAUAACAUGCCACAAUUAACGGUUUAUUUCCAUGGAUUUAGAGAGCUGACUGACCUUUUGGCUUUUGGAAUUGAGAAGAUCGCGCGCCAAAAUGGAAGAGGGAAAGCGAAAGUGCGGGUUUUAAUAGGGUAUUGGAUUAGCAAAUUUUAUUAGUUUGCGAGGGUAAAAUAGGAAAGUGAUAUCACUAUUAACCUUUUUUUUAAUAAGAAAAAAGAAUAAUAAAGAAUAUUUUAUUGUCAUUUGCAGCAUUUAUUUUUUUUAAAUGCUAUUAGAAAAAUACGACAACAAAGAAAUGCUCUUUUUUUUUUUUUUUUUUUUCUCGAAGGUAAAAUCAAUUAUUUAGCUCCUUAUAUGUAAUCAAACUACAUUUCUUACUUUAAGUCAUAUCCAACGGACCAACAAAGUAAUUAUUUUUUUUUUCAUUCAUUUUUGCAGAAAAUUAAUAACUUAAAAAUAUUGAAAGCUAUUGUAAAAUUUUUUAUUAUCAACCUCAUAGUUUUAUUUUUUGGGAAGAAUUGAAUUUUUUUUUUUAAUUUCCAAGAAUUUCAUUCUCUAGUUUUUCCAUUAAUAUUACUUAUCUUGAUACCCAUCUUAAUUAAAAUCUGUAGUUUUAUUCAAGAGUCAUGCUAUUCAUUCACUCACAGACCAAAGGCUUUCCGCAGCAAUAUUAUUAUUUAAAUUACAACAAAGGGGAAAUCAAAUACGUCAUACAGAAGCUUAAAGCUGAAUCUACAAAAUCUAGAGCUCUCAACUACAUAAAUUACACUUGAUGAUCCUCUACAAGAUGAAGCUUGUUCAAUAUCUCAUCCAAAGCUUGUAAAGUAACAUUAUAACGAUCUUGAGAUUGCCUGCCUUCCUCGACGACCUGCACGAUGCGUUUGUACAAAUCAUCAUACCUGUGCACCGGAUUUUUAAUAUCAAUGCCACUGCAGCUGUGAUCAAGAACAUAAGAGCGUUUAACAUCUUUUCUCCAUCAAGAAAGAAUGUAGUGAGAUGGGAUCUCCUGCAUGCCACUCUGGUUUAGAACACAAAGAAUGUGUCUGCAUAAAUAUCCUCUGAAAUUGAACAACCCACAAACACAAAGCACCUCCAAGUCGGAGGCAUUGUACAAAACAUCGAAAAUAGUUAUGUUUUACAAUCUAUUAGACAUAUUUUAUUAAAUUAAUAUAAAUUUUCUAUAAAAUAAGAAUAUAAUAUUAAAAUAAAUUCACAAAAAAUUAAAGAAUUUUGAAUGUAAAAUAAUUUUAAUAGAUUAAUACGUGAGUUUUUUUAUUAAUAUAAAAAUUAUUUAACUUUAAGAUUUUUUAAAAUCUUUACAAUAAGUAUGACUAUAUUAUUUACAUUUAAAAAUAUUUAAAUAUUAUUAACCUACAAUUAUAUUUGCAUUUGUUAGAAUUUUUUAAGUCAAAUAUUUUGCACUUCUAUAUUAUUAGAAUUAUUGCACACAAAGAAAGAAACAUAUACCUUUAGAAAUUGUUUUCUUUUAAAAUAGAGAUGAUGAUUAGUAUAAGGAUGAAAAAAAUGAUAAAGAAUAUUAAUGAUUAACGAAAUCUCUAUACAAAUUGAUUUUAGUAGGAAAAGAGUGAGAUGAAUGAUUUCUUUUACGGUUAGAAACAUAGAUGAUGAUUAUUAUAACGAAGAAAAAAAGAUAAAGAAUAUUAAUUAUUAAUGGAAUCUCUAUGCAAAUUGAUUUUAGUAGGAAAAAAAAUGAGUUAAAUGAUUUAGAGUGCGUUUGGAAUUGAGAUUGGGCAGCCAUAGAUUUUAAGUUACAAUACUGAAGUGUUUGAUAAAUACUAGCUGCUGCAGAUUGAAAGUUAUAUUGAUAUGAUUUUUCACAUGUAUCAUAGAAAAUAUAUUACAUCUUUAAUAAUUUUUUUAAAAUUUAUAUUUGCUAUAUAUUAUUAAUUUUUUUUUAUAGUUAUAACUUUUUUUCCACAGCAGUUGUAGCUUAAAAGUCACAGCAUCUCAAUCUCAAACAAAUCCUUAGACAUUCAUAGUGUGUUUAUUUUUUGGAUUGGUGAAUCAAAAUUAUUGACAACGCUAACUUCAUCUUCAUUGUUCGCAAUCCAACAGCAGCAGCAAUUGUCACCAAUAAUGAUAUCUCCAAUGAUGAUGACAAUUAUUAUUAUUAUUAUUAUUAUUAUUAAUUUAUUAAUUAAUAUAUUAAUGUUAAUAAUAUUAUUAUUAAGAUUAACAAUAAUUAGUAGUAAUACAAUUUUUUGAAUAAAAAUAAUCACAAUAAUUAAAAUACAAAUUAAUAAUUAUGACAAUAGUUAAUUAAUGUCUUUUUAGUAAUUUGUAAUAAUCUAACUCAUUUUGAUUCUGAUUAUUACAGCUUAAGUAAACAAAUUAUUAUGAUUCCUAUUUUCCUUUCCUAUUUUAACUCACUUCGAUUCCAAUCUAUUCCAAUUUCUAUCUAAUAAAUGCACCAUUAGUGCUAAAGUAAUAUUUCAUACAUAGAAAAAUAAAAACUACACCUAAGGUUAAGGGAAAGGACUUCAAAACUCUCUUUUGAUCAUAAUACAUUUUGUCCUAAUUAACUUAAAGAUUUUGAAUCUAAUAUUUUAUAAUAAAUAAAAAUAUAUUCCUAAAAUAAAUAUAAUAUCAAUAUUUAAAAUAUGUUUUAAUAUUUUACAAUCUAUCAUACACAUUUUAUUAUAUUAAAGUAGAUUUUAUAAUAAAUACAAACGUACUAUUAAAAUUAAUAUAUAAAAAAUUUAGAAAAUUUAGAAUAUUAUAUAAAAUAAUUUUAAUAUAAUGCGUGAGAUAUAUUUUAUUAAUUUAAAAUUUUAUUUUACCUAAAAAUAUGAUAAAUUAAUAAUUACAUAUUUAAAGUUAUUUCAAAUAUUAAAAAAAUUUAAUAUUAUUAGUUUUUUAGAUAGAUUAAAUUAUUUUUAUAAGAGAUAGAUUAAAUUAUUUUAAAAUACCUUAAUUGUUUUUACUUUUAACGUUACCGGCCUUUCUUUUAUUUUAUUGUAAAUUAAUGCUAACAAGAAAAAGCUAGAUCAUAUUCCACAAAAGCAAAAGUGACAAACACAAUCAGCUGGAAUCUUUUAUAAAACUACAAAUUAAAAUGGUUUUUUUUUUUUUUUGAUAAAUUACAUAUAAAAGUGGAUUCUUUUGAAUAUAAGUGGGGUAGGCUCUUUUAUUUUUUUUUAAUACUGUAUAACAAGAUUGUAGACUCCUUGAUUAAGCACAAGUAUAAAGUAGUCGAGACGAUACUUUAUGCUAGGUGUCCAUUGAAUAUUAGAUCUUCAUUUCUUUGGCCAUUUAAUUUUUUCGAGAAAUUUUUCUUACGAUCCCGGCUAAGCUUGAAGAAAAGACAACUCAACGGUUUUUUUAAAACAAGUUUCCGUUUUGGUUGGUGAAAUGAAAACGAAAUAAAGCACUUCCAUCCAAAAAUCAUUCUUCUGGAGAAAGGGAUGACAGAUUAAAGAAAAGGGGUGUACUGAAAGGAGAAAAAAGGUUCUUGCAUGAGAGCUGGACACGUUAAAAGAAGUUGAACAAAUGUCUCAAAAAGAAGCUAUUUCGCUUUCAUACUAAAGCCUAUUUGUAAUAGCAUCAGCAAUGCUCCACUAUCCACAUUCUUGUGCGGAUAUCAUUGCAAUCUACUAAUGGUAUAUAAACAUGCAUGUUGUCCCAUGAUGAUUAAGUUAACACACACUUGGAGGUACUUAAAUUAUGCCAUAAAGAGAUAUAGUUAUUACGCAUACAAAUGUUAUUCAAUGGUUAAAAUGUAUGAUAAAGAAAUCGCUUGAAUUUUUUAUUUGCCGUUACGUAAUUUUUUUAUUGAUUCCGAGUUUGAAUCUUAAAAGAAAUAAAGGGUUAGAAAAUUAAUUUGAACUUUGUCCACUCUUUAACUUAAUGAGUAUAAAAACAGAAAAUGCAGGUAAUUUAAUUUUGACAUCUAACAUUUAAGAGAUAGAGCUUGAAAGAGUCCAAUAUUAAAUUAUAAAAUAAUUGAAAUAAAGUUUGCCCCAUAAGAAAAAUUGAACAAAAAAUCUUAAGUAUGAUAUGAUGCUAGAGAAAUUAUUUAUCUCAAAACUUUUAUUAGGUAAUUAAGUCCUAAGAAUAUGUAAUUACACAUGUAACAAAAAUUAGAGAUGAGGGUCUUUUAUUAAACUACAAAUUGUAUAGUCUUUUUAAAAUUGUUAUAAAUUGGUGGCCCCUACAAUCCUCAAUAAUUGUGCCGAUAUUCACAAGUUGGUGGCCCCUACAAUUAUCAACUGUGCAAGUGCUCAUUCACAAUCUUCCAGGUCAUGCUCUUAAUAAUUGUUUUUUUUUUCUGCAUUCCCUUUCAUGCUCUUAAUAAUUGAAGAGCAUACUUUUCAAAUAUGGAGCCGCAGCUAAUGUCGCUAAUUUAAUUUGGGAUUAAAUUAGGGGACCAUUAUGUUGCAGUGUGCACUAAUUUUUGUGUUUAUCUAAACUCCUUAAAUUUAAGACAUAUUACGGCAUAAAUAAGAAUAUAACAAUAACAAAAGAGUUAAAAAGUGUAGAGAAGAUCUUGCAGAAAUAUAAAUAAUAUCUAUUUUAAAAUAAUAUCAAUAUUUAAAAUAAUUUUUAAUAUUUUAUGAUCCAUUAGAUAUAUUUUAUUAUAUUAAAGUAAAUUUUAUAAUAAAUAAAACAUACUAAAUUUAGAGUAUUUUAAGUAUUAUAUAAAAUAAUUUUAAUAAAAUAUGUGAGAUAUUCAUAUUUUAUUAAUUUAAAAUACCAUUUAACCUAAAGAUUUAUUUAUGAUAAAUUAAUAAUUAUAUUUUUGAAAUUACUUCAAAUAUUAAAAAAAUUAAUAUUACUAAUCUAUUAGAUAGAUUAAAUUAUAUAUAUUAUUUUCUAUUUAUUAAAAAAUUUUAAAAUUAUUUUUAAUUACUAUUCAAAAAAUAUAAUGAUAAAAAAAAAUCUUAACAUCUUUAUUAAAAAUUUAAAAAUUUUCAUGAUCAAUUCUCUAAAUAUUUAGGGUAUAUGUGAACCACGGUGGAGAAGCUUUAUUUAAUAUUAUUGAUUUAAAUAAUAUGUGACAAAACAACUAGGUGGACUACAAAUUAAAGUGGAUUCUUUUGAAUACAAGUGGGACAGACGAUUAGGCUCUUUUUAAUUUUUAUUAAAGGCAAGUAAAAAGUAGUCGAAUAGUCUUUUUCAAAUUCUUGUUUUAUUGUUUUUCAAAACUAACAAGAAAAAGCGAGAUCAUAUUCCACCCCAAAAGCAAAAGUGACAAAACAACCAGCUGUAUUCUUUUAUUAAACUACAAAUUAAAAUGGAUUCUUUUGAAUACAAGUAGGACAGACGAUUAGGCUCUUUUUAUUAAACGCAAGUAAAAAGUAGUCGAAUAGUCUUUUUCAAAUUCUUGUUUUAUUAUUUUUCAAAAUUAGUUUUUGGUAAUUACUGUUUUUCCUUCAAAAGUUAGCGGUUCAUGUUUGCAAGUGUGAAUGUGCGAUGCUCUUUUCUUAAAGGCAAUUACAGUGGGGCCCGAAUGCCUAAAUCUUUUUAAAAUUUUUGCCGUAUAACGAACAGAGGUCAUUACUAAAAUUUCUCUUCCACAGCCUACAGCAGCUUCAGUUUAUCAAACUCAAUCAAUUUUCUUUCUUAACAAAAUUCCAAAGAUGUGUAGCAUUUUUCAGAUCGCAUGCGAUGGUGCUCUUUUCAAUCGUUGCUUGGAUUGCUUUCUUGGAAAAGCAGCAUACCUUCGUAACCUCCCAGAUAAUCUUGUAGACUUGGAGACUGAACUGGGAAGACUAAUCGCAGCAAAGAACGAUGUGAUGAUGAGGGUUGUCAAUGCUGAACGGCAACAAAUGAGAAGGCUGGGCCAAGUGGAAUGGUGGGUUUCGAGGGUGGAUGCUGUUAAAACUGGAGCCGAUGAACUUAUCACAGACGGCUCUGAAGAAAUUGGCGAAUUAUGUGUUGGAGGCUACUGUUCCAAGAACUGCAGGUCAAGCUACAAGUUCGGAAAACAAGUGGCUAAAAAGCUACAAGAUGUGAAGGCUUUAAUCGCCGAGGGAGUUUUUGAGGCGGUGGCUACUGAGGUGGUGCCCGAGAGAGCUCCGGAACCUGUAGCAGAUGAAAGACCCAUUGAGCGAACAGUAGUAGGCUUGCAAUCACAACUUGAACAAGUCUGGAGAUGUCUUGUAGAAGAAUCAGUGGGAAUCAUUGGCCUAUAUGGUAUGGGCGGUGUUGGUAAAACCACACUGUUGACCCAUAUCAACAAUAAAUUUCUUGAGAGUCCCACCAACUUUGAUUGUGUGAUUUGGGUCGUAGUUUCAAAAGACCUGCGACUUGAAAAAAUUCAAGACGAUAUUGGGAAGAAGAUAGGUCUGUCUGAUGAUUCAUGGAAGAAUAAAAGUUUUGAGGAGAAAGCUGUAGACAUCCUGCGGAGUUUAGGAGAGAAGAGAUUUGUAUUGUUGUUAGAUGAUUUAUGGGAGCGGGUUGAUUUAACAAAAGUGGGCGUUCCACUUCCCGGACCACAAAAUACUACCUCAAAAGUCGUAUUCGCAACCCGUUUCAUCGAUGUUUGUGGUAGCAUGGAAGCUGACAGGAAGUUCCUAGUGGCGUGCUUAUCAGAAAAGGAUGCUUGGGAACUGUUUCGAGAAAAAGUUGGGGAAGAAACUCUUCAGAGUCAUCAUGAUAUCGUUGAGCUAGCCCAAAUUGUGGCCAAAGAGUGUGGUGGUUUGCCACUCGCACUUAUUACUAUUGGUCGAGCUAUGGCCUGCAAAAGGACAGCCGAGGAGUGGAUACACGCAGUUGAAGUGCUAAGAAGAUCAGCUUUUGAGUUUGCAGGUUUGGGAAAAGAGGUGUAUCCUCUUUUAAAGUUUAGCUAUGAUAGUUUGCAGAAUGAGACGAUUAGAUCUUGUUUCUUAUAUUGUUGUUUAUAUCCCGAAGAUUAUGGAAUUCUUAAAUGGGACUUGAUUGAUUGUUGGAUUGGUGAGGGAUUCUUAGAGGAAUCUGACAGGUUUAGUGCAGAAAACCAAGGUUACUACAUUGUGGGCACUCUUAUUCAUGCGUGUUUACUAGAAGGGAUAGAAGAUGAUAGAGUAAAAAUGCAUGACGUUGUUCGUGAUAUGGCUCUAUGGAUAGCUUGUGAAAUUGAGGAGAGGAGACACUUUUUGGUUUGUGCAGGCGCUGGAUUAGAACAGGCACCGGCUGUUAGAGAAUCGGAAAAUGUGACAAGAUUGUCAUUGAUGCAAAACCAAAUUAAAAUUCUGUCGGAGGUUCCCACAUGCCCUGAUCUCCUCACUUUAUUUCUUGACUUUAAUGAGGAGUUGGAGAUGAUCGCGGAUGGCUUCUUCCAAUUUAUGCCUUCUCUCAAAGUUUUGAAGAUUUCAAACUGCGGGAAUUUUACUUUUCAAUUACCUUUGGGGAUGUCAAAGUUGGGUUCACUAGAACUUUUUGAUAUUUCACGCACCGAAAUACAAGAGUUACCAGAAGAGUUAAAGUUGUUGGUAAAUCUGAAAUGUUUGAAUUUGAGGUGGACAAGCAAGUUAAUUAGAAUUCCACGGCAACUAAUAUCAAAUUCUUCAGGGUUACGUGUGUUGAGAAUGUUCGCUACUGGCUAUGAAUGUUUUCAUGAAGCACCAGAAGACAGCGUUUUAUUUGGUGGGGGUGAAGUUUUAGUACAGGAAUUGCUCGGUUUGAAAUAUUUAGAGGUAUUGGAGUUGACCUUGGGAAGUUAUCAGGCUCUCCAAAUCUUUUUGAGCUCAAAUAAGUUAAAAAGUUGUAUUCGAUCUCUUUUCCUCCAGUUGGCCGGAGAUACAAAGUCGAUUAUUGAUGCUGCGGCUUUCGCAGAUCUAAACCACCUCAAUGAAUUAUAUAUUUAUGAAGGUAUUGAGUUGGAAGAAUUGAAGAUUGAUUAUACAGAGAUAGUACGAAAAAGGCGGGAACCUUUUGUUUUCCGCAGCCUUCACCGUGUUACCAUAUUUAGUUGCGGUAAAUUGAAAGAUGUGACAUUCCUCGUUUUUGCUCCAAACCUCAAGUCUCUUGAGCUAUUGCAAUGCGAUGCUAUGGAAGAAAUAAUCAGCGUCGGAGAAAUUGCUGAGACUCCUGAGAUGAUGGGACACAUAAGCCCUUUUGAAAAUCUCCAAAGUCUUCAUUUAUCGUAUUUACCAAUUUUGAGGAGCAUCUACUGGAAGCCAUUGCCUUUCACUCAUCUCAAAAAAAUGGAGGUACGUAGAUGCGAUCAGCUUAGAAGGCUUCCGCUCGAUUCCAACAGUGCAACAGAGCGUAAUGUUGUUAUUCGUGGAUACACACUCUGGUGGAACCGACUUCAAUGGGAGGAUGAAGCCACUCAAAUUGCUUUUCGUUCCUGUUUCCAACCUCGUUCCUGAGCAGUGGUCGCAAAAUUUGAUUUCUGGUGAGUGCGUUUGUCUUUUAAAAAGAAGAAUUUAAAAGAAAUUUAUUCUUGUCGUUUUCUUCACUGUUUUUAUUUGAUUUCUGGUUAGUUUCUUUCUCUCUCUCUCUCUCUUUGUCUUCUGCAAAUCACAAUUAAAUGUUGAAUUAAUGGAAUUGAUGCUCUGGUUUUUUACUUUUUGUUGUCAAAUUUUGCCCUGUUCUAUCUUCUUAGCGAUUUAAUUUCCUGUCAAAAGACGAGCGAGAAGAACAUAUAUAUGACUUAAACCAAUUGAUACUUUAUUUAUGUGCAUUGUAUGUAAUAAAUAUUAAGUAUACUUUAUUUUUGCCCUGUUCUCUGUUUUUAUUUCAGUCUCUCUCUCUCUUUCCUGUCUUCUGCAAAAUAUAAUCAAUUAUUUUCAAAAUAUCAUUGAUGAUUUUUCUGCUCUAAUGCUAUGUAAAUAGUAUGUUAAGUAAAACAUAAUCAAUUAUUUGUGUUUUAUCUCUAAUUAGAACAUCAAUCAGUUCAGUACCUCACAAAUAAUUCGCAAUAUCUACAAAAUACUAUAAUGGCUACAAAACAAAUCCUGCUUGCAAAUUGUCAAGGAUACCUAUCCGUUCGCUUGACAAGUCAUUUGAAUAAAUAUUGUUCACAUUCCUUACUCUAUCAAUUAUCCAAAGCACCAUCAAUGGUCCUCAACUUUAGUUUGAAUAGUAUACAUGCCAUCACCAUUACCAAGAAUCAAGCAUGGAAGAGUCAUUCUAUAGAGUUAAUCGAAGCAAGGAAUGAUGUAUCAGAAAAUAUUUGGUGGAGAAUUCAGCACAAACAUAUUUUGGAUGAUCAGAAUCAAUAAAACCUGGUGGUUGCGCCAUAUAAACAUCUUCGGAAAGCUGACCUUGAAGAAAGGCGUUAUUGAUAUCCAAUUGACGAAGAGGCCAGCCAUGACUAACAUCAAUACUAAGAACAAGCCGUACUGUGGUGGACUUAACAACUGGACUGAAAGUGUCAUAAUAGUCCACACCAGGCCAUUGAUUGAACCCUUUGGCAACAAGAUGAGCUUUAAACCUGUCAACAGAACCGUUGGAAUGUCUUUUAAUACAAAAAUCCAUUUGCAGCCAACAAUAUUGGAAGGGAUGGGAGGUGGAACAAGCUUCCAUGUCCCGUUACGAACAAGAGCAUCAUACUCUUCUGACAUAGCUGGACGCCAGUGAAGAUUUUUGAUAGCUUGCGUCACAGUUGUAGGUUCACAAUCAGAAGAAGGGCUAAAAUGAGCACGGAGGUUAAGUUUUUGUAACGGCUUGUGAAUCUUAUUUUUAGCUCGGGUAGUCAUAUCAUGAUGACUUGUGGGGCAAUGAUCUAGUGGAGUUUAGGAAGAUGAUUGAACAGGAAGUGAAGAAGUGCUUUGUGUAGAGGUAGAAGUAGGUUGGGAGGAUUGCUGCGGAGAUGUUACCGGUAGAGAAGAAGGAGCAGUACACGGUGGCAACUCCAGAGGGCCCACAAUAGAUGGAGUAGGUGCCGACAAUGGAGUACUAGGAAAUGAAACAGGAAGAAUUGGUGGAACACUUGCGUAAUUAGGAGUGGUAGAUGAGCUUGUAAUGAUUUGUAUGGAAAAACAAACUCUACAAAUUUAACGUGACGUGAAAUAAAAAUUCAACCCGAUUGCAUAUUUAAGAACAUCUCAAAUGAAUUGCUUACUGCUAUCAUCAUCAUUAUUGUCUAUAUAAUAAUGGAUCUUUAUUAUAUAUAUGUUUCCACUAAAAUAUAUUUAAUUAUUCUUUAUUUUUCUAUUGUUGCGUGUAAGAUUUAUUUGAGUUCUAAGUUAUAUCAAUACAAAUGUUAUCUUAUCCAUAAAAAGUUAGAUCCAACAAUUAUGAAAAUUACUAUAGAGUUGCUUUCAAUUAUUUUUUUAAAAUACCAGGAGUAAAUAAUAAUUAGUUCAAAUGGUGGAGACUAAAAUGCGUUCACCUUUAUUUUUUAUCUGUUAUUUACUUUUGUCAUUACAUUAAUGCACAUGCUAUACAUUUGAGACAUUCCAUUAAUUGCCAAUUAUGUAUGUGAGAUAGUAAUUUAAAUUAAAAAAUAAAAGUGAAAGUUAAUCCUAUGCAAUGUGAAUAAAUUUCUUUCCUUUUUCCUUUACUCUUUUUAUUUGACAAUAAAGUUUCCAUCUAUCAUCUAUCAUCUAUGUACACAAAAUUUCUGCAACAAGUACAAAACAUAAAAAUAUAUGAAUAUUAAGGGAAACACGCAGAAGUUCAUCAUUUCAAUGUUCAGUAUUACCAAUUUUGGCAUUAAGCUUGUACGAAUAUAUUCUACUUCGAAAGCAAAAUAUUAGACUCGUGAUUUUAAUUCAUUCAUUAUCUCUCAUUUUAAUCCCAAAAUAUUCAAGAGUAUCCAAGUUACCAUAAGACUUCAGAGGCUCGAGCCUUAGCCAGAGAUGGUUAAUUGAUAGACUAUGUGCCUGGGUCGAGCACUGGAAGCCUGCAAUGCAGACUGAUUGAUUUAUCAGUUUAACGUGUGCCAGGAAUGAAGAACUGGAAUAUCACCGUCAAGCAAGCACCCUGUGGAGCAAUACCAAAGAAUGCACAAUCUGGCUUUGCUAGGUGACCCUGGAGGCUUUUUGAAAAGUGCUUCAUGCUCACUUGCACAGAUUGAGCAUCCCCUCUGGAUAUUGCCCUCUCUGAUCGAGUCUGAGCACUCAAAUUUCGGUCCUCAGAUGGAGCUACAGCUUUCUCUCCAAUAACCAACAAUUUUCUAAACUCAGCACCUAGUGUGAUCAGAGUUGUUGAUAUUUGCAAAUGGAGAUCCCCAUAUUUGCAAAUGGAGACAUUUAACAAAUCACCAACAUGCUUCAUCCGGUCCACGAAAUUCUGCAACUGAUUCAAAUCUGGAACCUGAACCAGAGUCGGAGGUAUAUCUUGAGCCAUAUCUAAAGCAGUUUGAAGUUCAAGACCUUGAGCCCUUGACAAUGGUUUUGAAAUUGGAACAUCUUGGAUUACUGCAGACUUGUACCCCUUGGUUUCAAAGGUAAGGAAAGGCAUUGCUUGAGUACAAUUUGGAGGCAGCUUCUUCACCAAUUUUAUUUGGAGGCAAUUGGCAGCGGAUCCAGCUGCACCAAUUUCAGAGCAACUACUGACACUACUUCGAACAGCACACUGACGAAGUGAUAUGUCUACGGCAAAGGCAAUGCAGUCCUCAUUUUGGCUUGAGAUGCAGUAAUCAUCGAAGAGAGUUUCCUUGUGAAACUGGGCAACACAUUGAAUCCCUUCGCCACUGAGAAGGUUGUGGAGGAAGUAAGCUGUCUCUCUAGUGAGGAAGAGGUGGCAUACCUUCCCCAUUUUGUCUAGGGCAGGUAGGAAUCUUUUUUCUAAGAGAUUUACUUCAUUCUCUGUGAGAAAUGCUUUGAACUUCAUCCCUCUGUCUCUAUCCUCACUUAUCAGGAAAUAAGUUGAAAGCACUAUGAAGAGAGAGAGAGAGAGAGAGAGAAUUAAGAUAUAUAGACAAGAAAAUAAUUAGACGUUGAUCUUACAAACUAAUACUUCAAGCAGUAUCCUAGAAAGCUAAAAACUGCAAGAUGGCUUGAAAUUUGAAAAGAGCACAUGGUUUUCCUCCUUAACUUGAGAAAAUGUUUAAUAUAGUGCACCUUACAGAAGCAUUUAAGCAAUUAGAACUUUGCACAAAAACAUCAAGAAGACUAAACAAAUCAGAUGCAGUGUAUUUGUCCAAGCACAAAUUGCAUUUUGUCCUCAACUUUAAUAUUUAUUGAUGAGAAUCAAUACAGGUCCCUCAUUUGUUAUAGAAAGCUUUCUUGUAGUCUCACCAGUUAAUUCACAGGUCUAUAAUCAUCUUGCAAAGUUAAGGGCAUUUCUUUCGAUCUAAAGUCUUUGCAUCACCACCUCAUCACACGCCAAGCCAAUAUUCCAUUUACCUCUACAACAAAAAGUUUUUAAGUAAAUAAUCCUAAUGCACGCAGCCGAAUAAAAUGCAGUAAGAAUAUUCAACUUAAAAAUCUGAAAGCCAACUUGGUGAAUUGCCUCCUUAGGUGAAGUUCCAUGCUUUACUAUAGUUGACAGAACUCAGCAAAAGCUUCCAUACAACAGAUUUUGAAAAUGAUGAUGCCAAUAGAUACUCAUUCAAUCCAUUGAAACUCCAAAGGUUCAUUGUUCAUAGAAGUUUACAGAGUUUUGGUCAUCAAAUAGCUCAGACCUAAUCCCAAACAAAAAACGAGUGAAAAUUAGAUCACGAGCAGCUAAUUGUAAAUUCUAACUUAACUCUUCAUCUCCUUUGUAAACAAGAAACAAAAUGGAGACACGCAAAAUGAAUAUGGAGAAAAUUUGAACUCAAAUGAAAUGAGGGCACGAAAGCAAACAAAUGGCAUGCACAAAAAAACCAAGCCUCGAUAAAAAACUAAUUAACCAUUAAGAAAAAAAUUGGUCAGAGAAUGAACUCCAAAUUCAGGAGUCAAGCAAGAAGCUUUCAUUAUUUCAGAAGCUCCUGUACAAAUUAAUAAGUUAUGCUCUUUGGAAGCAAACCUAAAUUCCAAGAGAAACAGAACCCAAAAAAUUUGCAAUUAUACGCAAAGGAAGUGAAGCACAGGAUUCUAUCACACAUAGGAAUUGUAUAACAAGAGAUCGAUAUAUCGAAUUAGAAAACUCAAUUCGAAUUUGUGUCAAAAAUCAAAAUUAGAAGAUUUCACAUUUCGAGAGGAACAAGCAACAGAUGAAGUUCAAAAUUUCAGCCAUAACAUGCUAAAAAUGCUACACUUAACGGUUCAUUUUCAUGGAUUUUCUCGGGAAACAAACAGAAAAUUACGGUUUAGAGAGUUGACUGACCUUUUGGCUUUUGAAAUUGACCAGAUCGCGCGCCAAAUUGGAAGAGGGAAAGUGAAAGCGCGAGUUUUAAUAUGGGUAUUAGAUAAGGAAAUUUUAUUAGGUUGCGAGGGUAAAAAAGGAAAGAGAUAUCAUUAUUUUAUUAUCGAUAAUUAUUAAAUUUUUUUCCAAAAAAAAGAACAAGCAAGGAUUUUUUAUUGUCAUCACUAAGUUAAAAAAAAUUGUUUCAAAAUUACUUGAGUCAUAUCCAAUGGACCAACAAAGUAAUCGUUUUUAUUUUUAUUGAUUUUUGCAGGAAAUUAAUAACUUAAAAAUACUGAAAGCUACUGUAAAAAUUUUUAUUAUCAACCUCAUAAUUUUUUUUUUUUGGGGAAGAGAAUUCAAACUUUUUUUUUAUGAAUAUCGCUGUUUCGUUUGAGUUGGAUGUGAAUUCAAAUCCAAAUAUUCUUUGUUUUUCAAUUUUGAACUCAAUUUCUUUUUCUCAAGAAUGUUAUGCAGAAAUAAUUUUUACUAAAUCUUUUUUGAUGAAUUGUUUAAAUUAAACAAUUGGAAUAAGAAUUGUAACGAUUUAUCAUAAGCGUGCUAAUAUGAUAACUUGUUUUACGAAGGAUUAAUUAAUCAAUUAAUAUUAAAUUAUAUAUUAGUCAAUUAGAUAUGUGUUACAUUUAUCAUGUUUUGUAGGUGAUAGUACAUCAUUUCUAAAAGAAUAUAGUACGUUAAAAUAUUAUUUUAAUGAAGAAAAUUUUAUUAUUUUAUUAUUAGGUGACACAAUAAUAAAUGGAUUUCUGUAAGAAUUGAGAUUCUUGAUAUAAUUAUUACAUAAGGAGAAGUUUAGUUGGUUCAAUUUUGACGUGAUAAGAAGACAACACAGCACAGAAAACCCAAAUUGCCACUUCCACUAAUAAAAGAUACCUGUUUGAAAAGUAAUUAUAAACUAUCUUCUUUGUGUUAUUUCUCAAAACUUUUGUGGCACAAAUGUUAUUUCCAUUGACAACAGUACGAAAUACCACCCCUUUCACUUGAGCAGGAGCAAAGCAAAGGUAUGAUGAGCUAUCUCUGUAUAAUUGAAACGCCAUUACUAAACGAUUCUUGAUGAUGGGAGCCACCGUGCCAGCUUUGUCGCUGAUUUGCAUGAUUUAUUAGUUGUCCAGAUGGCGGAUUUUGUACUGUUACCUUCGUUUCAUUCUUCAGAGCCAUGUACUGUUCUAGGAUACCAGAGAAACCAAGGUGGCAUUGAAGUUGCCCUGGUGGUUAGUUUUCCGAUCAUUUUUUUAUUCAAUUAUUUAUGUUUUUAGAAAAAUGUAGGAAAUAUGUAGAAAUGUUGACAGCUAUGAUUUUGAAACUUUUGCCUAAAAUUGUUAUCAUUACUUGUUGUUUCUUAUUUAAAGAGAAAUUCUAGAAACAUGAAAUGAUUAUUCUACGCUUGUUUUAAUAUUGUGCUAUGAAGAUUACGAAGGUUUGAUUAUAUGUCACUAUCAAUUGCCUUAAUCGUUUGUCGUAAAUCAAUUAAGCAUUUUGAUGCGAAUGAUUCCCUAUUAAAAAAUUCAAGUCAGAGCUGAAUUGCAAAGUAGUUAGUCGUGCUUGCAAUUCAAAUUAAGUAUUGUAUUUUCUCCCUGAUUUGGUUGAUUCAACUAUGUGCAUUUGCUUAUGAACGUUGCAGUAUAGAAAUCGAAAUAUCUUGUCUUUUGCUAAGCCCAGAAGCAAAUUCUUUGUAUUCUACUCAUCAGUUUUCUUCAUUCUCUUUGUUGAAAUUUUAUCUAAACAGCGGUUUCUUCGAAUUUAUGCCUUCGCUUACUCUUUUAAAUUUUAUCCAAACAACGGUUUUGAAAUUGUUUUCACUACAAUACCUUAGUCUUUCAGAUGCUCCCGUCACUGAGUUGCCAGAAGAGCUAAAAGCCUUGGUAAAUCUUAAGUGUUUGAACCGGAGUACACAAAUUAUCUCUCUACAUUUCCAAAGCAAUUGAUUUGUUACUUUUCGAUGCUACAUGUUCCGCGAAUAUUCAGUUGUGGUUAUCUUGUUCAGAUACCAGAAAAUAGCGUUAUAUUUAGUGGUAAUGAAUUCUUGGUUUGGGAGUUGCUUAGUUUAAAACGUUUAAAUGUAUUAAGCAUCAUCUUGAAAAGUUUUUCUGCUGUCCAAAAACUUAUGAGCUUCCAAAAGUUUCAAAGCUGUACACAAUGCAUGGAGCUUGUAGACUGUGAUGAUCCAAAGUCAUUUGCCGUGGCAGAGUUGAAGCAUCUUGAAAAACUAGGUUUUUCAAGUUGUGGAAAUUUGGAAGAGUUAAAGUUCUGCUGUGUCGAAGUUGCAAAGGCUCGAGAAUGUUUUCGUUUGAACAGCCCUCACUGAGUUAAGAUGAAGGCUUGUCAUAAAUUGUGGGAAGCGACAGGUUAUUCAAAUAGAAAAAUUUAUGGAGAUGGAUGUUAAUCUUAAGGUUAUUCAAUUAGAAAAAUUUGAAUAAAAUUUAUGGUAAGUGCUUUUCCAUUUAUUGCAUAUUUAUAUCUAAUUUUUAUUUUCCUUUAUUGUUAAAUUUUGGUCUCUAUUUGUUGUUGUAUGGUGGCAUUCUUGUACAAUUAUUAGCUUUUCAUUUCUCUUCUCACAUUAACUGCCCUUCUGAUCAUGUAGGAUUUGCUGAUGCAAAGAGUCAUAAUUUGGGAUACAAAUGUAAGAAUUAGACAGAUGACAUGUUGUUUUGAAGCUCUCAAAGAAGGACUAAUUAUGUCAUUGAAAGCCUCCAAUUUUGUGAUUGGUUUCUUUUUAUUUUAUUUGUUGUUUUCUCUAUUUUCAGAUCACUUAAUUGUUAGUUGUUGUAAUGUAAUGUUUUAGUAUAGCAAAUUAUAUUCGGCCAAGACAGUGAUAGGAGGGCACAUUGUGCAUGCACACUAGUGGAUUUGGCAUGCCAAAUCCAAUUAGGAUGGAUAACACUUUAUAAGCAUUAGGCUUCUCUCAUACCUGAGUAAUAUAGAAUAUGUUUAUAAGUUGUGAAUCACCCUUUACAAGUGUUAGGCUUCUGCUAUACUCAGUGAUGUGAAAUAUAUUUAUAAGCACUAAACUUCUCCCAUACACUUUAUGUUAAUAAUAAUAAUAAUAAUAAUAAUAAUAAUAAUAAAAUAAUAAUAAAUAAACCCAUUUUAACAGACUCUUUUUUCUUUUUCUAUAUGAACAAAUGCAUUCUUCAAAGCAACUGUGGGGAGAAGAAGUGAGUAGAGAAGAACUGAGCCCCUGUCAUUCCCCUAAAACCUCACCAAAACCUCUCUUGUAAGCUUCUCGGAUUUUCUUUCUAUAUUUCUUAGGAACUCAUUUUUUAUUGAAUCACUUAUUUUGCAUGCUGCAUUUUUUGGUUGUCGUAUUUGUGUAUUAUCUUAUCUGGAAUGCUGUUAUGAUUGAUGGAACAAGUAAUCGAUUUUUGGUCUAAUGGAAGUUGAUUUAUUUAUUUAUUGUUGUUUUUAUUUGAAAUUAUGUACAAUUGUAUUUCAUUCAUUUCUCUCUCUUUUGCUUUUUUCCCCCCAUAUAUUUGUUAUGUAUAAUUGCGUUUCAUUUAAUAUUGAUCAUACUGUAGGUAACCAUGUGAUUGUAGAUGGGGAUUUCGAGUUUGUUGAAUAUUCAUGUAAGUGAAGUAACCGUCACAAUACUAGUGAAAUUGGGAGCUUUAUUCAUGAGUUUGUGGUUUUGAAAAGUACCACAGUUCAACUGGUGAAGGCUCCGUUUUGGGAUUCUUCUUUUUCUAGGCUGCAAUUAGGAUAUGUACAUGAUAGACAAUCUUUUGUUGGUUUAGCAUAUCUUCGCUGAUUUUGUCUUUUAUUCCCCAAUUUUAUAAUUACACACCAUGAAUGUUGGGUGAUUGUAUAGAAAAUUUGUGUUAUAACAAAAACAUUGUGAAGGAGUUUCCGUGCUAAUAGUUAGUGGCUUCUGUUUUAUUGGCAUUGAUUGGGUAGAUUACGUGUUACAGUGAUUCAAUUUGUGUUCCAAACUUUGCUUUAAUUUUCUGUUUUCCCCAACUAUUUAUGUCAAAUUUAAAUCCAGAAGCAUGUGCUGAUUUUUUCUUUUUGUAUUAAUCUGUGAAGUUUAUUUGGAAUGGAAGUAACUGGGUCGGGUCUAAUGGAUUAAAUUAUGACAUUGAGGGGAAGGCACUAAAAGGGUUUGCUUGACACAUUUGGUUCUGUGUUUACUCUGCAAGAAAUAACUUUUGCUUAUUGCAAUGCAGGGGGAAAUCCCGAUUUGGCUGGUGAAUUUCUCUGCAACAAACAGGCAAACACCUCAACAUCUUCUGUCCAUACUUCUGCUGGGGAGGCAAGGGGUAAAGAGUCUUCAAAAUCAUCAAAUAGUUACAUCUCUGAGAAUUCAUUUUAUGGAAAUGGAAAAUCUAGAGUUUCUAAUACAAAAUGGCAUCUGGUAUCAGGACGUACCGUUUCAAGUUUUCUUGGUAAAGAUUAUGUUAAACCUGCACAGCCAGCUAAUGGCACUUUUCUGGCAUCAAAGCCAUUGAAGUUGGAUCCAAGGGAGUUUCGCAUUUCUGCACUUUCAGAGAAGAAACUAAACCGACAAUCAAAGGAUGACCAUUUGCAGAAGGAUAUGGAAGAUUUUCUUUUUAAAUUGCUAGGAGAAGGGUUCCAGCUGUACAGGGAUGUGAUUCAGGAGGUUCAUGGUAACGUCUUAAAUAUAUUGAUGCCAAUUUAAUACAUAUUGUCCUUUUCAAUGUUCUUUCUUUCUUUCUCCUCUUUUUAUUAUUCUUCUUCUUCUUUUUUCUUUUCAUGUGCAUGUGAUCACUAAUUUGGUAUUAUUCUUGACUUGCAGAUAGUUGUGGAUAUGAAAUGCAAAAGGUAAGGGCUAUAUCUUCUUGAUGGAGGCCUCUGAUUUUUUAAAUCGCAUUUUCCUUUGUGAUUGAUAUAUCAUACCAAAGUCAAGUCUUAAAUACUGCUGUCAUAUGUUAAGGUUCAACUUCCAUUUUGAUUAACGUCGAUUUGCUACUGCUUCCAAAAGUGAGAAUGAGAUACUUUGGUUAAUUUCAGUAGUUGAACUCAAUGGAGUACUUUAUUUAGAUCUUCAUGGUUCAAAGGCCUGAAAAAACUUGCCGGUAUUUGCAAAAUGACAUCUGUGCUUUUAUUUAGACUUAUUAUUAAAGACAACAUUUUAUUUCAGCCAAAAAUGUUUGUUUCAAUUAAAGACUUGAACCAUUUUCAUUUAACCUGAUUGUGAUGCUUUACAUUAUGCAUGUUCCUCUCAAUCAAUAAAAGUUGAGGUCAUGAUUUUAUAUUUCUAUUUUGUAACUUGAAAUAAUUGGUCUGCCUGUUUCUGUUGCUUGAUAACAUGAAUUUUUCCUUCUGAAGUUAAUUUGAUCAAUAAAGUAAUUCUUCGGAGAGGAUAUGCCCAUUCUAUAGUCAUUUUCUUAGCUAACAUGUUUUUUCUUCACUCUUCAAAGCAUGUCUAAACUAAUUGAUCGCUCAGCGGAGACUUUGGGUGAGAAGACAAAAUUUCUUGGUAAAUCCUCUGAAAAGGUAUGCAUAAUUCCCGAGUAUUAAAUAAUCAUUGGUCAUAAUUUUUGUACACGACUCUUGUUUUGGAGAUCGUUAAAAGUGGUUGAUGAUCUAUUUUGUAAUAUCAUAGAGGGAUCAUGAAUUCCUUUUCUUUUCUGUGGCUAGGCAACACUUUCGAGCCAAGCUAAGGAAAUCUAUUUUAGGUAAUGUGAAAACUAGUUGUAGGAUGUAAUAGUUUAUUAUGCCCUGACAAUAACUUUUUGUAUAAUUGUCAGUUUAAUGAAUACAAGAGGAACUCUGUUGGCAAGUUCAUCCAUGAUAGAUGCUAAAAUUAUUUAUGCAUACCAGUUGCCUUAACUAAUUUUUCUCAACACUGGUAUUGAACAGGAAAAUGAAUAUGCAAUUUGUAUAUUGUGCCAUUGUGGAGAAUUUGGAUAUUCUUAUUUAAGUAACAAGGAGAGUAUUUGCCUCAUCUUUAAACAAUGAAUCUUUGAGAAAUGAGGAGUGGGUGAUUGACAGUGUCUUCAUGUAAAUGUUCAUUUAUUUGUAUUUUGAACUAUUAUGAGAAUCUUUGUAUGCCAAAUUAGUAAUACAAAUGUUCAGAUGAUUUUUCCUGUUGAUCAUGCGUGUGUAUCUGCACACAACCAUUGUGUACCACUUUAUUCUGAUGCACAAAUAUCUGUAGUUUAGAAGAAAAGAAAUAAUAAUCAUAUAUUAUUGCUUGGUUCAUGAUUAUUAAAUGAUUAUGGCUUUAGAAAAUCCACAAAUCCUUUGUGUUCAUAUAUGAAUGUGCGAAGUUCGCUAUAUCUUAGAUUACCUUCUUCCAAGAUAACAAGUUCAUAUAUUUUUUUUAAUCCUUUUUCAUCACAGUUGAAUUUCAAGUGUAAGUUUUGUUAUUAAUAGCUGGUUUCCUGUUAUUAUGAUUUCAUAAACAAUGAGAGGAUAUGUGCUCUACUUUUGGAUGGCCUCCACAUAAAAGAAAAUUGCAACAAUUGAAUUCUUCUGGAGGGUAUGGUAUUUAAUUUAUUUUCUCAGCUUGUUGUAAGACUAAUAUAUUUCCUUCAGUACGCACGGCAUGGUGGGAAGGGUUUUUAUUGAAAGAAUUAUGAUAUUUCUUAGACUUUGUUUUGGAAGGGGGUGGAGGGAUUUCUCAUCCAUGUAUGGUUACUUGAUUAGCUUUUGACUGUACUGUCUCCGUCGUGCAAAGGAAAAUCCAAAUACUAACGAAGGGGAAUUGCUUAGGCACCCAAAGGACAGAAAUGAAUUACGGAAGGAGGUUUUUGCUGCUUUAUUUAGUGCUGCUGAGAAAUCUGAUGAAUUUCCUGAAAUUACGGUGAAGACGGAGUGGAGGUCCAACGCAUUAGGAAAGGUGGUGAGUGAACCGCCAGAGGAAUUAGUACCAGAAUACAAGGCUAAUGUGGUGCACUGGCAGCAAGAUGACCAGACCUGUAUGUGCUCUUAUAUUAACUAUAUUGGCUGGAUUUGUGAGUGUGUUCAUUUUUGUGUGUAUACUCACUUUUGUAUUUAUGCAUAUUCACGUGUGUAGGAUUCUCGAUUUCUGCCACUUACUGGAGAACUAGUGGAAAGCUUUAUACUGAUAUAUGUGCUAUAUAACUAAUGGAAACUACAAUAUGAAUAUUUUCUCUCACCUGGAGAGCAGUGUAACUAAUAUAAUUUGUGGCUCUGGAAUACUGAAGAUUCUGCAAUAACUAAUGGAAAAUAUGAUAUGAAUAUUUUUUCUCACCUGGAGAACUUUGUAACAGAUACAUUUUGUGCUGGAAUGUCUAAAGAAUGCUUCAGUUUAUAUCAAAUAUCUUUUAGUUAGAAAAGAUAAAAUUCUCUGAAUCUGAAAGACUGAAACAUUUUGCAUAUUUCGUGAAAGGCAAGUAUCUGUAGAUACUAGCUCAUGCAUUGAGGUAAUAUCAAUGUUAAAGAAAAACAGCAAUAAUUUAUUAUACAGAAUUAGGUUCACUUGCUUUAAAUGCUGGUCUGAUCAACCAUAUCAACCUGUAAUGGUCCUGCAGAAAUAUAUAUACGGGGAGAAACUAGCUAAUUUUCCUUUCACUUAUGGGUUUGGUCUUUUUUUCCCCAAUUUUUCAGCUUUCCUUCUCCUGAAGUAUGUUAAUAAUUGCAGAUAAUGGCGAAGAGGACUGCUUCCAGGCUACCGGCAAAAACUUUGUGAAAGCUUUGGAGUUAAACAGGGAAUUCACUUACUGCUAAGGACAAUUGGUGGCGAGCUAUUUCAUUCAUUUUAUGUCCAUACAUCUAUUUAAUUAUUAAAGAUAAUGUACGCAUUUGUAAAUUUCAGAUUGUGUGUCUCUGAAAAUAACAAUAUUUAAAAUGUCUCUUAAAUUAUUAUAAAUUUUAAUUUACUCUCGAUUUAAAAUGGAACAUGUUGGUGAAAUAUUUUUUCUUCUUAAUAAAAUUGAAAUAAAUUAUGUUAGCAGUAGUUUGAAAUAUUUUAAAGAUGAUUAUUUUAUAAGGGAGUAAUAUGAAAUGAAAUUUACUUUUCAUGCGUGAAAUGUUGAAAAAGGACAAAGCAAGUGUCCCUGCUUUUAUUUUAUUUCAAAGUGGAGUCAUCUCACAUACUUUAGCUCUAUCAUUAGGAGCCGGCUAAGUUACGUUAAACGUAAUUUACGCCAGGCACAGCAAUAAUGACAAGUCCCAUGACUAGUAUUGUUGCUGUGUCUGACGUAAGUUACGUUUAACGUAACUUAGCCAAAGCCCUAUCAUUAAUAUAUAUUUAAAUUUAACACAUGCAUGUGGGUUACUUUUCCGUAAGUUCCUUAAUAUAUAUUUAACACAAAUCAUGGAAGAGAUGGGAGUAUAUCAAGAUGAUCAAAGCAUGAAACAAAAAUAUUUAAGAAGUAAAACACUGAAAAUGGAGAAGAGAUGCAAGCAAAAGAUAUUCUAAAGAAAAGCAAUCUAUCCCCUUUCGAGGGCAAACUUAUCAGGUUUAAGAAAAGUACAUGCUUUGGAUUGGUAGUUGCAGCCUUGCAGGAUAAUUGUUUUUGCCACUAUAUUAGUUGGAGGAGUUGAACCCAGUGAAGAAUGUUAUGGAAGAGCAAAUGAUAUUUCUGAUAGACUCUAUUUGAUUAUGUAGCCUGAAUAGAUGUCUUGUUGAAAGAUAUAUCAGUGCAUUAGUUCAUCCUUGUCUGUCAAUGUGUUUUUAAUGGUUUUUCCAAUUGUUUUUUUUUUUUUUGAAACUGAUUAAGCAUCAGGUUACUGCAUUACACAGAUAUAUAUACAACUGCUAUGACAGCAGGUCAUUACACUGAUAUUUACAAUCAGAUAUAUAUACAUGGGACUUAUAUUAUUACAUUUUUAUUCUAUGAAGUACAUGCCCAUCCCAAAUACCCCUCACGGAGGAGGGAUGUCUCUACUCCACUCGCAUUUCGCAAGGGAGAAAGACGUUUAUAGAAAUCUCCACACAAUUAUGUUUAAUUGGAGGAGGUUGAGUCCGUGGGGACUCGAACCAUUGCCCUCAAAGUCAUGCUUAACUUUGAGGGCAAUGGUCCACCACUGGGCUACAAGCCCAAGUGGCGGUUUUUCCAAUUGUUUAUUGCUAUAGAUUGAUUGUAAAUUGAUGUGAACUUAAUGUUGAAAUAUUUUCUCUUUAGUGGAAUGAAAGUUAAACAUUCAAGAUUAGAUUAUUCAAGGUCCACAUAGUAUGUGUUCCGUUGUGUUGUCUGUAAUUUUGCAUUUAAAUAAAUUUGAGUGCUGCCGUUUCGCUCCCACAAUCUCUCGCCUUUUUUUAAUUUUAAAAAUUAAAAUAUUAAUAAAAAACAAUAAAGAAAAUCGAAUCCUUUAUGUCAUUCCAUCUUUACAACUCUCUCUCACAAACUCCAUCUAACAGACUUCUCUCUUACUAUCUCGGUCGAACAAGACCAGUGACAAUGAUGACACGACCGCCGACGAUGAGAUGGUCAUCGCUAAAGAAUCGGGCCGUGUAUUUUACAAUUUCUUGGUUUGUGACAACAAUGGAAAACUCCUGAAAAUUUUGAAUUUGUAGUCGAGCAAAGGAAGAAGCAAGUUAUCUUCAAAGCAUUUUCCAGUAAUAGCUGAUGAAAUUUAAUACUUCAAGCUGGCCCUUUGCUGUCACAACUAGAUGCAUUUGCACUGUCAUUACAAUUUAUGGAAAUUAAAGUAAUUAAUGGUUCUAAUUAAUAGCUUCCCAAAAAACCAAUCUGCCCUUGUGAGAACCAAAGCAUUAAUUUCUUGUAAGAGCUGCAGAAGGCCAGAGAAUUUCAGAUCGUGAAAAGGAGUGUGUGAGUGAGAGAGAGAUCGUGAAAUAGUGAGAGACAAUGAGAGAGAGAGCCGCUCGACUGAGAUGGUGAGAGAGUUGCAAAAAUGGAGUAAGGAGCAGAUAAGAUUAUGUUUUCUUUAUUAUUUUUUAUUAAUAUUUUAAUUUUUUUAAUUAAAAAAGGGCGAGAGAUUUUGGGAGUGAAACGGCAGCAUGUUCCAAUAAAUUUUUACCAAAGUUUCUCUCGUGUUUCUCUCACCUUUCUAGAUACCAAGCAUUUUCCAAUAAAUUUUUACUAAAAACUUAGCAAGCCCUUGAAACUUUGGUCAAAAUUAUUGUUAUUAUUACUUUUAGAGGAAAAACUUUUAUUAAAACCUCAUUAACACAAUUCUUAAUUAAAAUUAUAAGUUUGUGUUGGUGUAAGGAUUUGCAGGAGCAAUUACUGCCUAGCCAAGUGUCAAAAGCACAAAAUAAAUCAAGAGAAAGUAGACAUGAAUUAGGAUCCAAUGAAAUUUAAAUCCCGGAGAAAAGAAAUAAUCAUGCAGAUUAUCAAGAUUUCAAUAAGGGAUAUUGAUAUCCUAUUUUGAUUAAUAAUAUCCUUUUACUGUGUUAACUCAAAAAAUAUGUAUAUUCUAAUAUUUUACAAUAAAUAGAAAUCUAAUAUUAAAAUAAAUGUGAUAUAUAUAUAUAUAUAUUAAAUAAUUUAAAUAUAAAAAAUAUUUUAAUGUUUUACAAUCUACUACACAUAUUUUAUUAAGUUAAUAUAAUUUUUCAAAUAAAUAGGGACAUAAUAUUAAAAUAAAUUUAUAAAAAUUUAAAUUAUUUUGAAUUUAAAAUAAUUUUAAUAUUAUUAAUAUGUUAGAUAUGUUUGAUUAAUUAUAAAAAUUAUUUACGCAAAUUUUUUUAAUAUUUUCAGUAGAUAUAAAUAUAUUACUUACAUUUUGAUUAUUUAACUAUUAUUAUUCUACAAUUAUUUAUAUAAUGUUUGCACUUAUUAGAAUAUAUUUAAAGUCAAAUCUUUUGCACUUCUACCUAGCUAGAAUUAUUGGACGCAGAGAAAUAAGCAUAUAUGCUUUAUAACUUUAGAAAUCGAAUUAUCUAUACAAAUUGAUUUUAGCUGGAAAAAAAGUGAGCUGAAUGAUAUAGGCGAUUAGUGUGGUAAUAUUUCAUAGAGUUAGACUAUUGAAUUUGGCACCCCUCCAAUCUUCUCAUGAUUACCUUUUUGAGUUAUUAAUACACUUCUAAUUUUUCGUUUAAUUUUUUUUAUUGUUAUACUCAAAGUAGUAUUGUGAUAUUUUAUAUUUCUUUUGCAAUCUUAUUAUUAUUUUACACAAAAUUAAAAAGUUUUCUAGGUGAUGAACUUUUGAGUUUUGAACAUUAAUCAUUGGCUUAAAUUUCAUAUAUUUUACAUUAUAAUUUGAAAUUAAGUACGAAAAUAUUUAAUAAAUUAUGAAAAGAUUAACAGAUUAUUCUAAAUUGAUACAACUUAUUUUAGUUAAAUAAAAAGUAACAGGUAAAAAAAAAAAGGAUUGGUUAUGAAAUUUGUUGGAAAAAAAUCUGUGUGUGUUUAAUUUUUAUUUGUCCUUAAUUGUAAUUUAUUUGAAGUGAGGUUUUAUAAGGAUAAUGAAGGGGUGCCAUAGUUUCACUCUAUUUCAUAUGGAGAGAGAAGUAAAAGGUACACCUGAGGUUAAUGGAAAGGACUUCGAAAGUUUCUUUUGAUUAUAAUACUGUUUGUUCUAAUUAACUUAAAAAAUUUUACUUUAAUAUUUUAUAAUAAAUUAAAUUUUAAUCUUAAAAUAAGUAUAAUCAUAUAUUUUAAAAUAAUCUUAAAAUAAAUACAAUCAUAUAUUUUAAAAUAAUCUUAAAAUAAAUACAAUCAUAUAUUUUAAAAUAAUCUUAAAAUAAAUACAAUCAUAUAUUUUAAAAUAAUCUUUAUAUUUAAAAUUUAUUUAUUUGUACAUAUUUUAUAAUAAAUAUAACACAUACUAUUAAAAUAAUAUAUAAAAAAUUAAAGUAUUUUGAAUAUUAUAUAAAAUAACUUUAAGAUUCUUAAUAUGUAAGAUAUAUUUUAUUAAUUUAAAAUUCUAUUUAAAAUUUUAUUAAUUUAAAAUUCUAUUUAACCCAAAGAUUUAUUUAAGAUAAAUUAAUAAUCAUAUUUUUUAAAUCAUUUCAAAUAUUAAAAAAUAUUUUGAUAUUACUAGUCUAUUAAAUAGAUUAAAUAUUUUUAUUAUUUUGUACUAAUCAAAAGUUACAGCUCGAAUGAUAUUAUGAGAACAGAAUUUUUAUGUCUUUAUUAAAAAUUUGGGUUUGUAUAAUUAUUUUUUCAAAUGUUAGGGGCAUAGCUGUCUUUUUACUUUUAUAUAUGUGAACCGCGGUGGUGAAAAAGUGUGAUUUAAUAUUAGUUAUUUAAAUAAUAUCUGAAUUAAAGAUGUACAGAGAAGAAAUUUCGGUGGGCAUUUUAGUCUUUUAACGAUUAUCAUGAUUAGGGAUUAGGUCCUGCUCUUGAAACGUUGGUCAGAAAAGUUCUAAAAUGCGUACAUUAUCUUUACUUUAAAAAAGUUAUUUUAUUUUAUUACAAAUUAAUGCCGACAAGAAAAAGCAAGAUCUUAAANNNNNNNNNNNNNNNNNNNNNNNNNNNNNNNNNNNNNNNNNNNNNNNNNNNNNNNNNNNNNNNNNNNNNNNNNNNNNNNNNNNNNNNNNNNNNNNNNNNNAUAAAGAUGAAGAAAAGGGCAAAAAAAUAUUAAUGAUUAACGAAAUCUCUAUCCAAAUUGAUUUUAGCAGGAAAAAAGUGAGCUAAAUGAUGUAGACGAUUAGUGGUAAUAUUUCAUAGAGUUAGACUAUUGGCACCCUUCCAAUCUUCUCACGAAUCCUCUUUUUGAGUUAUAUUUAUUUUAUUUUUAAAAUAUCUUUUUUCUCUUUUACUACACUUCUAAUUUUUCAUUUAAUUUUUUUAUUGUUAAACUCAAAGUAGUAUUGUGAUAUUUUUAAUUUCUUUUGCAAUCUUAUUAUUACUCUGCAUAUAAAUUAAAAAGUUUUUUAGGUGAUGAAUUUUUGAAUGUUAAUCAUUAGCUUAAAUUUCACAUAUUUUACAUUACAAUUUGAAAUUUAAUAUGAAAAUAUUUAAUCAAUAAGAAUUAUGAAAAGAUUAAUAAAUUAUUCUAAAUUUAUACAACUUAUUUUAGUUAGAUCAGAAGUAGCAGGUUAACAAAAGAAAGGAUUGGUUAUGAAAUUUGUUGGAAAAAAAUCUAUGUGUGUUUAAUUUUUAUUCGUUGUUAACUCUAAUUAAGUAGGUUAAAUAUUUUUGUUAUUUUUUACUUAUCAAAAAAUUUAAGAUCAAUAUUUUUAGUUACCAUUCGAAGGAUAUUAUGACAAAAACAGAAUUUUCACUUCUUUGUUAAAAAUUUGGGGGUUUGUGUAACUAUUUUUUCAAAUGUUAGGGGCAUAUCUGUCUUUUUACUCUAUAUAUAUGAACCAUGGUGGUGAAAAAGCGUGAUUUAAUGUUAUUUAUUUAAAUAAUAUCUCAAUUAAAAAUGUAAGGAGAAGAAAUUUCGGUGGGCAUUUUAGUCUUUUAACGAUUAUCAUGGUUAGGCCCUGGUCUUGAAACGUUGGUCAGAAAAGUUCUAAAAUGCGUUCAUUUGUCUUUACGCCAACAAUAAAAAGCAAGAUCUUAGUGUCCCACAAAAGCAAAUCGUAAUAUUCCGCAAUGGAGUUAGAUCCGCAAAAGCAAACAAAUUCUUUUAUUAAACUACAAAUUAAAGUGGAAUCAUUUACUAAACAACAAAUUAAAUUUGAAAUAUUUAAAUAGUCGUGCGUUAGACGAUUAGAGACUCUUAUUAAAGGCAAGUACAAAGUAGUGAAGAAUCGAAUAUUUCUAUUGUCUAGUCUUUUUUUAAAAAAAAUUUUCUUUUAUUAUUUUUCAGAAUAUGUUUUGGUGAUUACUAUUGGGUUAUUAUUCAGAGUUAUUGUUAUCUUCCGGGGCAGUUUCUGUUCAUCGAAUUCGUUAAUAAAAUUUUAAAACUCUUAUUGAAAGAAUGUUUUUCCGUUAUCUUUUUUAUAAUCUAAUUUUAAGUGUAAGAAGUAGUCAUUUUAGAAUUUGGGUCUUGAAUCGAAUUUCAAUGCAUGAAUUAAUAUUUAAAAAAAAUUUACUACAUGCAGUUUAGGUUACAAACUAUUUUUUGCAAAGUUGACUAUGAAAUUGGAGAAAUUAAGUAAUUUAUAAUGUUUGCAAAGAAAGAGACCAACAUACUUCCAAUUACACUAUAUCUCAAUUAUCAUAAUGUUAAGAUUAAACUAACUUAAAAUAAAAUUUAUUUAAAAAGUUUAUCAAACGCAGUCUAAUUUUAUUAACUUGAAGAGAUAAUAGUUAUAGAAAUUAUUAUUCUAACUUAAUUAGUAAAAGUGGUAUAAAGGUUAAGUGUGCACUAAAUCUAUUUAAAUUUUUUUCCAGUAUAACUAACAGAGGUCAUUACUAGAAUUAUAUUACUAGUCUAUUAGAUAGAAAAAAUUAUUUAUAUUGUUUUAUAUUUAUUAAAAAAAUUUAAAGUCAAUCUUUUUAAUUACUAUUUAAAGGAUAUUAUAAUUAAAAAAAUUUUAAUGUCUUCAUUAAAAAUUUAAAAUUUUAUAUGACCGUUAUCUAAAUAUUUAAAGUGUAACUGUCAUUUUCUCAUAUAUAUAUAUAAUUUCAUCAACCCCUUAUACUUUAUGUUAUUUAUAUUUUAUUCAUGAAUAUUAUAAAUUUUUUGAAAUAUAAAAUUUCGUUUAACCCUUUAUACUCAAUUUUAUUUUAUUAAAACCCUAGAGUAUGAAUUCGUCCCUAUAAUAUUAAAUUCUCAAAAUAACUUCCAUUUAAUUAAAAAAUAUAAUUAUUAUUAAAUGAAUUAUAAUUAUUAUUAUUAUGUUAUUAUAAUCAUAAAAAGCGAGAUCAUAUUCCACAAAAGCAUAAGUGACAAAACAACCAACUGGAUUCUUUUAUUAAUCAACAAAUUGUAUAGUCUUUUUCAAAUUGUUAUAAAUUGGUGGCCCCUACAAUCCUCAAUAAUUGUACCGAAAUUCACAAGUUGGUGGGCCCUACAAUUCUGUUCCGAUAAUUUAACUGUGCAAGUGCUCAUUCACAAUCUUCCAGGUCAUGCUCUUAACAAUUGUUUUUUCUUUUCUGCACGCCCUUUCAUGCUCUUAAUAAUUGAAGAGCAUACUUUUCAAAUGUGAAGCCGCAUCUAAUGUCGCUAAUUUAAUUUGGGAUUAAAUUACGGGACUAUUAUAUUGCAGUGUGCACUAAUUUUUAUGUUUAUCUAAACUCUUCAAAUUUAAAACAUAUUAUGGCAUAAAUAAGAAUGUAACAAUAACAAAAGAGUAAGAAAGUGUAGAGAAAAUCUUGCAGAAAUAUAAAUAAUAUUUAUUUUUAAAAUAAUAUUAAUAUUUAAAAUAAUUUUUAAUAUUUUAUGGUCCAUUAGAUAUAUUUUAUUAUAUUAAAAUAAAUUUUAUAAUAAAUAAAAACAUACUAUUAAAAUGAAUAUAUAUAGAAAAUUUAGAGUAUUUUAAGUAUUAUAUAAAAUAAUUUUAAUAAAAUAUGUGAGAUAUUCAUAUUUUAUUAAUUUAAGAUACCAUUUAACCUAAAGAUUUAUUUAUGAUAAAUUAAUAAUUAUAUUUUUGAAAUUACUUCAAAUAUUAAAAAAAUUAAUAUUACUAAUAUAUUAGAUAGAUUAAAUUAUAUAUAUUAUUUUUACUUAUUAAAAAAAUUUUAAAAUUAUUUUUAAUUACUAUUCAAAAAACGUAUUCAAAAAACAUAAUGAUAAAAAAAUCUUAACAUCUUUAUUAAAAAAUUAAAAACUUAUAUGAUAAAUUCUCUAAAUAUUUACGGUAUAUGUGAACCACGGUGGAUAAGCUUUAUUUAAUAUUAUUGAUUUAAAUAAUAUGUCAAUUAAAAAUGUACAGAGAAGAAAUUUCGGUGGGUAUUUUAGUCUUUUAAGCAAUUAUCAUGAUCAGAUCAGCCUUUAGCCUUCAAACGUCGGUCAGAAAAGUUUUAAAAUUAAUGCUAAAUUGUUUUUCACUUUUAACGUUGGUGGCCUUGAAAUUGCUUGUAUUUUAUUAAAAAUUAAUGCUAACAAGAAAAAGCUAGGUCAUAUUCCACAAAAUCAAAAGUGACAAAACAACCAGCUGGUUUCUUUUACUAAACUACAAAUUAAAAUAAAUUUUUUCGAUAAAUUACAAAUUAAAGUGGAUUCUUUUGAAUACAAAUGGGACAGACGAUUAGGCUCUUUUUAUUAGAGGCAAGUAAAAACUAGUCAAGAAUCGAACAGUCUUUUUCCAAUUCUUGUUUUAUUAUUUUUCAAAACUAGUUUUUGGUAAUUACAACCGGGUCAUUAAUCAUUAUUCAGAGUUAUCUUCCGGGGCAGUUUCUGUUCAUCGAAUUCGUUAAUAAAAUGUUAAAACUCUUAUUGAAAGAAUGUUUUUCCGUUAUCUUUUUUAUAAUCUAAUUUUAAGUGUAAGAAGUAGUCAUUUUAGAAUUUGGGUCUUGAAUCGAAUUUCAAUGCAUGAAUUAAUAUUUAAAAAAAAUUUACUACAUGCAGUUUAGGUUACAAACUAUUUUUUGCAAAGUUGACUAUGAAAUUGGAGAAAUUAAGUAAUUUAUAAUGUUUGCAAAGAAAGAGACCAACAUACUUCCAAUUACACUAUAUCUCAAUUAUCAUAAUGUUAAGAUUAAACUAACUUAAAAUAAAAUUUAUUUAAAAAGUUUAUCAAACGCAGUCUAAUUUUAUUAACUUGAAGAGAUAAUAGUUAUAGAAAUUAUUAUUCUAACUUAAUUAGUAAAAGUGGUAUAAAGGUUAAGUGUGCACUAAAUCUAUUUAAAUUUUUUUCCAGUAUAACUAACAGAGGUCAUUACUAGAAUUAUAUUACUAGUCUAUUAGAUAGAAAAAAUUAUUUAUAUUGUUUUAUAUUUAUUAAAAAAAUUUAAAGUCAAUCUUUUUAAUUACUAUUAAAGGAUAUUAUAAUUAAAAAAANNNNNNNNNNNNNNNNNNNNNNNNNNNNNNNNNNNNNNNNNNNNNNNNNNNNNNNNNNNNNNNNNNNNNNNNNNNNNNNNNNNNNNNNNNNNNNNNNNNNNNNNNNNNNNNNNNNNNNNNNNNNNNNNNNNNNNNNNNNNNNNNNNNNNNNNNNNNNNNNNNNNNNNNNNNNNNNNNNNNNNNNNNNNNNNNNNNNNNNNNNNNNNNNNNNNNNNNNNNNNNNNNNNNNNNNNNNNNNNNNNNNNNNNNNNNNNNNNNNNNNNNNNNNNNNNNNNNNNNNNNNNNNNNNNNNNNNNNNNNNNNNNNNNNNNNNNNNNNNNNNNNNNNNNNNNNNNNNNNNNNNNNNNNNNNNNNNNNNNNNNNNNNNNNNNNNNNNNNNNNNNNNNNNNNNNNNNNNNNNNNNNNNNNNNNNNNNNNNNNNNNNNNNNNNNNNNNNNNNNNNNNNNNNAUUGUGGGCACUCUUGUUCGUGCAUGUUUGCUAGAAGAGAUGGAAGAUGAUAAAGUAAAAAUGCAUGACGUUGUUCGUGAUAUGGCUUUAUGGAUAGCUUGUGAAAUUGAGAAGGAGAAGAGAAACUUUUUGGUUUGUGCAGGUGCUCGAUUAGAAGAGGCACCGGGUGUUAAAGAAUGGGAAAAUGUGAGAAGAUUGUCAUUGAUGCAAAACCAAAUUGAAACUGUGUCAGAGAUUCCCGCAUGCCCUCAUCUCCAUACUCUAUUUCUUGCCUCUAAUAGGAAUUUCAGGAUGAUCACGGAUGGCUUCUUUCAAUUUAUGCCUUCUCUCAAAGUUUUGAAGAUGUCACGCUGUGGGCAAUUCGAAGGUUUUCAAUUACCUGUUGGGAUGUCAGAGUUGGGUUCAUCACUAGAACUUCUUGAUAUUUCACAUACCACCAUAAGAGAGUUACCCGAAGAGUUAAAGUUGCUGGUAAAUCUGAAAUGUUUGAAUUUGAGGUGGACAGGUGCGUUAAUUAGAAUUCCACGGGGACUAAUAUCAAAAUUUUCAAGGUUACGUGUGUUGAGAAUGUUGGGUACUGGCGGGUUCAUUUUUUAUGAAGCACCAGAAGACAGCGUUUUAUUUGGUGGGGGUGAAGUUUUGAUACAGGAAUUGCUCGGUUUGAAAUAUUUAGAGGUAUUGGAGUUGACCUUGGGAAGUUAUCAUGCUCUCCAAAUUCUUUUGAGCUCAAAUAAGUUAAAAAGUUGUAUUCGAUCUCUUUACCUCUAUUUGACCGGAGAUAAAAAGUCGAUUAUUGAUGCUACGGCUUUCACAGACCUAAACCACCUCAAUGAAUUAUGGAUUGAUAAUGGAAUUGAGUUGGAAGAAUUGAAGAUUGAUUAUACGGAGAUAGUACGAAAAAGGCGGGAACCUUUUGUUUUCCACAGCCUUCACCUUGUUACGAUAUAUAGUUGCCAUAAAUUGAAAGAUUCGACAUUCCUCGCUUUUGCUCCAAACCUCAAGUCUCUUUCGCUAUUCAAAUGCCGUGCUAUGGAAGAAAUAAUCAGCGUCGGAAAAAUUGCUGAGAAUCCUGAGAUGAUGGGACAUAUAAGCCCUUUUGAAAAUCUCAAAAGUCUUGAUCUAUCAUAUUUGCCGGAGUUGAAGAGCAUUUUCUGGAAGCCAUUGCCUUUCACUCAUCUCAAAGAAAUGGGGGUAAGAGCAUGUGAUCAGCUUAGAAAGCUUCCACUCGAUUCCAACAGUGCAAAAGAGCGUAAAUUUGUAAUUCGUGGAGAAGAAGACUGGUGGAACCGACUUCAAUGGGAGGAUGAAGCCACUCAAAUUGCUUUUCGUUCCUGUUUCCAACCUGAUUCCUGAGCGGUGGUCGCAAAAUUUGAUUUCUGGUGAGUGCGUUUGUCUUUUAAAAGAAGAAUUUAAAAGAAAUUUAUUCUUGACGUUUUCUUCACUGUUUUUAUUUCAGUCUCUCUCUCUCUCUUUUUGUCUUCUGCUAAUCACAAUUAAAUGUUGAAUUAAUGGAAUUAAUGCUUCAUAAAUUUGCCGGCACUGCCAUUACUUUUUUUUUUUUUAAUACAAAUUGAUACUUUAUUUAUAUCUUCUUAGCGAUUUAAUUUCCUGUCAAUUGACGAACGAGAAGAACAUAUGACUUGAACCAAUGCUCGCAUAAACUUGCUGUAAAAAGAUAUAAUCUCACUGAAAUGCACACGCCUAGAAUGAAUAGAAUUAAAACAGGGAAAAUAUUAAGUAUAUUAGCCCUCUUUACCGAAAAUCAAAUGACAAUAAAUUUUUUGAAGUUUUGAUUUUCUAUGGUCAAUUCCACCUUUUGCAAUUUCUUCUGUUCUAACAAAAACCAAUUUCUUUGUUCAAGUAUUUUCGUUUGGGUAUUAAUAAUUCUCCACCGAAAGAGUGAACUCUUGCUCAAGGGAUCUCUAAUCAAUAGCCGGAAGGGCGCCGAGACCUGAUCGGACCUAGGCCCAAGUUUGGUCUUAAAGCCUGGGCUUGAGCCUGGCAAUUAAAUUAAAACAGUAAUUGAUUUCUUGAAUGAAUUGUCGUGUAAUUGAUUUAUGGGGGAUGACACAUCAACAUACUUGAAAAUACACUAAUCUCAGCAUCAUCCGUUAAUAACUUUUAGAUUUAUGGGCAAUCAAUAGUUAAAUUAGUUGUCAUUAAUACUAAAUAAUUUUUACUUUUUUUGUCUCUUCUAGAGGAUCUUCUAGAAAAAUGCAUCCACAAUUAAAUUUAAUACUUUACAUAAUAAAGAAAGCAUAAAUGUUAAAUUUAAGAAACUGCAUUGUAUUUCAGCUGAAGUUGACUUUAAUAUUUAGGGUAGAAAAAAAUUAAAUCCUUAAUGUGUUUAAUUUCUAUCACUUGUGUCAUUAAAAUUUUCUAGUCACCCUAACCAAUUACAUCUCAACCCACUUUUUUUUGGAUGAUUUUAUUUUUACACUAUUAUUUUCAACAUUUUUUUUUCCUUUUAACACCAACAUUAGUGUAUGUUACGUAACAUAAUCCAUAUUUGGAUAAUUUGAAAUUUGUUUGUGUUUUAUCUCAAAAUAGAGCUUCAAUCAAUUUGUACCUCAUAAAUUCACAAUAUCUGGCAUAUUGUCAAAUGUGCUUAUCCUUUUGCUUGACAUGUCAUUUUAAAAUUGUCAUUCAAUGUCAAAAAAUCACAUCAACUAAUGGCCGACUACUUUAAUUUGAAAGCAUGCGUGCGAUCGCCAAUAAUUAUAACUUAAUUGUUAUAUUGAAAUUUUUUUCUUUAUAAUUUAAGUUUAAUACUGCUACAUGUGUGGCACAUAAGUUGGAAAAUAUAACAUAAAAUUUGAAAAAUGUGUAGUUUUCGUUCCUUUUUUUUCUAAAAAAAUGGGAAAAAAGAAUGUAAUUUUGUUUAAAUUACUGUUGUCAUAACAAUUAUUAUUUUAUUGAUUAAUUGGCAGAGAAUCGUAAUGGUUUCGCAUGGUUGUUAAAACAUUGGAAAGUCCACUACAUCAUCGGUUAAUAACUUUCAGAUUUAUGGUUAAUUAAUAGCUGAGAUUUAUUAUCAUUAAUGCUAAAUAUUUUUUCUCUCUCCUGGAGGAUCAUCCACAGGCAGGUGCUUCCUGACGAUGACAAAAUUUUGGGCAGGCAGGUGCUUCCUGACUUUCACACGGUAAUUCUCAAAUUCUGAUUUCACCAUAUUUUAAUUACUGAUUAGCAUAUAUUCAAGUGCUCUCCAUUAUAAUGGAAGCCGCCGCCUCACUCGUAAUUCCAAACUUUAUCUUUUUUUCCUUUUUUAAAUUAAUGCAAGUAGCCGCUGUCCUUUCUAUUAAUUAAUUAAUUCGGCCGCCCACAUUUCUUUUCCUAAUGUCUUCUACUGUCGAGUUUAUUUUAUUUUCUCUUUAUUAUUAAAAUAUACUUAUAAUAAUAAAAAAAUAAAAAUUAACAUAUCAAAAUAUAAUUUAACAGAAAAUUAAGAUAAAAAAUUAAAAAUAAAUAAAUUAUGAGCAUAUCAAUCAAUAAAUGAAAAAUAAUAAUUUUUAUUUUUAUUAAAUAUAAAUUUUUCAGUAUUAAUCAAUUAUCUGAAUAAAUAAAAUCAUUUAAAAAUAAAUAAAUAAAUUAUUCUUAAAAAAAAAAAAAAAACUUUUUAUAACACUCACUAUGCUGGUUGUAGGGUUGACGCUUUGGGUACUGAAGCUAGUAACUUCUACAAGUAGUCUUAAGUUGACUGGCAACAACUAUAUUGGCAUUUAGAAAUAAUGUACUGCAACCAUAUUGGCAUGUUCAAAUGUUCUUAUUAUUGUAUUGGUGUGUCAAUAUUAUCUCUAACGGUUUUAUAAAUAAAAAAAUAAUCUAAAUUUAUAAUUUAACAUAAAAUAAAAUAAUUGGUAGAAAAACAAUUAUGGUUCAUUUACUUAUCAGUAAUCAGAAUAGACUGAAAUCGAAAUGAGUUGUAUUACUGUUGAUGUGUUUAUGUUGUACUCGAAUCGAAAUGAAUUAUUUUAAAUUACUAAAAUAUCCUUGGUCUGUUAUUCUAAUUAUUAUUAUUAUUUAAUAUUUAUUAUAAUAUUUUUCAUAUCAUUAAAAAAAAAUAAUAAUGAUGAUAAUAUUCUCAUUAUUGUUUGUUACAUUAUUAUUAUUCAAAAAAAUUAUUGUUAAUAACAAUAAUUACUUUAUUUCAAUAAUAAUAAUGAUAAAAUUAAUAAUAAUAAACAUGACAACAACAAUAAUUAUUUAUUAUGCCAAAAAAUAACAAUAAUAAUAAGAAUAAUAAUCAUCAUCAUUUUUUUGCCAAAGAAGCAUUAUCAUCAUCAUUUCAAAAAAAAAAUCAUCAUCAUCAUCAUCAUUUUUGUAGUGGCUACCUAUCGGCUGCUGCUUUCAUGUGAGAUUGACUUGCGACGCUUCAACGGCUAUUAUUUCUGACAAUGUCAGGUGUUGCUAUUUCAAUUUAGGAAGAAGUUGUUUCGGUGUGCUAGCGAUGGGAGAUGUUGUGGCUGCGAUUCGGGGAGCUACUAGUUUAUUGCACUAAUAACGGCAGGUGCUGUUGCUUGAUGCGAGGUCCAUGGCCAGUUGUCAGCAGUUCGACUUUGGUAUGGGUGCUGCUGGUUCGAUUUUAGGUGUUGUCCAAUUUCAUUUUCAGGAUUUUAAUUUUAUUUUUCUUUUAUAUUUUCAUUAAUUAAUCAGGGUAAAAUUGGAUUUUAGAAUUUAGAAUGAAGGUAAUUUUGUUAAUAAUGGAAAUGAGAUUCUGAUUGUCGAGAAUGAGCUUACACAAACAACUAUAAAUUAAGUGAAAACAAAACACUUUUUCUCUUUGUGUGAUUAAAACAUGAUAUGUACCAUAAAUAAAUAAGUAAAAAAUAAAUCAACACAAUCUAAAACAGUAAACAAAUUACAAGAGGCACAGAUUUUUAUGUGAAACACCGAAAAUGGAAAAAACCACAGCAUCUUAGUUUGAUAUAAUCUUCUACUAUAUUAAUGGGAUUAUAGCACAAAUUCUUUCCUAUAUAACACUAGAGAUUAACAACAUCAAGAAUCUCAAUAAUCUUGACUUACAAUACAGCCUAAUAUUUGUCUCUCUAAUAAGUAGAUAUCUAAAAUAACAGUCUCUAAUAAGUAUGUAUCUAAAAUAAUAGUCAACAAGAGGAUAAAACAAAAAUUAAGAUUAGUAGGAUGUGUAUAAGGUGAUGCUAUCAAUUUAUCUUCUAAAUUUGAGAAAAAUAGUUAAAUUCACUUUUUCGAUUGUCCGACCAAAAAUGGAAACCCUUGCCCCAAAACCAAAGGAAUCACCAUUAUGUUUUUCUCUCUCUCUCUCUCUAUCUCGUUCUUUUCUUCUUCUUUUCUUAAUGUUAGCCAUCACUUGCUUUUAUUCUUUAUAGCAUUCAAAAAGCUACUUUUAAUGGUAAAUUUCAUUUAAGUCUGCAACUUAGUGAUAAUUGCACACCAAACAAUCCUUACAUAGUGUUUUGGGCCCUCAAAUGAGAUGAAUACAACAAAUCUCCCCCUUUAAAUCAUGUGGGGGGCACCGCAAGCCCGCUAUUUGCAUAUAGCUUUUCAGCUUCUCCUUGAAUAAUGACUUUGUCAUCAUACAUAAUCCAUUCUUCGUUGUGUAAAUCUUCUCAAGCUGUAACUGUUCCUUCUCAAGCUGUAAUUAUUCCUUCUCAAGCACGUCUCGUAUCUAAUGAUACCUUACAUCAAUAUGCUUAGAUUUCGAAUAGUAUAACAGCACUCUGACUAUCGUAGUACAUAACAUAGCUGUCUUGUUUUACACCCAGCUCUUGUAGGAAAUUCUUCGUCCACAAUAUUUUUUUGCAACCUUCAAUAAUUGUAAUAUCAUUUGCUUUAGUGGUAGAAAAGGCAACUUAUUACUAAAGUUUAGAUUGCGAUGAGACUGUUCCCCCUGCAAAAGUGAGCAAACAUCCUAGUAGGAAUUUUUCGGAAUCAACAGCUCCUGCCAUAUCUACACACUUGUAACACAGGUUUGUCACCACCAAAAUAUAAACAUGCUCUGGAAAUGCAUCUAAGAUAUCUGAGAAUUUUUCACUGUUGUCCAGUGCUCUUUACCGAGGUUGAAGAGAAACCACUGACUACACUAACUGUAUAGGCAAUAUUUGGUCUUGUACAAAUUAUGGCGUACAAUAAACUGCCAACUGCUGAAGCAUAAGGAACUCCUCUCAUGGAGAAAUGGGUUUUACUCUUGAGAUUUUUGGGACCAUGAAGAAUAAAGAUGUAAUUUCUUAUACUGCCAUUGUUUCGGGAUAUAUAAAUAGAGAACAAGUCGAUAUAGCUCGACAGUGUUUUGAUCAGAUGCCAGAACGAGAUUAUGUCUUAUGGACUACCAUGAUUGAUGGGUACCUUCGAGUGAAUAGGUUCAGAGAGGCUUUGACACUUUUUCAGGAGAUACAAACUUCAAAUAUAAUGGGAGACGAGUUUACCAUUGUUAGCAUUCUUACAGCUCGUGCGAAUCUGGGGGCACUAGAACUGGGAGAAUGGAUAAAGACUUAUAUUGACAAAAACAAAGUCAAGAAUGAUAUAUUUGCGGGGAAUGCUUUGAUAGACAUGUACUGUAAAUGUACUGUAAAUGCGGAGAUGUUGAGAAAGCUCAAAAGGUAUUCAGGAAGAUGCUUUGAAAGGUCAAAUUCACAUGGACGACCAUGAUUGUUGGCCUUGCCAUCAGUGGAAAUGGUGAUAAAGCUCUUGAUAUGUUUUCCCAAAUGCUCAGGGCUUCGAUCAAACCAGAUGAGGUAGCUUAUGUUGGUGUUCUGUCUGCCCGUACUCACAAUGGUAACGAAACUUUUGUGAUAAAUAGUUGCAACUUAAGGUGAGAACUGGAGGAAGGGAAAUAGAUUGAAGUUGUUCAAUCAUCAGUAGUUGCUACUUGGUUUUAAGUUGUUCAAUCAUCGGUCGUCUCUAUUUGGUUUUCUCCAAUAUCUCAUCUUCAAUUUUGACUCAGAUUGUAUCUUACCACUAGUAAUUACAUAGACUUGCUGCCAAAGGUAAGAAUGGGAAUAAAUUAAAUAGAUUAUGUCGAAAACGAAAUAAAUUUACUAUUGUUCUGUUCAUUCUAUUUGUUUCCUACAAAAUAUUUCUCCUGCCUAAAAUUUUUUGAAUCAGUAAGUUUUUACCUUAUGGAUGAAUUGUGUUGAGAGUAAUUCCAUUUCUCAGUCUCUUUAUGUUUCAAUGAAGACGUAAAACUUGUGUUCUAGUGCACCAACGUUUAUGCUUCUUACAAUUUGACUUUAAUUUACUUUGUAAAAUUUUUGUCAAAAAGUACUAAAAAGUAGUGCACCAAACACCAACUUUAUUACAGAGAGGACUUUAGUUAAAUUUUAAGAAAACACUCAAAAGAAAGAGUUGUAAAUUAUUAUAAAAAUAUUUCACAUAAAUAAAAGCCAUCCCAUGCUGCAAAGAUCUUGCUAUAAUCACCAAAAACUAUCGGGAGCUUUUAGGGUUUCCAUAAAAAUGCCAUUUCGUUCCAUGUAUAUGAUUCUAUAGUCUCACUGGCAAGUAAACCACAGCCCAACAGCACUGACUGUCCAUGAUGAUUCACCCCAAUGAACGAAACCAGCGUUGCAUCAUAUCUUUCUGUCAAGCAUGUAAUAUCAAUUGAUUUGAGCUAUUAACAUCAUUUCCAAAUACUCCAUUGGCAUCUACAUUACCAUUUCCCUCGGCAUCAAUGAUAAGAGUUCGAAACAGUCUAAUCUUUUGAACUUCUUCAGCACCAUCUAAGAGCAAUGUUCUUUUGGUUCCAAUACCCAUGUGCUUAUGAUAUUUGUAAAAUAAUUAUUUGUAAAAUAAUUAGUUCAAUUUUGACAUAAUACGGAAUAAACACAACCUGCCAAUCUAAGUUACUAUCUUUUCCCGUCAUCAGGUACCUGUUUGAAAAAUAAUUAUAUACAAUUUUAUUUGCGUCGUCCCUCUAAAAAUUUGGGACUCAAAUGUUAUUUCUAAUUGCUAAAAGUACGAAAUUGCCCCCUUUCUCUUCAGCUAAAGGAGUGCAAAGUCAUCUGUAUAAUUGAAUCUGCAUCAUCAGUUUCUAUUGCUGGCUGGUGUUACUGCAUGCUUACAGUUGCUUGACAAAGUGAGCCAGUUUUUUGUUUAUUAAUUUUUUUUCUUGUCGAGACAGUCACAAAGUAUUACUUGUUCUAUUUGAGAAUGAUGUGAAUCAAUUUUUCAAUUAUGCAUUCUGUGGUAAUUAUUGUGAAUUUAGUUUCAUUUGUCUUGUCUCCUGCAAAUUUUGAAGAAAAUGCAGACAUACAAAUUUACAAUAUGUAUUUGCGUUAGUAUAAAAACAAUUGUUAGAUGAUUAAAGCGAUUUAUUUUUUUUUUUACAGCAUUUGAUUGUAUUAGUUAAAAUCAUUUUUUAAGGAUAAAAAUAAAUAGAAAAUUAUUCUCAUGUAGUGUGGAAAUCUUUUCUAAUUUCUUGUUGACUUGUACAUUUAUUUCAGAAUUUCCAUUCAUUAAUUCUACUGUUUUAAUCUUUGACUUAGCUACCGUAGUUGACUUUUUAUAUCAAAGGCUUAAACAGCAUGCAUUUUUGAAUUGACUGAGAAUAAUUUGGUGGACAAAUUACUAGUAAAGGACUUCAAAUGGUUGAAUUGACUGUGGGUUUUUCAUGCCCAAGUCACUCGUCACGUCGUUUCAUCGAAACAAAGUGCCCGGUGCAAAUGGUGUGAUGUAAAACACCUUUUUAAAUUGUCAUUUUUUUUCCUUUGCUUUUGCUUUAAUUUUCUAAAUGCUCAACGCCAUAAAUCCAUGUAUUCUUAAUUUUCGUUUGCUGUAUUGAUUCCCAACCCUCUAUGUCACAAGGUUUUGAAUGCCAGUAAUUAAGUUAAAUUAAACAUAUUUUAAGUCCUACUUUAAAUUAUUGAAAAAUGUAUUAUGGUUGAACUGAAUUUUAACUAAAAAAUAUAUACAAAAUAAAAGAUUAAUCAUAUCUUUUUAUGAGGAAGGUCAGUCAUCAUUCUGACCACAGACACUUAAAAUUAAUUGAGUGGAAUAUUGCAAAAUAUAUAUAAACCAUGCCAAAACUAGAUGUUUGAGUAAUGAAAACGAGAAUUCAUAUGACUCAGAAAUAUGGUCGCUUUCCUUUUUCUGAAAGGCAAAAAAAAAGGGGGAACCAAAAAGGACCAAAAUGAACAAAAAUGGAAGGCGAAGGUAAGCAGACAUGUUAUAUGUUUUACCUAAGAUGCCAAAUGCAACUCCCCAUUGAUGGUGAUCGAACAUUAUGGCCAUUUUCUUAGUAAACAAAAAAUGAAUUUUGAACACUCAACAACGAAACUUGAGCAGAAGAUCAAGCAAGGGCCUCGAUCUCAAAGAAGAUACUAUGAAACCCUACUUAAUGGUUAAAUAACUUUCAUUCAGCUUUGGACCCUAUUUCGUGAUACGGAAAGACAAACCUUUCUUGGCCGGCAGUGUCCCAGAUCUGGGCUUUGAUGAUCUAGAGGUUGAUGGUGACAGUUCUGGUUUGGAACUCGACGCCAAUGGUUUAUUUCGAUUCAAAGCAAAACUCAUUCUUGGUGAAUCUCGAAAGAAUCUGAGACUUGCCCACGGCCGAGUCACCGAUCACCACUACCUUGAAUACAUAGUCUAUUUUGUCAGGAAUCAUAUUCUCUCGUUGUUGAUGACGAUGAUCGGUGCCAUCACCACUCAUUUCUUCGUUCAUUCAUUCUAUGUCCAUUGAUCUUUUUGAAUUAUUGAAGACAAGUGGCUCACCGCUUUUAGUAUUGGUAAAAUUCAGAUAAUCUCUAUUCCGAAAUAAUAAUAUUAAAAAUAUCUCUUAAAUCAUUAUAAACUUCAAAUCUAUUUUAAUUUUAUUUAAAAGAUAAAAGAAAAAUAAGUUAUGUUGGUGAUUUUUUAUUAUCUUUUUAAUAAAAAUAGAAUAAAUUGAUGUUUAUAAUUAUUUAAAGUAUUUUAAAGAUUGCUAUUUUAUGAGAGAAUAAUAUUUCAUUUUUUUUUUCGUGUGAAAGACCGAAAAAGGACAAAGCAAGUUUCCCUAAUUUUUAUUUUAUGUGAAAUUGGUCAUCUCAUAUACUUUACCCUUCAACACUCUAAUUUUUUUGGUUAUAAUUUUAUUAUUUUUUCUCUUUUACACAUGCAUGUGAAUUACUUUUCUUUAAGCUCCUGAAUAUUUAAGACAAAUCAUGGAAGAGAUGAGAGUAUAACAAGAUGAUCAAAAUAUGUAACAAAAAAAUUUUAGAAGUGAAAAAUAUGUUAGAGUCGAAGUAAAACUCUGAGGUGAUGUUUGAUUUGAAGAAAAUGGAGGAGAGAAAAAGAGUGGAAUGGAGAGGAAAAGAGAGAAAAGGAGAGGAGAGGAGAGGAGAGUGAACUUUUUUUCUAAUGUUUGGUUUGUCACAUAAAUAUACAAAGAAAGGAAAUCUCCAAUUUUUUAUUUAGACAAUUUUAACCUUAAUAAGUAUUAAGCUUUCAAUAUUUAUCAUGUGUAUAAUUUAAAAAAAGUAAAUGGUAGAAAGCGGUUUCUGAUUCCGGCCACAUCGCCGGCAAUGGAAGGUACUUAUCAGAACAUCAAGAACCGGCCAUCAUUCCCUAGCCAUCACUGCUGUAGGAACACUGCUAAAAAGCUGCCGAUUGAACCGCGAAAAGUCGUGGAAAUCGUUGCCUCAAAUCGGUGAGUUUCGCCUUUUUCUGGUCAUGCCGUCGCCUUGGCUUUGUCCAUCAACGCUGCCACUUCCAUUUCAACCAUCCAUAGCCACUAUUAACCGCCAAAUCGCCGCCGAUCAGCGGGAUCUGUGGAAGUUAAAAAGUUUCUAAAAUUUUUUAAUUGGAUUUGAACAACAUACAACCAUUUUUUGAUCUCAAUAACGACAUAGUAAUGUUGAUCGUUGGUCGGCAAGUCGAAUGGUAGUGGCGGUGAGUAACACGCGCCAAUGACAUCGGCGGCGGCGGCGGCACUAUCCGGCUACUGUUAAAAUUAAUAUUUUAUAUUUGUAGAUUAAAUAAAUUUAUUUUAUUAAACUUUUUAAAUCAUUAUUUAAAUUUAAUUAAUUUAAAAUUAUCUAUGAUGUUGAAUUGAUAAAAUAAAUUUAUAAAUAAUAAUUAUGUGAUUACAUUAAAUAAGUUAAAAAGUUGAAGGGUUAUUUUUGGAAGAUUUAGUUUCCAACACAAAGGGAAUUUGAAUUCUUCACUUCUUAGUGUGGAAUUCAAAUUCUAUAUUGUAAUGGAUAUUAAAUUCCAAUAGAAAUUAAAUUCUUAUAAGUUAUGUCAAACCAAACAACGGAAAUAAAAAAAAAGAAUUUAAAUUACUUUCCUUUCCUCCACCCUCUCCUUCCAACCAAAUACAUCCUGAAAAUAGAGAUAUUGAUUAAUUUAGAAGAGAUGCAAGCAAAAGAUAUUCCACAAAAAAAAAAAAGCAAUAUGUCCCUUUGGAGGGCAAACUUGUCAGUUUUAAAAAAGUACAUGCUUUGGAUUGAUAGUUGUAGGAUAUUUGUUUUGUCACUAUGUGUUAGUUGGAGAAGUCAAGCCUUGUGAAGAAUGUUAUGAAAGAGCAAAGGAUAUUCCUGAUAGCUGAUAGAGCUCUAUUUGAUUAUGUAUCCAAUGAAUGGAUGUGUUGUUGGAAGAUAUUUGAGUGCAUUAGUUCAUAUGUGUCUAUCAAUGUGAUUUUAAUGAUUUUUCCACUUGUUUGUUGUAAAAGAUUAUUGUAAAUUGAAAUGAACUUGAUGUUGUAAUAUUUUCUCCUUAGUAGAAUUUCACCUAGUAUGUAUUUAGUUGUGUUGUCUAUAAUUUUGCAUUCGAAUAAGUUUCACCUAAAAUAUUAGCAUGAGUAGUGGCCCUUGAAACUUUGGUCAAAAUUAUUGUUAUUAUUUCCGACUAGAUGUAAAUUUUUUAUUAAAUCUCGCUAACACAAUUCUUAAUUAAAAGUAUAGGUUAGUGUUGGUGCAAGACUUGCCACACCAAAUUCUGCCUAACUGUCAAAAGUGCAAAAUAAAUGAAGAGAAAGCACAAAUACACGACUUGAAUAAGGAUACAACGAAACUUAAAUUCAAGAGAAAAUGAUAGCUAUAUCUCAAGAUUUGAAAAAACGGUCAUGUAGAUUUUUAAGAUUUCAAUAAGCGACUGAGAUUCAAAUAAUAUCCUUUAAUUCUAUUAACAAAAAACAAAGACUCAAAUAUUUUAUGAUAAAUAAAAAUAUAAUAUUAAAAUAUAUGUGAUAAUAUACACAUUUUAAAUACUUUCAAUCCAAAAAAAUAGUUAUGUUUUACAAUCUAUUAGACAUAUUUUAUUAAAUUAAUAUAAAUUUUCUAUAAAAUAAGAAUAUAAUAUUAAAAUAAAUUCACAAAAAUUUAAAGAAUUUUGAAUGUAAAAUAAUUUUAAUAUAUCAAUACGUGAGUUUUUUUAUUAAUAUAAAAUUUAUUUAACUUUAAGAUUUUUUAAAAUCUUUACAAUAAGUAUAACUAUAUUAUUUACAUUUAAAAAUAUUUAAAUAUUAUUAACCUACAAUUAUAUUUGCAUUUGUUAGAAAUUUUUUAAGUCAAAUAUUUUGCACUUCUAUAUUAUUAGAAUUAUUGCACAAAAAGAAAGAAACAUACACCUUUAGAAAUUGUUUUCUUUUAAAAUAGAGAUGAUGAUUAGUAUAAGGAUGAAAAAAAGGAUAAAGAAUAUUAAUGAUUAACGAAAUCUCUAUACAAAUUGAUUUUAGUAGGAAAAGAGUGAGAUGAAUGAUUUCUUUUACAGUUAGAAACAUAGAUGAUGAUUAUUAUAACGAAGAAAAAAAGAUAAAGAAUAUUAAUUAUUAAUGGAAUCUCUAUACAAAUUGAUUUUAGUAGGAAAAAAAUGAUUAAAUGAUUUAGAGUGCGUUUGGAAUUGAGAUUGGGCAGCCAUAGAUUUUAAGUUACAACACUGAAGUGUUUAGUAAAUACUAGUUGCUGCAGAUUGAAAGUUAUGUUGAUAUGAUUUUUCACAUGUAUCAUAGAAAAUAUAUUACAUCUUUAAUAUUUUUUAAAAAUUUAUAUUUGCUAUAUAUUAUUAAUUUUUUUUUAUAGUUAUAACUUUUUUUCCACAACAGUUGUAGCUUAAAAGUCACAGCACCUCAAUCUCAAACAAAUCCUUAGACAUUCAUAGUGUGUUUAUUUUUUGGAUUGGUGAAUCAAAAUUAUUGACAACGCUAACUUCAUCUUCACUGUUCGCAAUCCAACAGCAGCAAUUGUCGCCAAUAAUGAUAUCUCCAAUGAUGAUGACAAUUAUUAUUAUUAUUUUUAUUAUUAUUAUUAUUAUUAUUAUUAUUAUUAUUAAUUAAUUAAUUAAUUAAUUAAUUAAUUAAUUAAUAUAUUAAUGUUGAUAUUAUUAUUAUUAAGAUUAACAAUAAUUAUUAGUAAUACAAUUUUUUGAAUAAAAAUAAUCACAAUAAUUAAAAUACAAAUUAAUAAUUAUGACAAUAAUUAAUUAAUGUCUUUUUAGUAAUUUGUAAUAAUCUAACUCAUUUUGGUUCUGAUUAUUACAGCUUAAGUAAACAAAUUAUUAUGAUUCCUAUUCUCCUUUCCCAUUUUAACUCACUUUGAUUCCAGUCUAUUCCGAUUUCUAUUUAAUAAAUGCACCAUUAGUGCUAAAGUAAUAUUUCAUACAUAGAAAAAUAAAAACUACGCCUAAGGUUAAGGGAAAAGACUUCAAAAUUCUCUUUUGAUCAUAAUACAUUUUGUCCUAAUUAACUUAAAGAUUUUGAAUCUAAUAUUUUAUAAUAAAUAAAAAUAUAUUCCUAAAAUAAAUAUAAUAUCAAUAUUUAAAAUAUGUUUUAAUAUUUUACAAUCUAUCAUACACAUUUUAUUAUAUUAAAGUAGAUUUAUAAUAAAUAUAUAAAAAUUUAGAAUAUUUAGAAUAUUAUAUAAAAUAAUUUUAAUAUAAUGCGUGAUAUAUAUUUUAUUAAUUUAAAAUGUCAUUUUACCUAAAAAAUAUGAUAAAUUAAUAAUUACAUAUUUGAAGUUAUUUCAAAUAUUAAAAAAAUUUAAUAUUAUUAAUCUUUUAGAUAGAUUAAAUUAUUUUUUAUAAGAGAGAUUAAAUUAUUUUAAAAUGCCUUAAUUGUUUUUACUUUUAACGUUACGGGCCUUUCUUUUAUUUUAUUGCAAAUUAAUGCUAACUAGAAAAACAAAAACAAAAGUGACAAACACAACCAGCUGGAAUCUUUUAUAAAACUACAAAUUAAAAUGGAUUUUUUUUUUUUGUUGAUAAAUUACACAUGAAAGUGGAUUCUUUUGAAUAUAAGUGGGGUAGGCUCUUUUAUUUUUUUUUUAAUACCGUAUAACAGGACUGUAGACUCUUUUAUUAAGCACAAAUAUAGAGUUGUCGAGACAAUUAGGGUCUUUUAUUAAACUACAAAUUGUAUAGUCUUUUUUAAAUUGUUCAGAUAUUUAUAAAUUGGUGGCCCCUACAAUCCUCAAUAAUUGUACCGAUAUUCACAAGCUGGUGGCCCCUACAAUCCUUAAUAAUUGUUUUUUUUUUUUUCUGCAUUCCCUUUCAUGCUCUUAAUAAUUAAAGAGCAUACUUUUCAAAUGUGGAGCCGCGGCUAAUGUCGCUAAUUUAAUUUGGGAUUAAAUUAGGGGACUAUUAUAUUGCAGUGUGCACUAAUUUUUAUGUUUAUCUAAACUCCUUAAAUUUAAGAUAUAUUAUGGCAUAAAUAAGAAUAUAACAAUAGCAAAAGAGUUAGAAAGUGUAGAGAAGAUCUUGCAGAAAUAUAAAUAAUAUUUAUUUUAAAAUAAUAUCAAUAUUUAAAAUAAUUUUUAUUAUUUUAUGAUCCAUUAGAUAUAUUUUAUUAUAUUAAAGUAAAUUUUAUAAUAAAUAAAAACAUACUAUUAAAAUGAAUAUAUAGAAAAUUUAGAGUAUUUUAAGUAUUAUAUAAAAUAAUUUUAAUAAAAUAUGUGAGAUAUUCAUAUUUUAUUAAUUUAAAAUACCAUUUAACCUAAAGAUUUAUUUAUGAUAAAUUAAUAAUUAUAUUUUUGAAAUUACUUCAAAUAUUAAAAAAAUUAAUAUUACUAAUCUAUUAGAUAGAUUAAAUUAUAUAUAUUAUUUUCUAUUUAUUAAAAAAUUUCAAAUUAUUUUUAAUUACUAUUCAAAAAAUAUGAUGAUAAAAAAAUCUUAACAUCUUUAUUAAAAAAUUAAAAACUUACAUGAUCAAUUCUCUAAAUAUUUAGGGUAUAUGUGAACCACGGUGGACAGAGGUCAUUACUAAAAUUUCUCUUCCACAGGCAAUUACAGCAGCUCCAGUUUAUCAAACUCAACCAAUUUUCUUUCUUAACAAAAUUCCAAAGAUGUGUAGCUUUUUUCAGAUCACAUGCGAUGGUGCUUUUUUCAAUCGUUGCUUGGAUUGCUUUCUUGGAAAAGCAGCAUACAUACGUAACCUCCAAGAUAAUCUUGAUGCCUUGGACACUGAACUGGGAAGACUAAUCGCAGCAAAGAACGAUGUGAUGAUUAGGGUUGUCAAUGCUGAACGGCAAUAAAUGAGAAGGCUGGACGGAGUGCAAGUGUGGGUUUCGAGUGUGGAUGCUGUUAAAACUGGAGCCGAUGAACUUAUCACAGACGGCUCUGAAGAAAUUGGCAAAUUAUGUGUUGGAGGCUACUGUUCCAAGAACUGCAGGUCAAGCUACAAAUUCGGAAAACAAGUGGCUAGAAAGCUACGAGAUGUGGAGACUUUAAUCGCCGAAGGAGUUUUUGAGGCGGUGGCUACUGAGGUGGUGCCUGAGAGAGCUCCAGAGCCUGUAGCAGAUGAAAGACCUACCGAGCGAAAAGUAGUAGGCUUGCAAUCACAACUUGAACAAGUCUGGACGUGUCUUGUGGAAGAAUCAGCGGGAAUCAUUGGCCUAUACGGUAUGGGCGGUGUUGGUAAAACCACACUAUUGACCCAUAUCAACAAUAAAUUUCUCGAGAGUCCAACCAACUUUGAUUGUGUGAUUUGGGUAGUAGUUUCAAAAGACCUGCGACUUGAAAAACUUCAAGAAGAUAUUGGGAAAAAGAUAGGUUUGGUUGGUGAUUCAUGGAAGAGUAGAAGUGCAGAGGAGAAAGCUCUCGACAUCUUCCGGAGUCUAAGAGGGAAGAGAAUUGUAUUGUUGUUAGAUGAUAUAUGGGAGCGGGUUGAUUUAACAAAAGUGGGCGUUCCACUUCCUGGACCACAAAAUACUACCUCAAAAGUCGUAUUCACAACNNNNNNNNNNNNNNNNNNNNNNNNNNNNNNNNNNNNNNNNNNNNNNNNNNNNNNNNNNNNNNNNNNNNNNNNNNNNNNNNNNNNNNNNNNNNNNNNNNNNNNNNNNNNNNNNNNNNNNNNNNNNNNNNNNNNNNNNNNNNNNNNNNNNNNNNNNNNNNNNNNNNNNNNNNNNNNNNNNNNNNNNNNNNNNNNNNNNNNNNNNNNNNNNNNNNNNNNNNNNNNNNNNNNNNNNNNNNNNNNNNNNNNNNNNNNNNNNNNNNNNNNNNNNNNNNNNNNNNNNNNNNNNNNNNNNNNNNNNNNNNNNNNNNNNNNNNNNNNNNNNNNNNNNNNNNNNNNNNNNNNNNNNNNNNNNNNNNNNNNNNNNNNNNNNNNNNNNNNNNNNNNNNNNNNNNNNNNNNNNNNNNNNNNNNNNNNNNNNNNNNNNNNNNNNNNNNNNNNNNNNNNNNNNNNNNNNNNNNNNNNNNCAGGAAGUCCUAGUGCGUGCUAUCAGAAAAGAUGCUGGGAACUGUUUCGCGAAAAUGUUGGGGAAGAAACUCUUGAGAGUGAUCAUGAGAUCGUUGAGCUAGCCCAAACUGUGGCCAAAGAGUGUGGUGGUUUGCCACUCGCACUUAUUACUAUUGGUCGAGCUAUGGCCUACAGAAAGAAAGCGGAGCAGUGGAGACGUGCAAUUGAAGAGUUAAGAAGAUCAGCUUCAGAGUUUGCAGGUUUGGGAAAAGAGGUGUAUCCUCUUUUAAAGUUUAGCUAUGAUAGUUUGCAGAAUGAUACAAUUAGAUCUUGUUUCUUGUAUUGUUGUUUAUAUUCUGAAGAUUAUGGCAUUCUUAAAUGGGACUUGAUUGAUUGUUGGAUUGGUGAGGGAUUUUUGGGGGAAUCUGACAGGUUUGGUGCAGAAAACCAAGGAUAUGACAUUUUGGACACUCUUGUUCGUGCAUGUUUAUUAGAAGAGGUGGAAGAAGAUGAAGUAAAAAUGCAUGACGUUAUUCGUGAUAUGGCUAUAUGGAUAACCAGUGAAAUUGAGAAGGAGAAGAGAAACUUUUUGGUUUGUGCAGGUGCUGGAUUAGAAGAGGCACCGGAUGUUAAAGAAUGGGAAAAUGUGAGAAGAUUGUCAUUGAUGCAAAACCAAAUUGAAACUCUGUUUGGGGUUCCCACAUGCCCUCAUCUCAUCACUUUAUUUAUUGACUUUAAUAGGGAGUUGAAGACUAUCGCGGAUGGCUUCUUCCGAUGUGUGCCUUCUCUCAAAGUUUUGAAGAUGUCAAACUGUGGAAAGCCUUAGAAAGGUUUGGAAUUACCUUUGGGGAUGUCAAAGUUGGGUUCACUACAACUUCUUGAUAUUUCACACACCUGCAUACAAGAAUUACCACAAGAAUUAAAGUUGUUGGUAAAUCUGAAAUGUUUGAAUUUGAGGCGGACAAUUUGGUUAAAUAAAAUUUCAUGGCAACUAAUAUCAAAAUUUUCAAGGUUACGUGUGUUGAGAAUGUUCGCUACUGGCUGGUUCAGUUUUCAUGAAGCACCAGAAGACAGCGUUUUAUUUGGUGGGGGUGAAGUUUUGAUACAGGAAUUGCUCGGUUUGAAAUAUUUAGAGGUAUUGGAGUUGACCUUGGGAAGUUAUCAUGCUCUCCAAAUUCUUUUGAGCUCAAAUAAGUUAAAAAGUUGUAUUCGAUCUCUUUUCCUACAGUUGUUCAGAGAUACAACGUCGAUUAUUGAUGCUACGGCUUUCGCAGAUCUAAACCACCUCAAUCAAUUAUGUAUUAGUAACGGUUCUGAGUUGGAAGAAUUGAAGAUUGAUUAUACGGAGAUAGUACGAAAAAGGCGGGAACCUUUUGUUUUCCGCAGCCUUCAACGUGUUACCAUAGAGGAGUGCCAUAAAUUGAAAGAUUUGACAUUCCUCGUUUUUGCUCCAAACCUCAAGUCUCUUUCGCUAUACGAUUGCGGUGCUAUGGAAGAAAUAAUCAGCGUCGGAAAAUUUGCUGAGACUCCUGAGAUGAUGGGACAUAUAAGCCCUUUUGAAAAUCUCCAAAUGCUUUAUUUAAUGGCAUUGCCGGAGUUGAAGAGCGUCUACUGGAAGCCAUUGCCUUUCACUCAUCUGAAAGAAAUGGAGGUACUUGGGUGUGAUCAGCUUAAAAAGCUUCCACUCGAUUCCAACAGUGCAAAAGAGCGUAAAUUUGUAAUUCUUGGAGACACACAGUGGUGGAACCGUCUUCAAUGGGAGGAUGAAGCCACUCAAAUUGCUUUUCGUUCCUAUUUCCAAACCUGAUUCCUGAGCGGUGGUCGCAAAAUUUGAUUUCUGGUGAGUGCGUUUGUCUUUUAAAAGAAGAAUUUAAAAGAAAUUUAUUCUUGUCGUUUUCUUCUCUGUUUUUAUUUCAGUUUGUUUCUCUCUCUCUCUUUUUGUCUUCUGCAAAUCACAAUUAAAUGUUGAAUUAAUGGAAUUAAUGCUUCAUAAAUUUGCCGGCACUGCCAGUACUUUUUUUUUUUUUUAAUACGAAUUGAUGCUUUAUUUAUUUCUUCUUAGCGAUUUAAUUUCCUGUCAAAAGACGAGCGAGAAGAACAUAUGACUUAAACCAAUUGAUACUUUAUUUAUGUGCAUUGUAUGUAAUAAAAUUUUCUCUGUUUUUUUCAAAUUGAGGCUUUAUUUAUAUUUUCUUCGUGAAGAGUGAUUUAAUUUCCUGCCAAAAGACAAACGAGAAGAACAUUAGAGUCAAACUAAUGCUCACAUAAAUUUCCCGUAAGAAUAUAUAUAUAAUUAGACUGGAAUGCACACCUCUAGAUUGAACAGAAUUAAAGCUGAGAAAAUAUUGAGUAUAGUAGCCCUCUUUACAGAAAAUGACGCGAAAGUUAAUUUAGAAAGAUAUAUUCUUGAUUAAUCCAUUUUCUGAAGUUUUUUAUUUUGUAUGGUCAAUUAUACCUUCAUACUAAAAAAAAAAAAAAAAAAGAGAAAAUAUGUAAUCCAUGAAUGGUUAAUUUUGUUUGUUUGUUUUUUUUUCUUAAAUAUCAUUCUUUUUCGGCCACCCAAGGACAUUUUCACAAAUACCUUUUGUGUGCAGAAGUCUUCCAAACCAUCAAUGGAAAAAUAAAAAAUAAAAAAAACACGGUCCAGUAUACCUCAAAAUAUCAUUGAUGACUUUUCUGGUCUAAUGCUAUGUAAAUAGUAUGUUAAGUAAAACAUAAUCAGUUCAGUACCUCACAAAUAAUUCGCAAUAUCUACAAAAUACUAUAAUGGCUACAAAACAAAUCCUGCUUGCAAAUUGUCAAGGAUACCUAUCCGUUCGCUUGACAAGUCAUUUGAAUAAAUAUUGUUCACAUUCCUUACUCUGUCAAUUAUCCAAAGCACCAUCAACUUUAGUUUGAAUAGUAUACAUGCCAUCACCGUUACCAAGAAUCAAGCAUGGAAGGGUCAUUCUAUAGAGUGCAGAACAUGACUCUAUGCGGUAGUCAAUUUGACACACGACGAACACCAUAUGCUGCAUAACAUACAAAUUAAUUUCCCAUAUGUGAUGCAAUUUUCUCCUCAACAUAUGCGCAAUUCUUUCCAUUCCGGCAUUUACACUCAAAUUUUCCUUCCUUUCUCUUUGUGGUUGAAUCUUACACCACAACUCAUGUGAUGCAAUCUCCUCUCGCUGCCUAAAUUGCACUCUCAGCAAAGCAGCAUAUGUAAGCAAGCUUGAAGAUAAUCUUGCUGCUCUGCAGAAGAACGGCAAAAGUUAAUCGAAGCAAGGAAUGAUGUAUCAGAAAAUAUUUGGUGGAGAAUUCAGCACAAACAUAUUUCGGAUGAUCAGAAUCAAUAAAACCUGGUGGUUGUGCCAUAUAAACAUCUUUGGAAAGCUGACCUUGAAGAAAGGCGUUAUUGAUAUCCAAUUGAUGAAGAGGCCAGCCAUGACUAACAUCAAUACUAAGAACAAGCCGUACUGUGGUGGACUUAACAACUGGACUGAAAGUGUCAUAAUAGUCCACACCAGGCCAUUGAUUGAACCCUUUGGCAACAAGAUGAGCUUUAAACCUGUCAACAGAACCGUUGGAAUGUCUUUUAAUACAAAAAUCCAUUUGCAGCCAACAAUAUUGGAAGGGAUGGGAGGUGGAACAAGCUUCCAUGUCCCGUUACGAACAAGAGCAUCAUACUCUUCUGACAUAGCUGGACGCCAGUGAAGAUUUUUGAUAGCUUGCGUCACAGUUGUAGGUUCACAAUCAGAAGAAGGGCUAAAAUGAGCACGGAGGUUAAGUUUUUGUAACGGCUUGUGAAUCUUAUUUUUAGCUCGGGUAGUCAUAUCAUGAUGACUUGUGGGGCAAUGAUCUAGUGGAGUUUAGGAAGAUGAUUGAACAGGAAGUGAAGAAGUGCUUUGUGUAGAGGUAGAAGUAGGUUGGGAGGAUUGCUGCGGAGAUGUUACCGGUAGAGAAGAAGGAGCAGUACACGGUGGCAACUCCAGAGGGCCCACAAUAGAUGGAGUAGGUGCCGACAAUGGAGUACUAGGAAAUGAAACAGGAAGAAUUGGUGGAACACUUGCAUAAUUAGGAGUGGUAGAUGAGCUUGUAAUGAUUUGCAUGGAAAAACAAACUCUACAAAUUUAACGUGACGUGAAAUAAAAAUUUGAAAGGUGGAUGGGUCAAAACAUAAAUAAGCACUUUGAGAUAAAGGAAUAUCCUAGAAAAACACAAGGCUUAGAGGGUGGUUCGAGUUUAUGUGAUGAAACACAAACAUUCAAAAAAUUUUAAGUUUAUAUUAAUUAGGAGUGGUACCAAAAAUUAAUUAGCUAUGGGGUUGUUGGAUGUGUUUUGGAUAUUUACAGUUAAGUUUGAGUAUCUCAACUUAAAAUUUGUAGUUUUCACUUGAAAAAAUUCAGUUAAAUUUUGCAAUGCAGACUGAUUGAUUUAUCAGUUUAACGUGUGCCAGGAAUGAAGAACUGGAAUAUCACCGUCAAGCAAGCACCCUGUGGAGCAAUACCAAAGAAUGCACAAUCUGGCUUUGCUAGGUAACACUGGAGGCUUUUUGAAAAGUGCUUCACGCUCACUUGCACAGAUUGAGCAUCCCCUCUGGAUAUUGCCCUCUCUGAUCGAGUCUGAGCACUCAAAUUUUGGUCCUCAGAGGGAGCUACAGUUUUCUCUCCACUAACCAACAAUAUUCUAAACUCAGCACCUAGUGUGAUCAGAGUUGUUGAUAUUUGCAAAUGGAGAUCCCCAUAUUUGCAAAUGGAGACAUUUAACAAAUCACCAACAUGCUUCAUCCGGUCCACGAAAUUCUGCAACUGAUGCAAAUCUGGAACCUGAACCAGAGUCGGAGGUAUAUCUUGAGCCAUAUCUAAAGCAGUUUGAAGUUCAAGACCUUGAGCCCUUGACAAUGGUUUUGAAAUUGGAACAUCUUGGAUUACUGCAGACUUGUACCCCUUGGUUUCAAAGGUAAGGAAAGGCAUUGCUUGAGUACAAUUUGGAGGCAGCUUCUUCACCAAUUUUAUUUGGAGGCGAUUGGCAGCGGAUCCAGCUGCACCAAUUUCAGAGCAACUACUGACACUACUUCGAACAGCACACUGAAGAAGUGAUAUGUCUACGGCGAAGGCAAUGCAGUCCUCAUUUUGGCUUGAGACACAGUAAUCAUCGAAGAGAGUUUCCUUGUGAAACUGGGCAACACAUUGAAUCCCUUCGGCACUGAGAAGGUUGUGGAGGAAGUAAGCUUUCUCUCUAGUAAGGAAGAGGUGGCAUACAUUCCCCAUUUUGUCUAGGGCAGGUAGGAAUCUUUUUUCUAAGAGAUUUACUUCAUUCUCUGUGAGAAAUGCUUUGAACUUCAUCCCUCUGUCUCUAUCCUCACUUAUCAGUAAAAUAGUUGAAAGCGCUACAAGGAGAGAAAAGAAGAGUAUUAAGAUAUAUAUAUUAUAUAGACAAGAAAAACAUUAGAUGUCGAUCUUACAAGCUAAUACUUCAAACAAUAUCCUAGAAAGCUAAAAACUGCAAGAUGGCUUGAAAUUUGAAAAGAGCACGUGCUUUUCCUCCUUAACUUGAGAAAAUGUUUAAUAUAGUGCACCUUACAGAAGCAUUUAAGCAAUUAGAACUUUGCACAAAAACAUCAAGAAGACUAAACAAGUCAGAUGCAGUGUAUUUGUCCAAGCACAAAUUGCAUUUUGUCCUCAACUUUAAUAUUUAUUGAUGAGAAUCAAUACAGGUCCCUCAUUUGUUAUAGAAAGCUUUCUUGUAGUCUCACCAGUUAAUAUGGAUAUUAGAUAAGGAAACUUUAUUAGGUUGCGAGGGUAAAAAAGGAAAGAGAUAUCAUUAUUUUAUUAUCGAUAAUUAUUAAAUUUUUUUCCAAAAAAAAGAACAAGCAAGGAUAUUUUAUUGUCAAUUGCAACCUUUAAUUUUUUUAAAUGCUAUUAGAAACACAAGAUAACAAAAAUGUAGUGAGAUGGGAUCUCCUGCAUGCCACUCUGGUUUAGAACACAAAGAAUGUGUCUGCAUAAAUAUCCUCUGAAAUUGAACAACCCACAAACACAAAGCACCUCCAAGUCGGAGGCAUUGUACAAAACAUCAAAAGCCCUUGAAUCCUUCUCGUUGCCACCAACCUCGAAUUCUUCCUUCACUAUGUAUGUUAUAGGUCCAUCAGAACUAAUAUGUUUUGUGCUAUAGUAAGAGUACAUAGCCUCCACCUCCAUCUGAAACUUCCUUAACAUUUCAUUUGUGUACAGUUUUGAGAGUUGAAAUUCAUAGUAACAUCUUGGUUUCCGGAUACAACUUGAAUUUCUUGAAUCCAUAUCUGCCAAGGCUACCAGUUGAUAAUUCGCCUGCAGUGCUUGAUCAUACUUGUCUAAGAAUUCUUUCAAAGGAGUAUUCUUAUCAAGAUAUCCUUCAAAGUAUGAAGUAGAAACCUCAUUCUGCAGGAACGAAAACACUCCUGAUAAAAAAGCUUCCUUCAAAUAAAUAGGAGCCCACCUUUUAUGAUCUUCAUAUAAAGUUUGAAUCCAUCCGUGAUCCUUUAUUCCAUGACAUUGAAUCAUGUCUUCCCAAGCUGCUUCAAAUUUCUCAGGCCUGAGAGAGUGAUAAAUUGCUCUAUGUAAUGCAGCUUUAAUAGCUUCAUAUUCAAACAAUCCUUGGAGUUUCUCUGGAAUUUUUUUGCAUGAUGCAUGACAAUGAAAAGAAAUGAUAAGCUCUUGGGAAAACAUCACCAACAGCAAUUUGCAAGAUUCUACAUUGGUCAGUGAUGAUUGUUUGUGGAGAGCGCCCUAACAUACAUGUAAGCCACGCCGUAAACAACCAUGUAUAUGAUUCUAUGGUCUCACUGGCAAGUAAACCACAACCCAACAACACUGAUUGUCCAUGAUGAUUCACCCCAAUGAAUGAAACCAGUGGUACAUCAUAUCUUUCAGUCAGGCACGUAGUAUCAAUUAAGACCACAUCACCAAAGUACCUAUAUGCAACUCUUGACCUGGUAUCAGUCCAGAAUAGGUUUUUCAAGCAUCCCUUUUCAUUUAGAUCCACUACAUUAAAAAAGUUUGGAUCUGUCAACUGCAAAUGACAAAAGAAACUCUGGACAGCUUGUGCAUCUCCUGGUUUAAGCUUCAAUUGAUUUGAGCUAUUAACAUUAUUUCCAAAUACUCCAUUAACAUCUACCAUUUCCCUUGGUAUCAAUGAUAAGAGUUCGAAACAGUUUAAUUUUUUGAACUUCUUCAGCACUAUCUAAAUGCAAUGUUCUUUUGGUUCCAAUACCUAUGUGCUUAUGUGACUUGUAAAACUUUCCGCUUCUUGGGCUUAACAAGUGGUUAUGCUCAAGCUCGACUUCAAUGAUUCUCCACCUUUUGGUUUCCAUCAACCUAAACUUUAUCAUUGCUGGACAGCCAGUUCUUGUUUCUGGUCUUGGGCGGUUUGCCUCGCUUUUCUUCUUGAAGCCUGCACUACUACAGCUCAGCUUUCCUCUAUACUUUUCUCUACUCUUUCGGUACCAUGGAUUGCUAACUCUAACACCAAAACCCUGUUCCUUGGCAUAGCAAUUGUAAAAGUAAUAUACAUCAUCAUACAUCUCAAACUCCAUUCCAACAGUAGGAGGCAAGGGAUUUUGGAUUAUCCCAGUUUGUCCAACAUAUUCAGUCAUCGCACAAUCUCCUACAACCUCAAAAUCAUCAGUGUCAUCAUCACCUACUGGUUCGGUGUUGAGAGAAACUUCAUCCAUCUACAAUGGAUGUUCAAUGAAGUGAGCUUUAAGGAGAAAAAGCAAAAUCUGUUCAAGGAAUGAUAAUAUAAUCAUACAGUUACUUUCACAAAGCUUCAUAUUUCAUCACUGCUUUACCAACAUGCAACUGCCAGAGAACAAACAGACAUGUCAUAGACGCUUGAAUUAAGUAUUGGUACAAAUGAGCACACAUCAUGUGGGACAAAAUUUCAGUCACUAAACCCAAUACCACUUUUUACAUCAUACCAAGGAACAGAUUAAACCCGACACCUUCUUUUAAACCAUACCAAGGAACAGAUUAAAUCAUCAAUGAAAAAUUAAUCACAUAAUAACUUAACCAGACAAAUGAAGAGCCUGAAACAGCACAAAACUUGAAUCUGAUUAUGAUAAUUGUUGAGUCCUUGUAUCUACAGCUUUCCUUCAAUGAUAAGACAAUGAACAUAAACGAGACACAAAAAAAUUAUUUUAAACUGACAGCCCAUGAUAUAAAUCAAACAAAAUCAACUCCUUUUUUUACACAUUACAUCUCAUAUUCAUUUACAUUGAAACACAAAAAGGAAGCAGGAGUGGGAAAAAAACAACAGCAGAGGAACUUAUUUCCAUAAGGUUUACGAAAUAAGGAAUCUAUUAAAACCCAAAACUUGAGGUCACCACUAAGAAUUUGGUUCUCAUUAUUUUUUUCUUCAUUUUUCACCAAUUGAUGAACUUAAAAUACAAUCAUAAAUGAUAAAACCCCAUCUCCAUCUUUUUGAACUAGAGCUAAAGCAAAGCAUUUUAAGAUGUUUCAUCAUUUUUUUUUUUAAAAAAAACUCAAUAGUACAAUGUUUUUCAAUGCUAAAUGCACAAUUCAAUCUUCUCCUAAUUUACUCUAAUAAUCUCUUAAUUAAGGAAGAUUAAGCUUCAGUUGUAAGCUAAAACAAAUUUCUUAAAUCAAGCCCCAAUGCUUUAUGCUAUUCAACAAGGGCUCAUAAAUGAUAAAACUACUUCUAUAAAGAUACCCAUUUUCUAAAUUAAUUUCACAAACUGAAAUCAAACUCCUGAAACGUAACGAGCAUUAAUAUAAUCAAGCCCGAACAAGAAUUGAAAAAUGAUACAUAAACUCGUUUACACAUUUCGACAGACACUUUGCAAUCAAUGAGCAAAAAAUUAAUGGAGAAGAUAAAAUUCAAACGAAACAUGCCUUACAUUGAUAAAUUAGAAGGGCAAAAGAAAUUUUAGUACGAUAUGCGAUCAGGGUCUUGCCACGGUGAUGUUAUUUGUGAAGUUCGAGCGACUCAGCAGCCUUCGAGGUUGAAAAUUUGAUUGACCAAAAGCUUCCCGUUCGUUGAUUCUCUAAUAGUAGAAACGAGACUGGCAGUAUACACAAGAAGUUCGCCGAUUUUAAAUUCCGUUGUUUGAGAUGGAAAAUUUUUUGAAAAAAUUAAUGUGUUCGAUGAAAAUCAAAAUCUCAAAAACCUCUUGUUUUUCAUUUUUUUGGAAAAAACCAUUGAGAUCCUUACUAUUUUUUCUUAUAUCAUCUUCCUUAAUAAUUUGCAAAGUCUAUCGCAUAGCACCCAUGUAUGAUGUAUGCUGCGUUGUAAUUUACAAAAUUGCACAUGAAUAAAUCCAGCUAAAAUUUGUUAAAAGAAAAUAAUAAUAACAUGUUAAAACUUUAAAAUUUGAUUAUUCGAAGAAAUUUUAAUUUAGUUAAGUAGGUGACAUGAUAAUAAAUAGAUACGUAUAAUGUCCGAGAUUUUUUAUAAGAUUAAUAAAUAUGAUAAAUUUGGAUUAGUUCAAUUUUGACAUAAUUCAUAAUAAACACAGCUUGCUAAUCUAAAUUGCCACCGUUACUCAUCAUCAGGUACCUGUUUGAAAAAUAAUUACAAACAAUUUUAUUUGUGUUGUUUCUCUAAAAGUUUGAGACACAAAUGUUAUUUCAAAUUGAUAAAAGUACGAAAAUUCCCCCUUGCUCUUCAACUAAAAAUGAAACAUGCAAAUAUACACACUAAUUUAGAUGUGUGAAUAACAAAUAUGGAACGACACAUGCAAAGUCAUCUGUAUAAUUGAAACGCCAUGCACUAGUAGUAGGUAAGAGAAACCAAGGUUGAAGUUGCUCCAAUGGUUACUGUUAAUUUAUUUUUAUUUAUGAUUUUUUUUGUAAAAUGUAAGAAAUAUGUAGAAAUGUUGCCAGCAAUGAUUUUGGAACUUUGCAUAAAAUUUUUAUCAUUAUUGUUUUUGGUAUUAAGAAAUCCGAGGCGGUGAUUAGACGUAUGUUGCAACAAUUAAGAAAUUUCUUAUUGGAGAUAAUUUGGUAGGUUUGCAGCAAUUAGAGAAUAAUUUUCCUGCCAGUUAAUCAAUCAAUAAUAAAUUUCAAAUUGCAGAAAAUAAAAUAAUACAGCCUCACUUAGAAUCAUCUUUUCUAUCUCUUUCAAUUGUGGCAAUCAUUUGCAACAAAUAAAUCAAUUUGAUGCACAUCAUUUCCCCAAUUCAAAGUUCAAGUCACUGCUCAAUUACAGAGUAGUUAGUGGACAUGCAUGCAUGUUUAAUUAAGUACUGCAUUGUAGUAUCGAAAAUCAUAACAUCUCACCAAUAUCAGAUUAUUAACCAUGGAAAUCAUAUCACAAUAUCAUAUAGAAUUCACAAAUCUGAAAAUCAUCACCAAACAAGUACCCAGAGAAAUAAUCUCGUCAUAUCCAGACCUCAACGGACGGGCAAUGACGUACUAUUUGGGUAACGUCACACCCUGGAGCUACACGGAUAAAUAGGAAAAUACCAUCUCAUAUCUCAUCAUAUUUGUGCAUGCAUAAUCUAGUCCCCAAGGGACAAAAGCGCCCAAGCACACGGCCCAAAGCCUCUAUGUGUACUCAGACGGGCCCCAAAGGCCUGUAUCUCAUAUGUAUCAUAUGUAUCAUUUGUAUCUCAAUAUCUGUUUGUAUCUCAUUUCCGUAUAUCUAUAAUCAUCAUACCGCAUGCAUAUGCCCCCAAAAGACAAAAGCGCCCAAACACAUGGCCCAAAGCCUUUAUAUGUGUUUAGACGGGUCCCAAAAGCCUCUUAUCUCAUCUUAUCUGUAUCACUGUAUCUGGAGAGAAGGGUACUGUCUAAUGAUUUAAAAAACAAUCAUUAUACUCAUAUUUACAUACCUCUUAAUCAUAUUUGAAAUCAUAUCACAUUUGAAUCCACUUUUCUAAUCUUUAAAAUAUUAUCAUGCUUUAUUCAAAGUCGAUACGCAAAAUCAAUAACCAAACAUUUUAAAUCAAAUUAUUAACCAUGGAAAUCAUAUCACAAUAUCAUAUAGAAUUCACAAAUCUGAAAAUCAUCACCAAAUAAGUACCCAAAGAAAUAAUCUCGUCAUAUCCGGACCUCAACGGACGGGCAAUGACGUACUAUCUGGGUAACGUCACACCUUGGAGCUACACGGAUAAAUAGAGAAAUACCAUCUCAUAUCUCAUCAUAUCUGUGCAUGCAUAAUCUAGUCCCCAAGGGACAAAAGCGCCCAAGCACACAGCCCAAAGCCUCUAUGUGUACUCAGACGGGCUCCAAAGGCCUGUAUCUCAUAUGUAUCAUAUGUAUCAUUUGUAUCUCAAUAUCUGUCUGUAUCUCAUAUCCGUAUAUCUAUAAUCAUCAUACCGCAUGCAUAUGCCCCCAAAAGACAAAAGCGCCCAAACACAUGGCCCAAAGCCUUUAUAUGUGUUCAGACGGACCCCAAAAGCCUCUCAUCUCAUCUUAUCUGUAUCACUGUAUCUGGAGGGAAGGGUACUGUCUAAUGAUUUAAAAAAUAAUCAUUAUACUCAUAUUUACAUACCUCUUAUCAUAUUUGAAAUCAUAUCACAUUUGAAUCCACUUUUCUAAUCUUUAAAAUAUUAUCAUGCUUUAUUCAAAGUCGAUACGCAAAAUCAAUAACCAAACAUUUUAAUAAAAUACCAAUGCAUAAAUAAAAUUCAUUUCGAGAAAUCAUUAAAUCAGAACAUUUAAAAUACUUAUUUCGCAAACAUGCUUUACUAUCAUCGCUAACUAUGAAAAUAAGUUUUGUAUAUUCCACUUUCAGUGAUGGUGUUCACGGUCGGUUAUCGUCCAUAUCUGCAGACCGAUUCUCGCUCGCGAAUCCUCCUAAAUCAAGGAAACGACAUAAUUAUUUUUUGUAAAUCGGAAUUAUGACUAAAUUUUAUGCAAUAAACUCAAAACGAACAUCUAUUCAUAAUUGACAACUCCUAUAUCCAUAAAAUUACUAAAAUAUCCUUGAGUCCGUAGAUCAUUAACAUGCUCCGAAAUCGUAAAUCACUGAAUUACCCUCGGAAUCGUAAUUACACCCGAUCCUCAAUUAUAGGAAUUACUAACAGAUCCACAGGCUUAGAAAUUACAAAAUUGCCCUCGUAGUGUGAAAUUACCAAAAGCCGGAAGUUGGUCAACAAUGGCUAGGAAGCUCAAAUCGUAAAGUUCCAAUCACGCUGAGUUCAAUGGUACCGGCGGUGAGCUCCAACGCGCGACAACGAUGCCAGAAUCUAGCUCGGCAGCCGUGAAUUCCACCAAUCGACCGGCGGCACAACAGUGACUCUCGGUGCCUAUGGAUGGUCGAAAAUGGAAGAGGGAGCCGUGGGGAACAAAAUCCAACCGGUGGUGUCACCAAAACCGGUGAAAAUCCCGGCGGAGCAAAGUGAAACAGUCGCGGGUUUCAUGCUUCGAUCGCCGGUGUUCCGAUUGGUUUUUGGCGAGGAGGAUGGCAAGGGAACGACAGCCGGCUUCUAAGCUUCAGAUUGGUACCAAGCUCGGCCGAAACGAUGGCCGGAAAUGGGAGAUAUGACCGGGUCAAGGUCGCGGGUUCCGGGUCGGGUUUUUUGGUCUGUAGUUGGGUCGGUUUGGUAGCUUCUCUCUCACUCUCUGUUACACGUGCAUAUGUUUCCUCUGUUUCCAGCUUAUUCUUUUGCUUUUACUAACUUCUUAACCGCCUCAUACUUAUUCAUUUUUAAUUCACAUAUGUUACAAUAAUUCCCGAGUAUUAAAUAACCAGUGGUCAUAAUUUUUGUACAAGAUUCUUUUUUUUUUUUGGAGAUCGUUAAAAGUGGUUGACGAUCCAUUUCGUAAUAUCAUAGAGGGAUCAUCAAUUCCUUUUCUUUUCUGUGGCUAGGCAACACUUUUUGGCCAAAGUAAGGAAAUCUAUUUUAGGUAAUGUAAAAACCAGUUGUAGGAUGUAAUAGUUUAUUAUGCACUGACAAUAACUUUUUGUAUAAUUGUCAGUUUAAUGAAUGCAAGAGGAACUCUGUUGGCAAAUUCAUCCAAGAUAGAUGCUAAAAUUAUUUAUGCAUGCCAGUUGCCUUAACUAAGUUUUCUCAGCACUGGUUUUGAACAGGAAAAUGAAUAUGCAAUUUGUAUAUUGUGCCAUAGUGGAGAAUUUGGAUAUUCUUAUUUAAGUAACAAGGAGAUUAUUUGCCUCAUCUUUAAACAAUGAAUCUUUGAGAGAUGAGGAGUGGGUGAUUGGAUGUGUCUUCAUGUAAUUGUUCAUUUAUUUGUAUUUUGAACUGUUAUGAAAAUCUUUAUAUGCCAAAUUAGUAAUACAAGUAUUCAGAUGAUUUUUCCUAUUGAUCAUGCAUUUGUAUCUGCCCACAACCAUUGUAUAUCACUUUAUUCUGAUGCGCAAGCAUCUGUAAUUUAGAAGAAAAGAAAUAAUAAUCAUAUUUUAUUGCUUGGUUCAUGAUUAUUAACGAUUAUGGCUUUAAAAAUCUACAAAUUUCUUGUGUUCAUGUAUGAAUGUGCCAAGUUUGCUGUAUCUUAGAUUACCUUCUUCCAAGGUAACAAGUUCAUAUAUAUAUAUUUUUUAAAUCAUUUUCCAUUACAGUUGAAUUUCAAGUGUUAGUUUUGUUAUUAGUACCUGGUUUCCUGUUAUAAGGAUCUAAUAAACAGUGUACGGAUAUGUGCUCUACUUUUGGAGGGCUUCCACGUGAAAGAAAAUUACAACAAUUGAAUUCUUCCGGAGGAUAUGGUAAUUAAUUUAUUUUCUCAACUUCUUGUAAGACUAAUAUAUUUCCUUCAGUAGGCACAGCAUGGUGGGAAGGGUUUUUAUUGAAAGAAUUCUGAUAUUUCUUAGACUUUGUUUUGGAAGGGGGUGGAGGAAUUUCUCAUCCAUAUAUGGUUACUUGAUUAGCUUUUGACUGUAUUGUCUCUGUCGUGCAAAGGAAAAUCUAAAUACUAACGAUGGGGAAUUGCUUAGGCACCCAAAAGGCAGAAAUGAAUUACAGAAGGAAGUUUUUGCUGCUUUAUUUAGUGCUGCUGAGAAAUCUGAUGAAUUUCCUGAAAUUACGGUGAAGACCGAGUGGAGGUCCAAAGCAUUAGGAAAGGUGGUGAGUGAACUGCCGGAGGAAUUUGUACCAAAAUACAAGGCUAAUGUGGUGCACUUGCAGCAAGAUAACCAGACCGGUAUGUGCUCUUAUAUUAACUAUAUUGACUGGAUUUGUGAGUGUGUGCAUUUUUUUGUGUAUACUCACUUUUGUAUUUAUGCAUAUUAACAUGUGUAGGAUUCUUGAUUUCUGCCACUUACUGGAGAACUAGUGGAAAGCUUUAUAUUGAUAUAUCUGCAAUAACUAAUGGAAACUAUGAUAUGAAUAUUUUCUCUCACCUGGGGAGCUGUGUAACAGAUAUACUUUGUGGCUCUGGAAUGCUGAAGAUUCUGCAAUAACUAAUGGAAAAUAUGAUAUGAAUAUUUUGUCUCACCUGGAGAACUUUGUUACAGAUACCCUUUGUGGCUCUGGAAUGUCUAAAGAAUGCUUUAGUUAGAUCAAAUAUCUUUUAGUUAGAAAAGAUAAAAUUCUCUGAGUCUGAAAGACUGAAACAUUUUGCAUAUUUUGUGAAAGGGAAAUAUCUGUUGAUACUAGCUCAUGCAUUGAGGUAAUAUCGAUGUUAAAGAAAAACAGCAAUGAUUUAUGAUAUAGAAUUGGGUUCACUUGCUUCAAAUGCUGGUCUGAUCAACCAUAUCAACCUGUAAUGAUUCUGCAGAAAUAUAUAUACAUGGAGAAAGUAGCUAAAUUUUUCUUUCAUUUAUGGGUUCGGUCUUUUUUCCCCUUAUUUUUCAGCUUUCCUUCUCCUGAAGUAUGUUAACAAUUGCAGAUAAUGAUGAAGACGACAGCUUCCGGGCUCUCCUUAGAGCCGUGAUGGAAUAUAGGGGCACAAUGAAGGAAUAUUGUAAAGCUGUAGGUACUUUUUCUCCUUUCAUUUAUGUUUUCUCACACAUUUUGUAUAUGCCCUGAACAUGCACCUUUGUAUGUAUCAAUUGACUUUUAAAUUUUAAAAGCCAUAAAGUAAGAAUACGGUUCCUUGUCAGGCUACUGAUGACAUUCGCUCAGGGGGAUCAUGUUCGAGCAGGAAAAUUUCUAGAACAGGUAAGGUUUCCAUCUACAGCCAUCCAUUGACAGCAGAUACAUUUUCAUUCAGCAGACUCUGUUAGCAUUCAAGAUGCUGGCAGAUUCACUUGAUUCUUAUUAGCUUGUUUAGUGGCAAAGCCUAUAACCUGUAUUUCAAAGCCAAGUUGUGCUAUUGAUUAUGUUAACUUUUUUGUUAACAUAAAAUGAUAUGGAGGAAAUAAUCAGUGUUGGAAAAUUAGGUGAAAAGAUGAUGUCAAAUCUUGAACCUCUUACGAAACUCUAAGUUCUUUACUUGAAGAGGCUACGAAAUUUGAACAGCGUCUACUCGAAGGCCUUGCCAUUCCCUGAUGCAUGCAGAAUUUUUGUAUUUAAAUGCCCAGAGCUUAAGAAGCUGCCACUGGAUCUUGAAGGGGCAGACCAAGGUAAAAAUCUUAUCAAGGGAAAGGAAGAUUGGUGGAAACAACUUAAUGGGAGGAUCAAGUAACUCAGAAUGCAUUGCUUCCAUUUUUUAAAUUGACUGACAAGUGAUUGAACGGGGCAUCAUCAACAUCAUCAACAGGGAUGGAGAGAUACCGGAGCAGAUCAGCAGGGUUUGAAUAUGACCUUUGGCGGUUGCUUUUUUUUUGUGAUUUUUUUUUCAUUUUUUCCUUCCUGUCAUUUUAUCAUUUCUUUCUCUGUUUCUAUUGCGGGUGUUACUGCAUGCUUACUGUUGCUUGACAAAGUUUGCUAGCUUUUUGUUUGCAGUGUUGCUAUACACUCCGAGUCAAGCCUCGAAAAUUUAUUAAACGAAGCCGUUUCGACAGUAACAAUUCUUUUCUUUUCCCUUUGCAUGUCUCUUUCAUCUGCUGUUUCUCUAUCACUUUUCAUUUUUGAUUUCCUUGCUUCUCAGCUGCCCCUAAAUUGUUAUUCUAGCAAUAUACUUUCUCAUCUUUGAAUUUUCAUCCUUGAGUACUCCCACAGCCGUAAUUUCAUCAUCAUAGACUUCACUUGGAAUGCUGUAUUUUUUCGAUUCUUGAGCUACUUCAAUUACAUCUUAGUAUAGGAUCCUCAUCUUCCUUUAUUUCUUCAUCUUAUGAGGUAAUAAAUGGAUUUCACAACUCAUCUACUUUUAAGCAAUUACAUAUUAUACCUUGAAUGAUUCAACUGUUCUGACAGUUAAAGAUUUUAUGCUCAACCUGCAGUGCUACGAACAUUGUCCAUGAAAGAUGAGUUUCAGCAUAUAAAAUGAAAUAUAGAUGUUUAAUCUAAAAUAACCCUUCACUGCCAGAAACCUAGGUCACAAAAUUCACAGAUAAUGAUAAAGAGCUAAAAAAUUUGAAAAACUCUACAGAUCACACAUCAAGCAAGAUAUCAUGUUUUUUUCCCUCAUUCAGUGGUGAUUGAUUCGCUUUUUGAUGAUGGAUAUGGUAUAAAAGUGUUGACCCAAUUUCAAGCAAACACAAAUAGAAACACAAACACAAUCGGGACUAGAGUUGUGGGCGAUUAUCUUAGGUGUACAAGUGAAACGGUGGUGGCUGUCGAUGGUGGUAGUGGGGUGGUUGGGUAUGCGUGAUGGCUAGAUUUUAGGACAAUAAUGAUUGGAGUUGACCUCAAUCAACGAAGGAAAGUGACAACAAUUUUGACAUCAAACGGUGCAUUUUUUAGCUUAGUAAAAUGGAGCCGUUUCGAUUUUGGGGUUUAAUCCGGGGUUUGACUCGGUGCAAGUAUCAUUUUCCUUUUGUUUAUUAAAUUUUUUUAUGGUCACAAAGUAUCACUCGUUCUAUUUGAGAGUCAUGUGAAUCAAUUUUUCAAAUUUUCAAUUUUAAAUUUUGUGGUCAAUGUGAAUUCAAUUUCAUUUGUCUCCUGCAAUUAUGAAAAAAUUAAAUAGUCAUAAUAUGGAAAAAUACACCGGUAAAAACUUUGUAAAAGCUUCGGAGUGAUACGGGGAAUUCACUUACUACUAAGGACAAUUGGUGGCAAGCUAUUCCAUUCAUUUUAUGUCCAUCCAUCUAUUUAGUUAUUGAAGAUAAGUGGUCCAUUUGUAAAUUUCAGAUUGUCUCUCUCUCCCUCUUGAAAUAACAAUAUUUAAUAUAUCUCAUAAAUUAUUAUAAAUUUUAAUUUACUCUCGAUUUAAAAUGGAGCAUGUCGAUAAAUUUUUUUUCUUCUUAAUAAAAUUGACGUAAGUUGUGUUUACAGUAGUUUGAAGUUUGAAAUAUUUUAAAGAUUAUUAUUCUAUAAGGGAGUAAUAUGAAAUGAUAUUUACUUUUCAUGUGUGAAAUGAAAAAGGACGAAGCAAGUGUCCCUGCUUUUAUUUUAUUUCAAGGAGGAGUCAUCUCACAUACUUUAGCUCUUAACAUUACAUUUUUUCUGGUUACAUUUUUUAUUUAUUUAUUUUUUUUUUUUUACACAUGCGUGUGGGUUGCUUUUCUGUAAGCUCCUUAAUAUAUAUUUAAGACAAAUCAUGGAAGAGAUGGGAUUAUAUCAAGAUGAUCAAAGAAUGUUAAAAAAGAAAAAAGAAAAAAAAAAGAAGUAAGACACUGAAAAUGGAGAAGAGAUGGAAGCAAAAGAUAUUCCAAAACAAAGCAAUCUAUCCCCUUUCGAGGGCAGACUUAUCAGGUUUAAAAAAGUACACGCUUUGGAUUGGUAGUUGCAAUCAAGGGAAAAUAAAUAGGAUCCAAUGAAAUUUAAAUCUCGGAGAAAAUAAAUAAUCAUGCAGAUUUUCAAGAUUUUAAUAAGGGAUACUAAUAUCUUAUUUUGAUUAAUAAUAUCCUUUCAUUGUGUUAACUCAAAAAAUAUAUAUUUUAAUGUUUUGCAAUAAACAGAAACGUACUAUUAAAAUGAAUAUAUAAAGAAUUUAGAAAAUUUUGAAUGUUAUAUAAAAUAAUUUUAAGAUAAUGCGUGAGAUAUAUUUUAUUAAUUUAAAAUGUUAUUUUACCUAAAAAAUAUGAUAAAUUAAUAAUUACAUAUUUGAAGUUAUUUUAAAUAUUAAAAAAAUUUAAUAUUAUUAAUCUUUUAGAUAGAUUAAAUUAUUUUUUAUAAGAGAUAGAUUAAAUUAUUUUAAAAUACGUUAAUUGUUUUUACUUUUAACGUUACCGGCCUUUCUUUUAUUUUAUUGCAAAUUAAUGCUAACAAGAAAAAGCUAGAUCAUAUUCCACAAAAGCAAAAGUGACAAACACAACCAGCUGGAAUCUUUUAAUUACUAUUCAAUAAUUCGAGACGAUUAGGGUCUUUUAUUAAACUACAAAUUGUAUAGUCUUUUUAAAAUUGUUAUAAAUUGGUGGCACCUACAAUCCUCAAUAAUUGUACCGAUAUUCACAAGUUGGUGGCCCCUACAAUUCUGUUCGGAUAAUUUAACUGUGCAAGUGCUCAUUCACAAUAAUUGUUUUGUUUUUUUUUUCUGCAUUCCCUUUCAUGCUCUUAAUAAUUGAAGAGCAUACUUUUCAUUUUCAAAUGUGGAGCCGCAGCUAAUGUCGCUAAUUUAAUUUGGGAUUAAAUUAGGGGACCAUUAUAUUGCAGUGUGCACUAAUUUUUGUGUUUAUCUAAACUCCUUAAAUUUAAGACAUAUUAUGGCAUAAAUAAGAAUAUAACAAUAGCAAAAGAGUUAAAAAGUGUAGAGAAGAUCUUGCAGAAAUAUAAAUAAUAUCUAUUUUAAAAUAAUAUCAAUAUUUAAAAUAAUUUUUAAUAUUUUAUGAUUCAUUAGAUAUAUUUUAUUAUAUUAAAGUAAAUUUUAUAAUAAAUAAAAACAUACUAUUAAAAUGAAUAUAUAGAAAAUUUAGAGUAUUUUAAGUAUUAUAUAAAAUAAUUUUAAUAAAAUAUGUGAGAUAUUCAUAUUUUAUUAAUUUAAAAUACCAUUUAACCUAAAGAUUUAUUUAUGAUAAAUUAAUAAUUAUAUUUUUGAAGUUACUUCAAAUAUUAAAAAUAUUAAUAUUACUAAUCUAUUAGAUAGAUUAAAUUAUAUAUAUUAUUUUCUAUUUAUUAAAAAAUUUAAAAUUAUUUUUAAUUACUAUUCAAAAAAUAUAAUGAUAAAAAAGAAUCUUAACAUCUUUAUUAAAAAUUUAAAAAUUUACAUGAUCAAUUCUCUAAAUAUUUAGGGUUAUAUGUGAACAACGGUGGAGAAGCUUUAUUUAAUAUUAUUGAUUUAAAUAAUAUGUCAAUUAAAAAUGUACAGAGAAGGAAAUUUCGGUGGGUAUUUUAGUCUUUUCAGCAAUUAUCAUGAUCAGAUCAGCCUUUAGCCUUGAAUCGUCGGUCAGAAAAGUUUUAAAAUUAACGCUAACAAGAAAAAGCUAGGUCAUAUUCCACAAAAGCAAAACUGACAAAACAACCAGCUGGUUUCUUUUACUAAACUACAAAUUAAAAGUGGAUUCUUUUGAAUGCAAGUGGGACAGACGAUUAGGCUCUUUUUAUUAAAGGCAAGUAAAAACUAGUCGAAUAGUCUUUUUCAAAUUGUUGUUUUAUUAUUUUUCCUUCAAAAGUUAGUGUGGCUCAUGUUUGCAGGUGCGAAUGUGGGUCCCGAAUCAUUACUAAAAUUUCUAUUCCACAGCCCACCGCAGCUUCAGUUAAUCAAACUCAAAUCAAUUUUCUUUCUUAACAAAAUAUUCCAAAGAUGUGUAGCAUUUUUCAGAUCACAUGCGAUGGUGCUCUUUUCAAUCGUUGCUUGGAUUGCUUUCUUGGAAAAGCAGCAUACAUACGUAACCUCCAAGAUAAUGUUGAUACCUUGGGCACUGAAUUGGGAAAUCUGAUCGCUAGAAAGAACGAUCUGAUGAGGAGGGUUGUCGAUGCUGAACGGCAACAAAUGAGAAGGCUGGACGGAGUGCAAGUGUGGGUUUCGAGGGUGGAUUCUGUUAAAACUGAAGCUGAUCAAUUUAUAAGAGACGGCUCUCGAGAAAUUGAAAAAUUAUGUGUUGGAGGCUACUGUUCCAAGAAUUGCAUGUCAAGCUACAAGUUCGGGAAAAAAGUGGCUAAAAAGCUACGGGAUGUGCGGACUUUAAUCAGUGAAGGAGUUUUUGAGGUGGUGGCUGACAGAGCUCCAGAGUCUGUAGCAGAUGAAAGACCUACUGAGCGAACAGUAGUAGGCUUGCAAUCACAACUUGAACAAGUCUGGAGAUGUCUUGUAGAAGAAUCAGCGGGAAUCAUUGGCCUAUAUGGUAUGGGCGGUGUUGGUAAAACUACACUACUGACCCAUAUCAACAAUAAAUUUCUCGAGAGUCCAACCAACUUUGAUUGUGCGAUUUGGGUUGUAGUUUCAAAAGACCUGCGACUCGAAAAAAUUCAAGAAGAUAUUGGGAAAAAGAUAGGUUUGGUUGGUGAUUCAUGGAAGAGUAAAAGUGUAGAGGAGAAAGCUGUCGACAUCUUCCGGAGUUUAAGAGAGAAGAGAUUUGUAUUGUUGUUAGAUGAUAUAUGGGAGCGGGUUGAUUUAACAAAGGUGGGCAUUCCACUUCCCGGACCAAAAAAUACUACCUCAAAAGUCGUAUUCACAACCCGUUUCAUCGAUGUUUGUGGUAGCAUGGAAGUUGACAGGAAGUUUCAAGUAGCAUGCUUAUCAGAAAAGGAUGCUUGGGAACUGUUUCGAGAAAAAGUUGGGGAGGAAACUCUUCAGAGUCAUCAUGAUAUCGAUGAGCUAGCCCAAAUUGUGGUCAAAGAGUGUGGUGGUUUGCCACUCGCACUUAUUACUAUUGGUCGAGCUAUGGCCUACAGAAAGAAAGCGGAGCAGUGGAGACGUGCAAUUGAAGAGUUAAGGAGAUCAGCUUCAGAGUUUGCAGGUUUGGGAAAAGAGGUUUAUCCUCUUUUAAAAUUCAGCUAUGAUAGUUUGCAGAAUGAUACGGUUAGAUCUUGUUUCUUGUACUGUUGUUUAUAUCCUGAAGAUUAUGGCAUUCUUAAAUGGGACUUGAUUGAUUGUUGGUUUGGCGAGGGAUUUUUUGGGGAAUCUGACAGGUCUGGUGCAGAAAACCAAGGAUAUGACAUUUUGGACACUCUUGUUCGUGCGUGUUUAUUAGAAGAGGUGGAAGAUGAUGAAGUAAAAAUGCAUGACGUUAUUCGUGAUAUGGCUAUAUGGAUAACUUGUGAAAUUGAGAAGGAGAAGAGAAACUUUUUGGUUCGUGCAGGUGCUGGAUUAAAAGAUGCACCGGGUGUUAAAGGAUGGGAAAAUGUGAGAAGAUUGUCAUUGAUGCAAAACCAAAUUGAAACUCUGGCAGAGGUUCCCACAUGCCCUCAUCUCCAUACUCUAUUUCUUGACUUUAAUAGGGGGUUGGAUAUGAUCGCGGAUGGCUUCUUUCAAUUUAUGCCUUCUCUCAAAGUUUUGAAGAUGUCAAACUGUUCGAAUUUGAAAUUACCUGUUGGGAUGUCAGAGUUGGGUUCAUCACUAGAACUUCUUGAUAUUUCAGAAAACAGCACAAGAGAGUUACCGGAAGAGUUA
rnacentral:lncRNA from 1 species